rnacentral:lncRNA from 1 species
CUCCGAGUUUACCUGUAUAUAAAUAUUAAAAGCUCUCCUUCCAAGGCUUUGAUAACUUUUGUUGCCUGUGAACAUUAUCUCCGCAAAAUGAAGGGUUACAUUGUGGGGCCCAUCCAUCAGACAAAAACCGUAAUAAGUUAGAGAGAUGGCAGAACGUCGUGCUUUUAUGUAAAGUUGGGCAUCAUUCAUGGACAGUGUGGAUGUGUUUUUAACUUCAUAGCUAACUGCAGUGCUAUCGUCAUUGGUGAAGUAACCAGUGCUACUGUAGGCCUAAUAAUCACUCCUGAAGAAACUUGGAGGUGUAGCCCUCUGUGAGUCAUCUUCGUAUGUGGUGCCCCUUACCUUUGCUUUGCUCCCACCGCAAUUUAUGAAGAGGUUAUACCGAGCUGGAUGGAGUAAAGAAGCAGCCACAGAGAAAAUUCAGUUUCUUCUAUUUGUUAAUAUGGAGUGGACUUUCCAGACACACUAAUUAAGCUAGCAUUCACUCAUUGGAAAAUUACAUAGAAACUCCCAAGUUAUGAGCAACCCAUUAUUUCAUGCAGGUAGCUUUUGAAAUUAUUAGGGUAAUUAUGCAUCAACCAUCAAAGAUUGACACAAUAGCCAAGAGGAGAGUUGACAAGGAGAUAAAUUUGAUGAGAAAUUACAGAGAGAGUAAGAUGCAAUAUUAGAAUCUGAUGAUAAUGAUAAGAUAUGUCAGAAUAAUUUAAAUAUAAAAUCACGCAGUCAUCUAACAGUUUAAGCUUUUAAAACAGUUGACCGUGAUCUUAUAAAAUCCUCAUAUGGUAUCAGAGAUGGAUUUCAUGAGUUCAAAUCUUUCGCAGCCUCAUUUGCCUCCCUAAUUAAAUAUGUCCACAUUUCAUCUAAUAAUUUAAACUUUUAAAACAGUUAGCUGUAGUCCCACAAAAUUUCAUAGGAUAUACAACACGUCAAUUUACUUUUUAUACAACAAUGACUCUGCAGCAUAUUAACUUACCUUUUGCACAACAUUGACUCUGCAAACAUGAGACAAGUCCACUUGUGGCAGAACAUGAGGUUCUGAGCAAGUCAGCAAAGAUUUUACUGUUCAGAUUGGGAGAUUUCACUAAUCCAAUAGGACUGAAACUAAAGCUAAUCAUAAUUUGUUGAAAACAUCUCCUUCACAAUAUAUUAUUUAUGAAUAAAGGGAUGUCAACUCAAUACUAGGGUGCUUAGAAAAGGAAAUAUCAGCUUCAGUGAAUAAAAAAAUAAAGAAUAAAAUGAGGAUUUCAAAAAACAGGAAAGAGAAUAGAGUAUGUGAUAAGCCGCAGCAGAACCACAGAAAUUUGGUCAUUCAAGAAUGUCAGAAAAACUAAAAAUUAAAGCUCCAUUUGUUUCGUGAAAAAUGUAACAUUUUUAGAAAAUAUUUUCCAUGAAGUUAUUUUUUUAGGAAAAUGAAAAUAUUCCGGUGCUUGACUGAAAUCCUGAAAAUACCCGGAAAAUAUGUUCCAUUGUUUAGUAUGGAAAAUUUAAUUUGAUUUUCUAGGAAAAAAUUGCCAAAAAAAUCGAAUUUUUUAAUUUAUUUUUUUAAUCCUUUUCUUUUAACUUCUUCCUCGGCCGGUUGUCAGCUAUGGCUACAGGCCACGGGAUAAAAAAAUAUUUCUAUAAGAACAAACAUUUCAUUAACUAAGGAUCCGAACUUGAGCACCAAGGACCUGCACACGGCCUUCGCGGACUCAAUCUAAGUGCUGGGGACUAGAGCUUAAGUGUCAAGGACCCAAGCACUGCUUUUAUGUACUCGGGGUCAGGCACCAGGGCUUCAGGCCCGGGCACCAGGGCUUCAGGCCCAGCCUCAAUGGACUAGGCUUGGGCGCUGAAGACCUAGUUCUGAACGCUGAGGACCAAGAACCAGGCGUUGGGGUUCCCGUGUCCAAGCAAAGAGUUGCGGGUCCAAGCACCGAUACCAACUCAUAGUUUGGAAAAUGUUUUCCGACUUUUUCAAAAGUGGAAAUCAUUUCCUAAAUUUAAACAUAGAUCUUUCAUUGACUUGGAAAACAUUUUCCAUUAAGUCAUUUUCCUAAACAAACCAAAUGCUGGAAAAUCAGGAAAAUGUUUUUCGCGAAACAAACAAAGCCAUGACAGAAUGGCAAAAUGUUGCUGUUAAAAGUAGCGUUUAUUAAAUCUUACAGAGAUGACCACAUGAACAAGAAGAAUUGACUUGUAUAGAGAUGCAUUUGAAGCCAUGCUCUUGUUUGAACUAUGAAUGUUAUGUCUGACAAGUGUACAACAGUCAAGCAUAAAACUCCAGCUAGAUAUUGUAGGACUGAGAUUCGAGAAUGUAAACCACCGGAAGGAAAGUUUCCAGACAAUCAACCACUAGAAGCCUCCAUUUUGCAUUAAUGCUCUUAAGAAGUUAAGAUAACAUAUCAAAGCAAAAGUAAAUUAGACGAAAUGGGAAACCACAACAAAGGCAAGAAUUCUUGCUGGCAAAGUGAAAACAAAGAGACUGUUAGAAUAUUUAAAUAACAAACCACGCUUUCAUCUAAUAGCUUGAACUUUUAGAAGAGUUGACAAUAGUUCUACAAAUUCUCACAGAGAGAAAAAGUCCAUAUACUUUUGUGCGAAACUGUAUAUUCUACAGCAGAGGCCACAAUCACCAAGAAUUUAAAUGUCACAUCAUUAACAAUUCAGCAAUAUCAACAGAAAAUAUCAAAACACCAUUGAAGUCAGUAAGGGACCUUCAAGCCAUCUUGAAUGGGUUCUUUAACUGCAACCAAUAGUCAAUCAAAAACUAAUAGGAAUUUCACUCCUUAAGGGUAAAAUUAUUUAUUCUGCUUGGAAUAUCCUAAGGGAAAAGCCGCUUUCUACUCACAAUAUAUAUAGAUUUGUCAUAUUUGCUAGAUAACCAGGUAGCUCUCCCAUGAGAUUGCAGCUCCUCAGAAUCCUAUAAGAAAAUAAUACUGAUAUUGUCACAUUGCUAAGACAAUUUGGCUCUUUUGCAUAAAGUAAACUAUCUGUGAAGGAGCAUCGAUCUCACAGUAUACAAAUAUAUGUAUUGUUAAUUUGUGGAACACGAGACUCGGGUCCAUCAAGGUCACUUAUUCUCCUGCAUAUCAAAAUCAAAAAGGAGCUCUAUUUGAUUGAUAACAUCUUAAAGAAAGAGAGAUUAGAUCAAAUGCCAAAAUUACAUACUGACAAGUCGUUCAAAUGCUCCAAAAGUGCGAUCACAGAGGGAAUCGGCCCUUGCAAUCCACUUCCUUGAAUAACCCUGAUGAUACAAUUCAUAGAUGGAAUUGUCUUGGGGGUAUAUCUAUAAAGACCAACUUAAAAGGGGAAGAAGCAUUAAGCCUUACAGUGUUUGGAGAUUUGUCAAGUUCUGAAUGAAAUCGGGUAUCUUUCCUGAGAACUGAUUAUCACCAAGUUGCCUACAGUGCAUUAAACAACAUGAUUCAUAUGAAGGAGAACGAAUAGAAAUGGCUAAAUAUUAGCUGAGUUUGUGGAUACUGGAAACUAACAGGUCAGCCAAUUUUGUGAAGUUAACAAAUGUUUGAGGCAGCUCCCCUGUGGAAUUAUUUGACGUAAGCCACCUGAAACAAGAAAAACCCAUGACAACACAUUGGUUAAUAGAACCUGAAUGCUGUAUCUCUCAACAGAUCACUCCAAUGGAUAAAAUUCCCUCGCCAGAUACAAAAUCAUCAGCGAAUAAAAACUCGAUGCCUAACACAGAAUUUUGCAUCAAGAGAGACUCACAAAUAAUAUAACACGGACAAGUUCCCGAGCUCUGGAGGAAGAGGUCCAGAAAGCCAAUUGCUUUCGACGACUCUGAGUGGAAUAUGAAAGUUAAAAUCUUGACACAUCAAUCAAAUUUAAAAUAGCGAAGAGGCCAAAGGCGAGCGUCGGGAUGAGUGGUCACUCACAAAUGCAGAAGUGUGGAUAUGUUCCCCAACUCCUUCGGGAUUGGACCAGUCAAUCGGUUUCGGGUACAUAACUGCACCCACAUCAUCGCGUUUCCCCCAAUCAAACAAUAGAACAUACACUCGUGAGAGAGAGAGAGAGAGAGAGAGAGAGAGAGAGAGAGAGCAUACAUGUAUUCCAACUUCGUAAAGCCCCAUUCUUUAGGAAUUGUGCCGUUCAGGUAGUUGCGGGAGACAUCACUGUUUAUAGAGAGAGAGGAUGAAGAAGAAGAAAGAGAUCGAAAAUGGAGAAAGAGAGUACUUACAAGACCUGGAGGAAAGGCAAUCUGAACAGUUGAGGUGGAAGGGUGCCGGCAAGAGAAUGCUCCCGAAGUCGUCUGUUUAAGCAAUGACACAAAGGCUUUAUUCUAGCUUUACUUAAAAACUAGGCAUCAAAAUGAUGUUACAAAAUGGCUUUAUUACAUCUAUUGAUAUGUAUACAUAAAUCUCAAUUGAUUCUAAAUGAAAAAAUUCUUCAAAAAUUGCCUAAAAAAAGGUACGAAGUAACUCUCAAGCCAUGCCAAUUGGGGCAAGAAUCUACUUUGGUAAUGGUAUACUCACUUUUAUCACUUCCACCGCUAUGCUUUGUAGCAGAGAAAGAACAGAAGGAAUAAGAUCAGGAAUUGAUAGACAGAUAUCUGUAUCCUUGUAAACUAGUACGGACAAUGCAGAAACAGCUCCACUUGUAAUUUGAGGUGAUGAACCAGAAAGAUAGCCCACUAUCUGAAAGCUAAGCAACCAAUAGGAUCCUGAGAAAUCAAAACUGAGCAUGAUAAUCUAACUCAUAUUAUGUAUGUCAAUUACUAAGCAAUGGGAAAAGUAAAAGGUAACCCGUGAGCAUUGACUGAAUAUAUCUCAGAGUCGAAGUUCUUUAAGACGGCUACUCAAUACAGCUUCCUUUUGCUAAUUCAAUGCAAUCCACGGGACUCAAUCCUCUCUUUCAAAAAAUUCAUUCGCAAAAUUAUUGAACGCUUUAUAGCGCCCAGAAGUUUGAUCCAAUUAACAAAGCAUCCACAAAGUUCUAUAACUCACAUGCAUGACGAUCCCUUCCACAAUGACCAACCUAAUCUAUCUGACCGAAUCUAGUACUUCAAAGUAUUUUGGUGUUCCAUGGUGAGUUCAGGGAGGGUAGACACUUGAUACACAACAUUGAUGCCACUUCACUUCUCAUAGCUUUAAUUCUUUUUAACUUUUCCUUUGAGGUUUUCUAAUAACAAGUACGUGAUCCAAUGUUUCAAUGCCAAACCAACCUCACAUAACUUUGACUUUUUCUUUUUCCUUUUUUUAUUUUCUUGGGGUCCAUUUCUAAAGAAUAAUUUGUUGUCAAUAAGAAUAUAAUAAAAAACCAUAAAAAUUCUAGCUUAUGCAUGGCUAUCAUGCUUCUAACAUAUGUUUUUUGGUAGGAAUGCUUCUAACAUAUGUUUCUACCACACAAAAGCAAUACCAUUAUUUUCCUUCACCAUUUUACAUUAAAAUAUAAAAUUACAACCAUCAAAUAUAGAAAAAUAACUAAUCAAGUAAAAUAAUAUUAUCUAAUCCAAAUUUUAAUGAUAUGAACUUGUUUUUGCGCAUGUUAACACAAAUUUCAACUUGCUUAUAAUAUUUUACAAAUUUAAAAGAAAAGGACAUGAAAAAGUUCAAGUUGAAUCUUAAAUUGAUAGUCAAAAUUAUAUUUUCUCAAAUCAGUUCAACUAUAGCUUCCUGAAGUGACAGGACCACAUGUCCUAUAGAAUCACCCUAAUUUAUCAUGCCAAAAAAAGUUGCAUUAAUCUCUUUAUACCAACCAAACUUACUUUCAACAGUCAUGGAAUGUUGCAUUAUUUUAAACCUACUCGGCCUAUUCUCCACCUAAUGAUUUUCUCCAUAUACAUAAUUUUUCAUCUGAAGAUUCGAUAUUGUCAAUGGCAUGAGAAAAGGAAAGACAAUCAUGCCAAGUAGAGGAUUCCAAGUAAGUUGUAUAAUUUUAGGAUCACUGCAUCUUGAAUUCACACUUCAUUCUAGGGGGUCAAAAGUAUAUAACUAUUCCGACAGUGAAGGUUUUCUCUUAAUUUUCUGAUUAUUUAAAAGCUGCUGUUGUCUGGUGGGGCACACUUGGGAACCAUUCUUUCAUGCAAAGCAGGGAUGGAACAAUAUUUUCCCCAUAGGGCAGGGAAUGGGAACAAAAUUCCGGGCCUGCUCCUCCCAAUGGCAACCACUAGUGUGUGCAAUUCAAAAAGUACCUUGAAUGAUGCAAUCAGAAGUAUUAAUUGUACUUAAGGAAAAUUUACAACUCAAAAGGGCUGGAGGGAGGUCUAAAAACACGACAGAAACUUCUAGCUAGAAUCCCAAAAUGUUUUAAGCUUCCAUAGGAUAUCAAAUAGCACAUAAUGACCUAAUAUAUAUCCAUGUAGCCAACCCCAUCUACGUGAACUGUCUCCACAAUACUUUCUGCAGCACUUAUAAGAAUGAUGCGGCCUCACUAGGAAGGAGAUUAGGCAGGUCUGAAUCUCACCAACCCAACAAUCAAAUUUAGCAUGUCAACUGCCUCAUACUAAACAGAAACCUUUGAAUUCCUCUCUACUUCUUCCAGCAAUUAACAUUGACAGAAAGAACUCCUACUAGUUAUACUAUUUUCAAUCUGGACAGGACUGAGGGAGAUGGAGCUUGGAUUAUCAUAGAGUAUUAGUAUCCUAUUAUUAUCUUAUAGUGCACAUGAGUCCUAUUAGCAUCUUUGAGAUGAGGCAUAUGCCUAAAAAAUUGGAGAAAAAGUUCAGACACCCAAAGUAAGUAGAAAAUUAUGACUAUGAAAGGGGAGAGGAGAAAACAAUUGCGCAAUAACUAGUAAGAAAUUUAGUAUAGAGCCAAAAAUGACUUUAGUGAUUGAGGGAGAACCUUCAAGUAUGACCUUGUCGCGGGAAUGGAAUUGACAAAUAAGUCCAAUAAAAGUUGAAGCAACUCAGUAGAGCAUGAACUUAAAGCCUUGAUAUUUCUGCUUGCAGUUUUCUUUGAGUAAAUCGUUAGAGUUCGCAAUUCUAAUCCGGAUGCUUGAACAUUACAGGUGUCUAAAUCUUUAACUACUCUAGAGCCGAGUACACUUGUAUUCUGAUUCACAAGGAUCUGCAGAAUUAGAACAGUACUAUCAGGAGAUAUGAAAAUGGGAUAACAACCUCUUCCCAGUAAAGAACAAGUGUGAGCCAAAUGUCACCAAUGUGGCAAGAAAGAUCACCUUUAAAGCAAGAGCCACACUUUCAUGCAUAAAAGAAUAUUUUUUAAGAAAAUCAGUCAAUAAUACUGCCAAAUGUCUAAACUGUUUGUCUGUAUCACUUGAAACCCGGCAAAAGGCUGGUAACAGUUUCCAAAGGUCAUGAGCAUGACCCAGCAGCUCCUUACCAAGUACUGAUUUCUUAACUGGAGAAAAAGAUAAACAGAAGCACAAUCAAAUCCCUGAUGUCACUAAAAUGUUAAUGAUGAACUGAACAAAACUCAAAUCAAGUAAUGCUGAUUAAGGACUCCACUACAUACAUGAACAAUCAGCAUUCAACCAAAGCUCACACUAAAAAAUAUGCAUCAAGGAAGGAAAAGUUAAUGUCACAGAGGCAGAUGAAGAAUAAAAUUGCAUAAACAACAAUAUUUUGCUCCCCAGGCCUGUCCCUCCUAUCAAAUAUCUACAGAAUGCAAAAAAAACAUGCCUUGAGAUGAACAAUUGCAAUAAGAAAAUAUGAUAUGCAUAAUUCAAUGGGUAUCAUAAGCCAAGUAAGGGGAGGUCAACGCUUUGGGAUGGCACCUAUCAAAUGGGAUCAACAUAUAUGAAAAAAAAAAAAAAAUCAAGAAGUUGACAGUUCUGUUAUAAUGUUUCAGAAAAGCUUUCAGCACAGCUUACAGGCAGGUUGAAUUACCCAGCUUGAUAAGUCUAUGGAGACUCUUAUUGAAGACUAAAGCUCCUUUUAACAUAGCUUGUGAACAUGCAAAAAUGAUCUCACAUGAUGAUGAUCUAUUGCGAGGAGUUUAUGAUGGACAAAAAAGUUUUUGUAUUGAGUUUUGGUUAAACACACGGAAUUUUGUGCACUUAUUCCUUAUAAAAUGUGUCUCCUGUCAAAGAACACUUAGUGGUGCCUUUGCAAAAAGCAGGACUUUUACCCUGCUUAAACUGAUUUGAAUCUGAAUACGGAUUUAAAGAUGGAGAUUCUAGGUUGCUUUUAAUUGAUAACUCAUAAGUUAUGCACAACCAGUUGUGAAUCUGUGCCAAACAGCCAAGGAUCUCCACACUUAUUAUGACGUCAAAUAUGAUAUCUGAAAAAUGAAAAUCACGGAAACAAAAGUCAUGUAGAAUGAUGACAUACCUCCAGAACUAGCACGCUUGAAACAUUUUGCGAGGGGCACAAUAUAAUCCAUGUAAUACUCAAGUGAUGAACCAACCACAUAAUCUCUUAGAAUGGCCACCAACCAAACAUUACUAGAACUAAAAUUGUUGGGAUGCAGUGAAAUAGGCACAACAGAAAGCAUCUUUUCUGGGCCCAUAGCAAUUACAGCAGAACCAAUACAUCUCUGAAGCUGUGUAUCACAGUAAAUUGAACACUGAUAAGUUACCAUUCAAACAAUCUUCAAACUACACAAGUAUUUGUUUUAUAAAGCUAGACGGUCAAUUAUUUGUUUCAUCAGAUAAUGGCAAAGUACUAUGCUCAAAGCUCUGUUAACUAGUCAUGUACCCAAUUUAGUAAAAAAAGCUUUUGUUAAUCCUUAUAUGUAAGUAAAAAAAUAACCUGCUGUUAACGCUCCAAUCAACAAUUCAAUCUAACUCUAACAAAAUUCAUGACGACAAGUCGAUUUGGAGUUUGCUAUGAACCCCAUCUUCUUCUUUGCACACUUCAACAGGAUAAACAUAUGAAGCAAAGAUGACUUGAAAAAUCAAAUUUUGGAGAGCAAGAUCAAGUAAUAGCCUUUACAUCAUUCUCUUGAAAAUCAAUUUCGAGAUCAACACAAAUCAAUUCCCUUUACAUCAUUCUCUUUUUCCUUUAUACAUGAAAUUAAAUCAAUAACAAGGCAGCAAGGAGGUGCAAACCCAAGUACCAAAGAAAUCAAGAACCAAAAAAAAAAAAAAAAGCUCAAUUCAUCAAUAAUGACAAUAAAUGCAUCUACAUCGACAUGCAUGUUUUCAAGUCGCAUUUCCACUUCCAUAAGAACAUUGACAAAAAACAAGGACAAAACAUAUUGCCUUCUUCCAUGAGUAACCAGCCUCGCUAUGAAUGACAACGUCAUCACAUAAUUAAGUACUUUUGUUGCUUCAAAGAGCAAUACAGUGACUUUAUUCAAGAACUUUAUCCAUUCAUAACAUACUCAUAAUUUCAGCAGCAAUUUUAAUGACAGAAGGAACACCACUGCACUGACAUGCCAUGUAGAGAGCUGAACCAGAGGCGAAUUGGGCCAUCACACUCUUAACUACAGAUGAUAACGGACAUUUUCAGAUGCUCUUUACUAGAAUAUGACAAGAAUACUGUAACGCAAACUUGCACACUGCACGAACUUAAAAAAAAGCUAAAGAUGAUCCUACAGAAAUAACAGCUUUCACACCAAUGACAUUUCUCAUGCCAAUAAAUUUCUAAAGCAUACAAAUACGUACAUGGCCUGUGAUAGAUGGGCCCCUUUCAGCUGAGGUUAUUAAGUGAACAAGUUUGAGCAAGAUACUCCUCAUAUAGAUGUAAGAAGUUUUUCCUACACACAUUUAGAGAUGAGAGGAGAGGACUGUGUAAAUCAGUUUGUGGUCAUAUUAACAAAGAUAAUCAAAUGAGAAAAAAUAGUAUUUAUACACUUUAAGAAUAGUGCAUGUGAAAUAAAUCCUGAACAAUCUCACACGUCAUUCUAUACUAGCAGAGGAAAAGCACUGUCACCCGCAACCAAUGUGGCAUUAUUAAAAAAAAAAAAAUGUCAUUCCACAAUUCAAAUGAACUUCCAAGAGACAACAAUCUUCUUUUUCAAGGAAUAGGAAAAUGAAGGAGGUAUGUAGACCUAGCUAGUCCAAAAGAACAGACUGAUGAAAGAAAUGGGCAAAAUCCAUGGUAAAUCCAGUACUCAUGAUUCAGGACAUUCUAAUCUAAACUUUAAAUAAUUUUUAACAUGUCUGUACAGGAAAACUCUCCAAAAAAAUUGCAGCUUAAUCACUAAAGUCAAGUUCAAACUGACACCUUACGAAGAUCAAAGAGCAACACCCAGGACUUUAGAACUUUUACAGUGAAAAAUCAUCAAUUGCUGAUCAUAUCCUGUUUGAAUUCCAACAUGCAAGACAAAGUACUUUUGAGAACUUGAAACUGUAAACCUCAUGCAAAGGUCAAAACUCAAUUCGAGUAGAAGUCCAGUUCUGCGUAAUUUAUUGCAAGGUAUGGCACUAAUACAUAUUUCUUUGCUAAAGUUUGACAUUUNNNNNNNNNNNNNNNNNNNNNNNNNNNNNNNNNNNNNNNNNNNNNNNNNNNNNNNNNNNNNNNNNNNNNNNNNNNNNNNNNNNNNNNNNNNNNNNNNNNNACGAAGAAUGCCUUCCAGCUUAUUUAGUUGUUGAAAAACAAACCAAAAAUACAGCCACAGCAGAGCUCGUAAGCCUCUACAAUGUUGAACAUUAUCAGCAAGCCCACAACAAAUAGAAUUGAAAGUAAGAACCGCAGAAAGUAGUUGCCAAGAAGUCAAGAUGGAGAAACAUAGAGAAUUAAUAUGGGUUCAGACGGAAGUAUAAGCCAUUUCUUUCAUAAUCGAAUUCAGAAAUUGACAUACAGUAGUCCUUGAUCAAUGUCUGGUAGAACUUAAUCAUGCCAAUCAUACAAAUCACAAGAAACAAAGAACAUUAAAUAUAUUGAGCUUGAGUUAUUUCAUGACAAAGCAAAGGGUUAAUACAUGUAUUUGCAAUUGACAAAUGGCAAGAAAUGAAGAUCUUCUAUAGCAUACAAGAAAUCAAGAUGUAUGCAUACCAAGUUUGAGGUACAAAAGAGAGAUUACAGAAAGUGCAUGCUGAUUUGGAGUUUCGCCAUGGGCACUGAGGGCACUUUCCAAAGCAAUACAUAUUCUCCUUAUUGCUAUUGUUUCCAGACUCUCCUCACUUACGUCAUCACUUGGUUGGCUCUCCAUAUGGAAAGUCUCUUCAUUUACUUGUUCAUUAAUCAAGUCCUUCAAAAUACUCAAGGCCUGCGAUGCAGCAUCAGCCUCACCAACGAGAAGUCCUAAAUUAGUAUAACCAAGUGCAUCAGAAAGCAAACACCGGGGUUAACAAUAUCAAAAGAUCAAGUGAACCAUCCACAAUCUCAUUUCCAGUAACUAAAAUUAACAAAAGAUAAAAGUAGAGUCCUUGAAAGUAAGCUUCCAAGUACAUCGGCCUAGGCUCCCGAGUGGUGGAGGUUCAUUUGUUUAACAAUCAAGGGAUAAUCCCAUACUUCCACUAUCUCAAAAAUGAUGUCUUAGACUCUUUGAUCGUUUUUUUUUUUGGUAGAAAGGGUAAUAAUUAUAUUGAGGAAAGGCAAAUGUACAGGAAAUCCCGGCACCGAAACUUACACUCAAGAAGAAAAACAACCUGAGUGGAAGGAUACCGGGACGUAAAAGGACCAACCGCAGCAAAAAUAGAGCCAUGCAACCAACAAAACAAGCACGGCAAACAGAAAGCCGGCACAAAGCUAGGGUGGCAGAAAGCCACACCAGAAAAACUAGCAAAAAACAACCCCCAGCCAGGUAGGAAGGUCGAGGAGAACUAACACCAAACAUGAUGGAGCAGCGCCUGCAACCACCACGCACAAAAAUCAACUAGCCAAAAUGAGGUCCCCAGAAGAGAAAUCAAUGGGGUCAAUAUCCCAAGAACGCUGUAGCCUCCUAUUUCUAAUGGAAUUUUCCACACCCCUGAAGGAAAGGGCCUUAUCUUUCACGGCUCUAAGCAGUUGCUUCUUCAUGGCCAAAACAGAAAUCGGCUCUCCCCUGAAUAGGAUAUUGUUCCUGUUCUUCCAAAUGAUGUGGCAAACCGCACCGAAGGGUAAUAAUAGACUCUUUGAUCUUUGAUAUACUGCAGUUGCACAAAAUUUCUUGUAAAAGGGAUGAUACCCAUUUGAGCCACUAUUUUUUCUAUCAUAACUCCUUCAUAACACCAUACAUAAGAUUUUGUUUCUAUCAUAACUCCUCCGUUCCACCAAGACAGAAAAGAUUGCAGUAAUGAUUUAAAAAAUAGCAGGAGCAAAAUAAUGAAGAAUGUUGACAGCAGAGAAAACCAAACGUAAAAUAAAAAAAUAAUAUGCGACAAAGGCUUGACUAUAUUUAGGAAAGUUAAUCAAUGAACAAGGUGCCAUAGAUUAAACUAAAGGGAGAACAUCUUUUGAUUAACAUAAAGAUCACAUUUUUUUGGUAAUAUAUAGAUGGUUUGACUUUGCUGCAUUGUCUGUUCAACCAUCAAACUUCAAUUUGCGUCAUGGCCAUCAACUACUGCCCUUUACAAUUCUUCCAAGCGUGUAGUCAUAAUUCCAAAACAUCAAUGACAUUUGAAUAACUUUGUAGAGUAUAGUAACAAGCAAGAUACACAUUUAAAAUUGAUGCACCUCCUUCCAUGCACCACUUUACACCACAAAAGGUAAAGCUUCAAUCAACAAAGUCAAUCAAUGAUAAAGAUUGAUACCACCAAUGUUGGAGAUUUAGGGCCUGUUUAAUUACCAUCCUAUUUUUAUAUUUUUCUGUUCUUUUGCUCCCCGGAGUAGAAAUAGAAUAGAAAUUCAUUUGGUAACAUCAGCUAAUUUUUCUAUUAGGAAUAGGAAAGUGGCUAGGGAAUAGAUUUGGAACAAAAUCAAGAAGAAAAAAAAAUAUAUUUCUUUGUUCUUGGGAAUAGAAAUGGAAAAAACUAUUUCUGAACAUAUAUUGUUCUCGGGAAUCCAAAGGUUACUAAGGGCACCCAUAGAAGUUAAUACAAAAUGUGACAAGGAAAUUCUCACCAACAAAGGAAUCCACCGUAGGAUACAGGACAGUAAUUUUUACAAAAAAAAAGUCUAUUUAUUGAGAAAUCUGCUCAAAUUAACGAAAGGAAUAGUAACUCAAGAAAUGAUUAGAGCAUAAACCCUACUUAUUAAAAUCAGCAAAAACAGAAUCAAGAGAAGAUUAAGAUAUUUGAAUUGUCCCCUAUUCCAUUCUUUUCCAAACUCACCAUGUAAGGCAAAGAGUAGGAGCAUUUUGGGCUGUUUUGAAAUGUAGAGAAGUAUGGGAAAACAUGACAUCAUUGUAGAACCAAGAUCGCAAAAUUAGCUAAGAAACUACCAAAACAAAGCAGUCGAAGCACUCCCUGCCCCAAGAAAGUUAAGAAGCAUACCUGCUAGAGACUCCCAAACUACAGGAAGGUUCUUAAUCCACAAGCUUGAUCCUCCAGUGUGGAAUUUAUUCAGAGCAACUCUUAACAAGUUUGCAGCAGUCAUGACUGUCCACCAAGUUCUCUUUAGAAGAAACAUAAGAAGCAAGAGAAGUGAUGACAUUUUCUAUCUCUUGAGCAGUAUCUCCCACCGCUAGAGUUUCCAAUAAUGCCUCGAUGAUUUUAAGAAUCAGUGUUGUAAGCGCUGAGAACCCGAGACUCAUAAGCUUGUCUCAUUCUGAAAGAAUCUGAAUGCUUACUUUGGCAGACAGAUACGGACAAACAGAUACCAGCACAUUAAGCAUAUGUAAGAAUCCUAUAUUCUCGGAUUUCAACAGUUUAUCAUCUUUAGAUCCAUCCUCAGGGCCCGUAGUCCUUGACCAAUCUGCUGAAGAAAUGCAACUUUCANNNNNNNNNNNNNNNNNNNNNNNNNNNNNNNNNNNNNNNNNNNNNNNNNNNNNNNNNNNNNNNNNNNNNNNNNNNNNNNNNNNNNNNNNNNNNNNNNNNNAUUCUUGUGCACAACGCCGAACCUGAGAAAACAACAAAACAUAUCUUCAAUUGCUACUCGUUUCUUACGAUAUGCAAAAGAAUAGGAACACAUUUCCACCUUUCAAAGCCCAAUUACGAUCAACAAGGCCAUAAGGGGAAGAAUACUGACCUAAAAAAGGUGACAAUUCCAUGUCGCCAAGUCUAACAGAAAAAAAAAAAUCCCAAAGAGCUUAAAAGAGCAGAACUGGAUACAGCAAUGCAUGAUUUGCGACAAUAUACCUUAGGACGCUUGGCCAGGGAGAACUUCAAAAGCAUCUUCAACCCGAAUUUCACCGAAUCCCAAUCCUCCAAGUCGCAAAACCCAAGCAAAACCCCCAAACACUUCACCGCGGACCUCACGCUGGACACGGCCAGCUUCUCCUCCUCCCUCGCCAACACCUCCGCCGCCUCCCUCGCCCUCGCGGGCGCGAUCCCCUGCGGCGGCACCGCGGCAGGACGAUCACGAGGAACGACAUGAGCGCCGCGACCUCCGUGGAGUCUAGGGCCUGCAACGAGGACGUGGUCUCGACGGCGGACAUGGCGGCGCCGAAGUAAGAGGCGGGCGUGAGGGGAGGGACUCGGCGUCGAGGAUGGCGCGCAUGGCGGCGGCGGUGGCGAGGAGGUGGCGGUGCUGAGGGGCGGAGGAUUUGGCGUAGCGGUUCAUGAGCUGUUGGCAGACGUCGGCGCCGUCUCGCAGCGGUUCGUCGGCGUGGUCGACUCGUGCUCCAUCUGUUGAUCCUGUCGAAGUAAUGAGGGUCGCUCUUCCUGUUUCCGUUGUCUCUGCUUCUGUGGCUUCAUGGCGGCGGCGGCGGCGGCGGCGGCGGCGGAUGCUUCGAUCGCCGCCGUGCGGUGGCUUCUCCCGGCUGUGGAAUGUUUCGGGGUAAAAAAUUCGCCUUUGAUGCUUAAUCCAUGUUUUUUCAUAUGUUUACGAUAACUAAAACUCAGGGGGUCGUUAUUUUCUUCGCAUUUGAUCUAUAUUGCUUCGCAAAGAACACUUUUUGAUUACAUUGAUGAGGUUUGCCUUGUCCCUGGUUCCUACCUAUCAGGUAACUCAACUUUCAAGGAAAUAUAAAAGUUAAUCUCACAAAAAAUCUCAAAUUAUACACAUUGUAACCAAAUACUCCGAAUCUUUUUUAUAUCACGAAGAAUCUUAAAUUCAUUUUUAUGACAUAUAUCCUAGCUUUUUUUUAUGUCAUAAAAAACCUCGAAAUUAUAUUAAUAUAACAAAUAUAUUAUAGAUGGAACUGAAAUAGAAAACAUAUAUAAAUAUGAUACACAUGUAAAAAUUUGGAUUUUUUUGUGAUACAAAAAAAUUAAGGUAUUUGUGUUGCUAUGGACAAAUUUAGGGUUUUUUGUGACGUAAAAAAAAAAGUUGAAGAUAUUUAUAUCACAAUAAAUGUAAUUUGGGGGCAAAUCAAAUUUAUGGAGCAAAAGUGGUACAUCUAAUCUUUUCCUUUCAAUCAUUAUUAUUUUCUUGUUUUAUAAUUAAAAGGUGUUAAGAUUUCAACGGGAAGUUUUCCGUUUUCGAUUUCAUCUUAGGUAUGCUAAAGUAUUCUCAAAGGAAUCUAGUGAUAUGAAAAACAAACUAGUAAAAUGAACAUACGAAAAAAGGUUAUUAUUGUGAUAAAAAAUGACAUCACAAUAUUUUUUUUGGAGGAAACAAAACGUCGCUUUUUAAUACGAUACACGAGAACCGCACUGAAUCAGCUAGUUUUGGUUAUUCUCGAUUCCAAAUUUUUUGAAUAGGAAUAAUCAAACUAUUUCCUAAUUUCAUAUGGGAAUCAAACUACUCGAACGAUAUGUCUUUUUUUUUUUUAACUACCCUCUUCUUUUAAAAAGUAAAGAAAAGGAAAUUGCCAAAAUCCUAAACCAAACCGGUCUAACCUAGGAAUUAAUCUAGUUUCCAAUUCUAAAGUGAAAUUGGCCCAACUCGGGAAUCAAUCACCUUUCCUUUUUAAUGAUAUGCAAGAAAGGAUAGAAAAGGAUAGGUAACUUUAUAUUCUAUCACGAAGUUGAUUAGAGAACCUACAGUCUACAGUAAGUAGCCAAGAGAGAGGAAGAAGGGAGGAAAAAUAGAGAGGAGAACAGGAAGAAAUGAAUCCUAAAAGCCAACAAGGAGUGCUUCAUUUCUGUGUUACUGAAACCGUAUACCUAUUGCAAUAUAUUUACAUUGAAUAUAAAUUAUACAUUACCAUGAUGCCCUUAUGUAUGUAAAAAGAAAUAAAAGCUAGAAAAUAAAACCAACACCAUUCAAGUAAUGUAACACUCCCCUUAAACUAGAGCAUAUAGGUCACUCAUACCCAACUUGGAACAGCUAGUAACAAAGACAAGACAAAACAACACUUUAAUAAACAUAUCAACCAAUUAAUCUCUAGAGGCAAUAUAAAUAGUAGUAACCAACUUCUGCUUCCCAACAUCACAAAUAAAGUGACGGUCAACUUCUAUACACGUAGUUCGCUCACGAAAAACAGAAUUCCUAACAAUAUAAAUAGCUGCUUAAUUAUCACACAUCAUAUCAUAAUCAUAAGUUGAUUAAUAGAAGGGAUUUCAACCACAACAAUUUAGUCACAAUAUGUGCCAUAGCACGAUAUUAUGCCUCCACACUAGACUUAGGAAUAGUUGUCUAUUUAUUGCUCCUCCAAGUAAUCAAAUUACCACCAAGAAAAGUGCAAUACCUAGUUGUGGACCGAUGAUCACAUGCUAACCCAGCCCAAUCAACAUCAGAAUACCAUUAGGUUUAUAAAUCAGCCCCUUAUUAGGAGAGCCUUUAAAGUACCAAAGAUGCGAUAAAAAGCGACCCAACAAGUGUUCUUUGGUAACACCUUUAAUUGACUCACCACACCAAUAACAAAGGAAAUAUCUAAAUGUGUAACAAUGAGAUAAAUUAACUAAUUAGCUUGAAUAUCAUGAAUAUCCUUGAUGCUUAUCAUAUAUGAUUUCUAAUUAACAUGCAAUUACUUAUUCUUUUUCAAGAUUUUCUUUUAUUUAAAUGAAAUUUAUUUUUGUGUGAAAUGCCAUGCAAUGACAAGCCAAAAUGCCUAACUAAAAUGACAUGUAACAUGCAACGUAUCAUGAACCAUAUGUCACAACAUGAUCUAAUGACAAUGUAAUUAUCCUAAUAUGUCAUGCACUCAAAUGAUCCUAAACAUGCAAUGACUAGAUGACGAAAUGACCUAAUUCUAAGUUACACACGCAUGAUAUUGCCUAAUAAUUGAACAUGCAAUUAAUGAAAAGAAAAUCUAACAUCCUCAAUUAAUGUUUUUGGUGUUCUUAUUUCAAAAAUUCAGAAUUAAUAAAAUGCCUAAUCUAAAUAUGCAAAUUAUCCUAAAACAAGCAAUAUUCUAACAUGAACCUAAUCUAACUCUAUAUAUAUUGGGUUUUUCUUUUAUGGAAAUAAAAUCGAUUCAAACAAUACAACGGCAAAUCAGACAAGAUAUGAUUAAUAUCCACCAAAUAAAUUGAUAAAUCGUAUCUCGCGCAUGAGAUCGGAUUGGUCAAUUCUAACAAAAUCUUGACGGUGAGAUCGGAUUGGCGAUUUUUCCGCACGAUUGUGAGUCAUAUUCCAGGCGUGAAAUCAGAUUGUCAAUCGUAUGCACAUUGUGAAAUUAGAAAGAUUACCCAAUUUAUAAGGCUACUCGAGAUUACGGAUAUGAUAGCAUAUCGAGAAUUUCAAUCACGUGCAUUGAUGAAUAUUUGAAAUAAGGAAAUGAAAUUUUCUGAAAUCAAAAUAGAUAAGUUUUCACCUAAUUCGAAUAUUGGCUCACCACGUAAUGUGGUGGUGCUCAGCGAGGCUCACAGGAUGGCUACUCGCCAGGGGGCUUUGCGUGCGGCACCUUGAUGAUUGCUCAAUUCAAUGAUAUGCGCGUAAACCUCAAGAAGCAAUUUGCAAAACGAUAACUUUUGUUGUUGUAGCAAUAGCAAGGCUUAGCCGAGAGAACUAGAGAACCACGAUGGGGAGAUGCUCCAAAUUACAAUAAAAUAAGCGUGUGAAAUCCUCCCUCCUUUCAAUGUAUACGUCCUCCUUUAUUAAAAGAACAUGCGCCCUUCUCUUGCCCAGAUUUUAGUGACUCGGAUGAUUGCUGAAUUUUUUACCGAGCUCAAUCACCUCGCUGGAAUUCGUUGGCAACGCGAGUAUUGGUGCAAAUCGUCUGGGCGCGAUGAAACAAACCCAAGGAUCGGGCUGAUUGGGAUGGGUGACAUGAGCAGUGCCUACUGGCGUUGCGGUAGCAACGGGGUCGUGGCCAGGAAACAACCAGCUCGGUUCACGGAUGCGGGGCAGCAGCGAUGGCGGCGUUCGGGUAAUAGUCGGAACAGCAACUACGAGGGGCGGAGUUGCAGUGACGUCAUCGAUGAAGGGGCUGCGGUGGCGUUGUCAAGCGGUCGAGUAAUAACUCAACAGGGUGGCAGCUCGUUGACAAUGUAUCGCAGACGAUGAAAGCACCGCGGCAGAAGUGUUGGCAUGGGUCUGACUCUUGACCAAGAAGACUCGCACUCUUUCCUCUCUCACGUGUGUGUGUCUCUCCCUCUCGUAUCAAGAAUGCCCCCUUUUUUUUGUCGAGUAACGAGUCCAUUUAUAGUGAAAGGGUGUAAACCAUCGAGGAAAGAACGCAUAUUUUGUUUCCUUCUGUGCAUGCUUUGAAAUAUAUUCUAUUUCCUUUCCUCUUCCUCGUUGUCCGAAUGCCUUCUUUGCAGGGAUAUAUCUUUUUUUGCAAAUCCAUGUGCCCGUAGUGUAGAACGUGCCCAACAUUCCCUUCUCAUGCUGAUCUUCCGAAUUUCCAUAUGCUCGUAUCUUUCCACAUAGGGCCAUGCAUGAUGAAUAUUCUCUGCCGAUUUUAUUUCUUUAACCCAAAUACUAGCCCACAAAUUGAUCGAGUAUUGCCAAAAAUUCAAGAUCGUAAUAGAUUUUUCCUAGAUUACGAACCUUGCAAAGAUGAGCUCGCAAUAUCUCCCUCAUAUGCUUGUCAUCACCGAAUAUACGAAAGAUUCACCGAAUAUUGGAAGAAUAAUAUAAAUCUUUUCCAAAAUAUAUCGAAUUGUCAACUCGUAAAAUUGUAGCUUAUCCGCCGCCGAUCAAAUGCAAAAGUGAUAAACAAAUAGAUAAAUGCAACUAAAAUUAUAUGCUAUGCAAUUUUAAUUUUAUUUUUUUAGGGGUUAAAAAUUAAUCUCUAAUUUUCUAUGCAAUAAAUAGAUGACCGAGUCGUCAAAAUUUAGGUGUCAACAGCAGGCUACGCCAUGACAUUGCUUCCUUAAAGAUGACCUUUUAAUUAUUGUUUUUUUGGUCGAAAACCUUUUAAUUGCACCUUUUUUUAUUACUGUUGGCACGAUGAUUUUUUAACUCGACAAGGACUGCCAAUCAACCAUGCAAUGAGGGGACAAUUUCUACGAUGAGAAACGCGCACGCAUUGACUAUGGGAGUCUCCGGAGACAAUUAUACAUUUCUACCAACACUGAGAAUCUAAUCUCCAUAAUUGGCAAUUUGCUUUUGCAUGGGAAAAUUGUCCAAAAAAUUCUAAAUUUAUUACACUUUUACCAAUUUAGGCAUAGAUCUUCUAAUUUGUAAAUUGAGUUCUAAACAUUUUUACUUCUUACCAAUUCAGCUGUAAACCUUUUUACUUUUUGCCAAUUAAACCACCGGCUAAUUUUGAUCAUAAAUUACUAACAUGAAUAGCCGAUGCUGAUGUGGUACUUUUUUUAAUAAUACUUUGAAUAUUUUAUAGUUUUUUUUUUGUGACCUCGCCCGUGGCUAGCAAGAGUUGGCCGGCAACUCUUGUCUGCCCUAGAUCCAAAAACCCAAAAAUAAAGCAAAAAAGUUUUUAAAAAACAAAAAGAAAGAGAAAAAAAAAAUCUAGAAUGGAGUAGUAAAGCUUUUGUCCAACUCUUCAUGUGAGAGCAAGAGUGAGAGCAAGUCAGAGACAGAGAGUGAUGUCUGAAAGUGAGAGAUAGAGAGAGAGACAACCCCGUGUCUUCCUCCAAUGUAGGGAUAUUCCAUUUAGAAUGAAGUAGUAAAGCUUUUGUCCAACUCUUCUUACCUAAUUUUUUUUCUUCUAGAGACAAUAGUCUUUUUUGUUGCUCUAAGUUUGCUAUGACCACAUCUCAAAUUUAGAUUAUUAUACAGUUUAUUGAAGGCAGAGUCCAAAUUCCACGAUUCUUGGAAACUUCAGUAGCUCAUGAAGUUGUCCAAAUAAUAAUUAGAUUCACUUUUUUUGGGACAAAUCUUUUUUCCCCCUCUUUCUUUUGACUUCAAUUGUAACAAAUUACUAUUCUUUUAAAAAAUAGUCAAGGGCUACGGCCACCAAGACCCGGUUAUGUGGAGGCCAAUGAAAUACCCUACAAGUCUUACAAAUUGGCUAAGCCCAAUUCUACGCCCCUGACUUGAUAUAGUUUGCGCGCCAUUGGUGGUAUCAUAUAUGUUGAACAUAAAUAAUGGAAAAAGUUAUCCUUUUAAAGUUGUUAAAAAAUAUAUACAUAUCAUAUAUGACGAGUUUGGGAUCUAAUGUCAAUGGACAGAAUAAUAAUAUCUUAAGACUUUUUAGGACAAUAAUUGAAUUGUACAGCUGUGGAAACUGAAAUAUUUGGCACCAUGGUCUAUCCCGUUCAUUAAUGGGUGCUUGUACAUUAGCAUAUCUAAGUCUCUAUCGAUGUUGACAAGUGUUUCACAAGUCAACUAUACAGCUCUCUUUUUUAGAUAAAAUUACCAAAGCAAGUUCUAAAUCGAUUGUAUUUGUAUCAAUUAAGUCAUAAAUUUUUCAAUUAUACCAAUUCAAUCCUAAACUUUUUGAAAAUUUCCAACAUAAUCCAUCCGGCCCUCGCCUCUAGUCAGCCACAGUUACUGGCGAAGGAAGAAGGAAAAAAGAAAAUGAAAGAAAAGAAAAUUAAAAAUUAAAAAAUGUGGAUCUUUUUAAAUUGCAAAAAUUAUCUACGUGAGCACCAACUGUGCCACAUAGGAUGGCCAGUGGGCACGACUUAUUCAUAUCAACAAUUUCCUAUCAAAAUUAGCCAGUCAAUUUAAUUGGCAAAAUUUGAAAAUAUUUAGGACUCAAUUGAUAUAGUUGAAAAGUUUAUGAUUAAAUUGACACUGGUACUAUAGAUUUAUGAUUUUUUUUUAAAAAUAAAAUUUCCAUCUUUCUUGAGCUGCUCAUAGACUUGUCCACAUACAUACAUACAUACAUACAUACAUACAUACAUACAUACAUACAGAGAGAGAGAGAGAGAGAGAGAGAGAGAGAGAGAGAGAGAGAGAGAGAGAGAGAGAGAGAGAGACGACUGUCUUAGUUUUUGGCUUCUAGAGAAGGCCAAUAAUUUUUAAACUCAAAUAUUUAAAAAAUUAUAAAGAUUAUAUGAGAACUAUUGUGGCAAAUGAAAGGUUUCAAGUGCUUGUAAUUUUUUUUUAAAAGACCAAUUAUGUGCGUAAAUAUUGAAAGAAACUUUUAACUAUUUAAAUAGUCAUCGUCGAAAGAGGCUGAAAUUUUCCAAUUACAGGACGAGUCAUGGAAUCGUAGGGAGGAGGGGUUUUGUACUUUGACUUUGCUUUGGCCAAACAUGGCCUCUUUUAUCUCCGUUCCAUGUUAUAAACGUGGACACCAACUGCAGAAAAAUCAAGGCACGUAAAACAAAAGUUGACUUAGACCAAAUAAUAAUGGUUCCACGAACCACGUCAUGCACAAGACCUAAGAAAAACAAAAUCUUAUAUGCAUGUCUAAUCAAAUUAAUGUCGAGUUGUCAAGGGUUGUUUCAAUACCGUCAAUCAAUGAAGCUAUAUUCAACACACAAGUUUCAGAGCAUUGAAAAUUCUAGGUUAACUUUAAGUAAUGGAUUCUAAGCACGGAAUCUCAUCACUUACCUUGAAAUCUUCCUUGACUACAAGAAACCAUGUAGAUUGGAACAAUUUUCCGUUGUAUGUUUCAAUAGUCUUGAAUUUCGAAAGCUAUUAUAUUUUUAAUGAUUUUCGACCGUCAUCAAUUUGUAACCAUUUUUAUCACCCAUUACUUUAUUACAGUUUUAUACUUCUAAAGGGGUUGGAGUAAAUCUCUUAAUUAGACAAAUAAGAAAAUAGUCAAAUCUCAAUAACCUCUCCUUUCGAGCUUCUAAUUAAAGAUAAGAGAUUUCUCAAGCCCUAAUUAGUCAACUGGACUAUUAGAGAUAUAUUUAAAAUAUUCUAUGAUUCUAUAUAUUAUUAUAUGGUUAUGUAUAUUUCCUUUGAUUGGUCUUGAUUUGUUACUUUAGAUAGUUAUUAUAUAAAGCCUAUAAAUAAGCUCGUGUAUUCUUUAUUUGAUGUUCUACAGAAUAUUACAAGCACGAAUAUUACAUCUUUCGGUCAUUAUGAUUCUCAACUUGGAUGAAAGAACAUCUUAAAAGUAGAACCUCGUCAAUUUACUUGCCUAGCCGCCUGAAACAUUAUUAGUAGACUACACCAUGACGUCGCUUCCCUAAAGGUGAUUCAAUUUUUGACCUUUUAAUUACUGUUUUUUUGGUCGAAAACCUUUUAAUUGCACCUAUUUAUUACUGUUGGCACAGUGAUUUUUGAACUCGACAAGGAUUGCCCAGUCAACCAUGCAACGAGGGGACAAUUUCUACGAUGAGAAACACGCAUGCAUGCAUUGACUAUGGGAGUCUCCGGAGACAAUUAUUCAUUCCUGCCGACACUAAGGACCCAACCUCCAUGAUUUGGCAAUUUGCUUUUGCGUUCGUAAUCUAGAACGCGGAAUUUAUGCUAAAGAGCUUCUUUGAAUUUUUGAUGUCCCUCUUUUCUUUUUGUGAUAGAAAACUUUCCACACGGAUGUUUUAUCGUGUUCAAAAGAAAUGUCAUCUACAUCAUGUUUCCAUGAAAGUCUUUACACAUUGCACUUUGAACGUAUCAGUACAUGCGUUAAUGCAACUGAAAGUCGAUUCAGACACCAAUGAGAGUAAGUGUGGGCUGGGUUGAAGAUCUCCAUUCAACCGGCGAAUGCGUCAAAUGUGGGAAAAUUAUCAUAUUAGGUAGAUAGAAUAUGAUUUUCGGCAGAUAAAUAAUAUGAGUCAAAACGAAUACUAUGACCCAUCUUAAAUUUUGAGACCCAUGUUCUCCCUUAAGUCUAAUCAUGGAAACCCAUGACCCACAUGUAUUUAAAUUCUCUAUUCCUUUGUUUUUUAAUUCGAUUUACAUGUUUCUGAUCUUGAUGUUUUCUAACUUUAUUUUGAUCUUAAAUGCACAUGCCAUCACCUAACGAGAGGAGCACAUAUUGAAAGACAAUGUGAAUAGAUGAGAUCUGUGGCAUCCCAAAAAUUCAAGACAUCCUCUAGAGAAAUUAAAGCCCAUAAUUAGGUAAUGAAAUUACCUAUGGUUUAUGCUUUAGCCAUUAGUUUUCUUUUAAGGCUAAGUGAUAUAUGCUUGUGUUCAUGAAUUUUGGAAAUUGGAACUAUAGGAUAAAUUUAUGAGGAUGAUUUAUUCUUAGCCAUGUGAAAUUAAAAUUUGAAAAUCUAUGAAAGAACAAAUUAAAGAUGAAUAAUUGAAAAGUGGAAUUGUGAAUUUUAAUUAGGUUGGGCCUUAGGCCCAAGAGUGGACCUUUAAUGGGCCAAGUUGGCCGGCCCAUUGAAGCCCACAAGGGGGCUGCCGUCGACCAAGAAAGGGGGGAGGAGUGGCCGGCCCAUUGCUGGCCCAAAUGCCCCAAGCCCAAGCCCAAAAGCCCAUGCAUGAGCUUUGACAAGUGGCAAAAGGGAGAUGGCAUGCAUUGGCCAAUUGAGAGGCAACCUAAUCAUUGCAAAUGAUGAGGAAAUGGGGCAAUAAAAGGGAAGAGGAGAGAGAGAGAGGUGGCCGGUUAGCCAUUCGGCCAAGUGAGAGAGAGAACCGUGCGAGAGAGAGGGAGAGAGUGUGGCCGAGAGAGGAGAAGCCGAGAGGAAGGAGCUCGCCGUCCGCCCGUUGCCACCCGUUGCCACCCGUGCGCCGCCCGUUCGCCGCCAUGUGCUCGUCGCUAGCUUGGUUUAGAGGCAAGUUGGGAGUCCACUUUCUACUCUUGCACCAAUGUCUUGCAUGUAUGGUCGGAGUCUAGGAUGUUUGGAAGCAUGGGAGCGAAGCUAUUGUGGUUUGUUCUUGAGUUGCAUGCUAUUUUCGCUUGAAUCCGCCUGAGCCAGAACUUUGUGAGAGCUUGCAUGCAUGUUUUGAGUUAGAUUUUGACCUUUAUUCCUUCAUGAAAGUUGUAGAAAACAUCUUAAAAUACAACAUACUAAAAUUUGGUACAAAAUUGUGGAGACUUAAGGGGUCAAACUCUCAUCCUACGGAGACAUUAGAUCUGGAACGAUUUCACUGACCUUUCGGUGGAUUUGAGGUUGCAUGUUGAUUUUUACUAAGAAUAUAUUUUCGACUUCUUCAUGGAACUUGUAUAGAACAUCUUAAGCUACAAUAUACUCAAAUUUGAAGUAAAAUGAACAAGUAUAACCUAGUAAAUCGACCUACGCUUGAAGACGGUAAAUCUGGAGACGCGGUACAGGACACCCGAGACUUCAUGGACCCAUAUGAUGACUAUACUCUGGAUAUUUGACUUAUAUCCCUUCAUGAAAGUUGUAGGAGACCUCUUUAUGUAGAACAUAUCCAAACUUCAGAGGAAACGAAGAAGAAUAAGUGGGUAAAAACUCGGUAUUUCGGAGAUGACUACACUGGACGUUUCGGUAUGAGGACCAGAAGCUUCGGACGACUAUAGAAAAAUAUCUAAAACGAAUUUGGCUUAGAAUUAUUCAUGAAAAAUCUAAUUUAGUGUCUUAGCUAGAACCUGGUAAAAUUUCAUAAUUUUUGGAGGUUUUUCGGGUAUUUUAAUCGAAUUAAUCCGAAAAAUCCACAUUCUGUUUUAUCCGAGAAUUGCAUGCUGUAAUUGUCCGAAUGAUAUUUUGUAUGGAACUUUAUUGGCCAUGUGUUUUUCAUGAAAUCAAUGUAUUAUUGUCUUGUCUAUGUUAUGUCUUAAUUUCGUGAUUUUUGAAAAUCAUAUGGAUAUUUAAUUUAAUUAUUUUCGAAAAUGGUACAAGCUGGAAUUUAAAUAAAUUCAAAAGGCAUGAUAAAUGGACUAUGCUAAAUUGUAUGAGUGCCCUAAAUUUUAUGUUUAUGAUUGAUUGCAUAUUGCUGCAUGUAUGAUGAUGACCGAUGAUGCACGUAUAGAUUGAAGCAUGAAAGUGGUUUUGUUUGCCAUUAUAUCGUGUGACAUGCUGAGUUGAGACCUAAAUUGGUAAGCAAGAAUAACAAUAAAUGAGGAAACGGAAUGUGGCGGAUGAUAAUGCCCUGGGAGUAUCAGGAUGCCCGGAAUGGUUGGGUGCCGGAAGCCUCGGAGGUCUUUGCCCGAGGAGAUGCCUUGUGAUGCCAGUUGGGAUGCGAGAUGUCCGGAAUGUGGGGGUGCCGAAUGCCCGAUGGCCUUAAAUGGCUGAAUGCCGGAGGUUUUUCUCGCCAUGCCAGGAUGGGGUGCGAGUGUAAAGUAUGGGAUGAAAUUGAUGAUCCGAGGAAGGGUGAUGUGGUGAUUGAAUUGAAAGUUAAAAGUGGAAAUUGAAUCACGCAUGUAUGAUAUGAUAUGAUGAUGAUCACCCAUGGCAUGAUGAUGUGCAUGUAUGAUAUGAUAUGAUGAUGAUCACCCAUGGCAUGAUGAUAUGCAUGUAUGAUAUGUGAUGAUGAUCACCUGUAGCAUGAUGAUAGGCAUGUAUGAUAUGAUAUGAUGAUGAUCACUUAUGGCAUGAUGACAUGUAUAUAUGAUCAUGAUUGUGAUGAUGCCAUGCAUGGCAUCAAGGUAAGUACGCUUGAAUGCAUGAAUGGCAUGUAUGAUGUUGUGAUUGUAUUGCAUGAUGCAUUAAGUGGUUAUUAGAUUCCUUUACCUACUGAGUGGUUGUACUCACCCUUUUGGGGAUCAACAUUUCAGAUUAGCAGUAUGCCGCUUCCUACUGUCACGCGGGGUGUAUUUUACGGCCUACCAUUCGAUGUUGAGGUCGAGUGCGAGGAGUUUGGCUGUCCCUCUGUUUCUGGAUUGACGUAUAUUCGAGUACGCUGUUUAGUUAUGUACGAUGUAGGCCUGGCUGGGGGCCCUGUUGUCCAGGAGUUCAUAUCCGUCCACAUUCGCCGUAACGGUGUGAUGCGUGGGAUGCUGCCGCCGCCACCGCCUGAUGCACCGGGAUGGGUGUGAGGGCCCGUGCAUGACGAGUAGGAGCUGGAACUUUUUGGGAUAGUUAGCCGACGCUAGUGAUGGGGGAUCUUGCACGUAAGUUGUAAUGGGUCGAGAGUUUCUUUUUGGGGUUUUAGGCCGGGUGUGGCUAAGUCCUGGCUUUUCUUUUGAUGUACCGACCCAAGAAAACCCAUCUUGAAAAUGUGUAAAUAAAGUGUCAUGGCUUGUCUUUUAAUUAUGAUGAUUAGUGGUGUGCAAUUGUAUCAUGGUUGAUGGAGGGUGAGAUGGCGAUGUUUUAUUUUGCUUCCGCUAAUGAGUUGCGCUGGAACCGUUUAAAAAAAAAUUGUCUAUGAAUUACGACGCCUCUUCUAAGAGAUGUAAUAAGGUGUAACGUUGGUGCUUGUGGCGACCUGAGAAGGGUUCGGGGUGCCACAAGAUCCGCCACUUAUUUUUUAAAAAAUCAUUUUUAUGCUUUGUCAAUUUCUUGACAUUAACUCCUUUCCAAUCUCUAAACCUUCCAAUGUCCUAUUAAAAAGUCUAAACCAUUCAAUGCUUUUCCAUAGCGAUAUUGAUCGUUAGUAUUCAUUUGAAAGCCUACCCCUUUCUUGAGUCAUGGAAAAAUUACCUCCAUAGCUUGCCACCUAUUUUAUCUUAAAUUAAAAUUUAAGUUCAUUUUUUUCAUAGUGACACACAAUUAUUAAACUAAUGAUAGUUAUGGAAAAAUUACCUCCAUAGCUUGCCACCUAUUUUAUCUUAAAUUAAAAUUUAAGUUCAUUUUUUUCAUAGUGACACACAAUUAUUAAACUAAUGAUAGUUAUAAAAUUGACAAUAAAAACCUUUCCAAAUAUCAAUAUUUAAAUAAAUUUUCACUAACGGUUACAUCUAUAGUCAUAAAUCAAACCUAUAAAUCAAACCUAAACCUAAGUGAUUUAAGAAAUAUAGCCAAAUGGAAAAAUAAAUCAUCUUACCUUAUAGUGAUGGCCCACUCAUUGAACGCAGUCCAAUUUGCAUUCUCUGACCCAACCAAGUUGCAAAAGCUAACCAACGGUCAAUGUCAACUCGGUAUCGACUUCACUUAGUUCCUAAAAUUCAGUCCCUUGCAUUGCAUAAAACGAACCAUUUUUACUAAAUUUUUAUUACAGAGUUGAGAGAGAGAGAGAGAGAGAGAGAGAAGUAAUGGCAUGACAUUGAACUGUCAGAUUCUAUUUAUUAAUUCGAUAAUAAAGUAAAAAAAGUAACUACUAGAAGUAAUGGUCCACCGAGAUACAAGUACUUGUUGGAUUCCACUUAAAGCACCCCUUCUUUUUUGUUCUUUUUCGGUUAGUUAAUUAGGGCGCGUUUGGUAACAUUUCUAUUCCCGGAAACAAUUUUUUAUCAAAAAUGAUUUUUUUAUUUUUUUUUAUUUCUGUUCCCGGAAACAAUUUCUGAAUAUAAGAACGCGUUUGGUAACUGUACAAAAUUUAUAUUCCUAGGAAAGUAAUGUGUUCGGUAUAAUUGUAUAAUUUGGUUGUUUCUUUUAAUUUUUUUAAUAUUUUUCAUUUUUUUUCUUCUUUCUUUUUUCUUUUUUCUUCUCUCUCAUUCUUCCUCUUUUGUGGCCGGUCGCCGGCAACUAGCUAGGCGAGGUCUGGUGAGCUCGCCAGAGCCUCGUCAAGCCAAGGCAAGGGCUGGUGAGCUCGCCGGAGGCUCGCCUAGCCCCCACAAGGUUAGCCUCGCCAAAUCUAGGCAAGGCUGAGCCUCGUUAGUGGCCUCGCGAGCAUCGCAAGGCUCGACCUCGCCCAGGCAGCGCAAGGCCGAGCCUCGCCGUGCCUUGCCUAGCCAUGGCGAAGCUCGGGUCAACGAGCCUCACCAUGGCUCGGCGUCUCCAGGGGCCGCUAACGUUCCGGCGAGAUCACUAACCCUCAUCUAAUCAGUCGCCGAUGCCGGCCAUGGCCAAGGCUAGCGACAGGCCAAGAGGAAGAAGAAAAAAAAAAAGUAGAUAGAGAAAUAUAAUCUAGAAAUUGUUCUCGGGAAUAAUAAGUUAUUUUUUCUACUUCUUAUUUCUAUUCCAAAUCUAUUUUCGGGAAGGAAACAAAAAUUUUACCAAACAAGUUUUUAUUAUUUUUUCAUUCCCCGGAACAAAAGAACAAAAAUAGUUGUUCCGAGGAACAGAAACGGAUUUUAACAAACAGGCCCUUAGGAUACCAGAUUUGGUUUCCAAUUUUAGUGGAAGUCUACCAGUUUAGAAAUCAGGAUUUACGAAGUUGCAACAGAACUGCUGUUUUGCUUUGCUGGGUUGUAAUUGUAAUAGCGGCAGCGAAUCACACACCUUUGAAGUAGACACUUCAAUUUUCGUUGUGGGAUGUUAAGUGUCAACUCCAUCAAUAUUCACUCGGCCCCCACCUCUCAGAUCUCAGGCAGAGUAGACUAACCCAUUAAGCUUUUGGUUUCGAUUUCAACUUGUUUGAUUCUUGACAUUAAUUUAAGGUCGUUUUGGGCAAUGAGGUAUGAUGAGGUAGUAAUCCAACAUUUGCAAGAAACAGUGACUAGACAUGCAAGUUUCUCCGGAGAAAUUUUGCGGGUAGACAUACAAGUUUCUCUUUCAUCAUUUCUCAAAGAUGGGAAAGAUGAAAUUGGCCGAUCAUCAUCCACACUAAAGACAAAAAAUUGGCAUCUACUAAGAGAAAUUCUUGAGUAGCAACAUAUAACAGGCCGAGCUCAUGAACAAAACACAUCCAGAGCAAGAAGGUGCCACUUCGCACAUCUCGCGAUUCAAACAAAUGAAAAGCUUCCAUAAUAGAUUCCCUCCCUUGCAGUGGCCAACACAUCGUUAUUGUGUGAAGAGGAAAAAGUUGCAACAUUGUCUCUCUUUGAAUAACAAAAUGGAAAGAGAUAGCACGAAUACAAACACCAAACCACAAGCCAUUGUUUUGUUUAUAUUACCUAUACCUUCAGUUCCAAAUGUGAGCGAAAGAGAAACUUCGAAGCAACAUUUAAGAGUUCUGCUGCAAGGAUUACCCAACGAAGCCCUAGUUCUUUCAAGAACUAAUUUACUUAGAACACAACAAACCAUUUCUUACUCUCUCUUGUGCCAGUAAUCAGUAUCCAGAAGUACUGGAUAGAGAUCCAGAUGUAGACAAAGCGGUUCCAGUCCGUGGCCCUUCAAUAGACAUACUCUUGCUGAUAUUCUCACCAACUGUCUGAUGUUCGUCACCUCUAAAAUGCUUCCUCAUGGCCUCAAUUUUCUCCUCAGUCAUGAUAGCGCCCGCAGAGUCCAGCACUGGAACAGCAACCUUGCCUUCAAGCAUGCUAACCACAGAUGACAUUGGCGGCCUGAGUGCUGGAGUCACAUUAGUACACAUCAAAGCUACCUUUAUCAAUGCCAGCGCCUCCUCUUUGUUAAAGUGAGAACCAAGCCUCGGAUCAACUAGUUCUAUCAAAUUCUCUCCCUCCUUCAGAAAGUGUGCCUAGAUACAGAAAUGUAAAGUGAAGGUAUUUCCCUUUCAAGCUUCAGGUAUUGAUCAGUUGCAAAAUAUGCUCUAAAUACUGAAACAGGAAGAAGUAUAUUAUCUCCCUUGAUAAUUACGAGACAAAUGCAGUUGAUAAGCACCUGCUAGUUCUAGGGUAUAAAUGGAUAAAAAGAAUCGAAUGAGUCAAUACAGAUCCAGCAUGAUUUUUUUUACCGAUUUUAAAUAAAAGAUACUAGACUACAACAUCACUUAAUAUGGUUAACCAGUUGCCAAGAAAUCACCUACACCGCUUUAAAAUCGCCAGCUAUUGUCGAGUUUUAUCAGCACAAAUUAUUUGUCAGUGUCAUUACAUGAAACGGCAGACUCGUCUUUCAAUGUUCUUGAUUAUGCAACUCAGGCGACAAUCAGAUUUAACAAGGACUAAUAAUGAUUGUUUGCUCUAACGAUUGCUCACUCAAAGCAAAAUAAAAUCUAACUUAGGGAGUCAAUUAUAUGAAUGUGAAAAAAGUUAUACCUCAAUUGAAAGUAUAUGGAUAUUCUGGUCCAGACAUGGUCUUGAAAACUUUUUUUUUUUUUGGUAAGAGUAAGCAAUAUAUUAAAAGGGGUCAAACUGUACAAACAACACGACUCCAAAAGCUUACACUCAAAAUGAACACGCUCAUUAAGAGUGAAAGGAAGCCGCGGACAAGCAACAAAACGACCAAUAGAAAGCCAACGGCAAACAAGCCUGGCAAAAACACCUAAGCAACCACCGAAAAGUGUAUGUCAGACUACGAUCAGAGGAAGCGAAGAUAAUGGGGUCCACAUCCCACGAGCGUUGCAUCCCACGAGCGAAGAUAAUGGUCUUGAAAACUUUUUAAUUUAACAGUAAUUGCCAAAAUUCAAUAGUAGUCGAAGGACUUGUUUGGCGCUAAUGAAACUACAGGGAGUAUGAAUGUCAAGCAUAAAAACAUAAAGACUAAAACUGAACUUUCGAGAUCUACCCUAAAUUAUGGGGUCAACUUCCCCAAAUUUCAAGGAAUAGAAUUUUCUUCAUUCCAAAAAAAGAAAAAGAAAGAAUCUACAUGAAAAUUCAGAGUAGACCAACAUGAUAAGAAGAAUCGGAUUAAUUUGAAAUAACAAAUUGCACUUAACAACAUGACAAUUCGUUAAGCAAGUUUCAAUAGCUGUUAAUCGUGAAACUCCUUUGCAACCAUUGAAAGUGCAUGUGAGGAUUUAAAUACGGAUAUGAUCAUAAUUGAAAUGAUAGAGUUGAUUACCCAAUCGAGUAGAUUAAAGCAUUCCUCAGUUCUUUGGGAGCUAAUGUUGCUCCGGCCAUUAACAACUUCUAAGGCAACAAUGCCAAAACUAUAGAUGUCGGCUUUGUCAGUGAGAUAACCAUGCAUUGCGUACUCCGGUGCCAUAUAUCCACUGCACAACGAAAAAAGAGCUUGUGUUUGCAACAAGGUAACUGCCUUAAAUAGCACUUACUUAAAAUUCCUAAAAUUCAAAAGAAAGAGUCCUUCCUAAAUGCAACGCUAUGGUCUAAAGAGUAGAGGAAAAAAACAAAUGCAUCCUAAUAUAUUCUAAUAUCAUUUACCGAGAAUAUUUCAGGAAAAAAAAAAUAUCAUUGUUUAUAAACUUUUUUUUGGUUGGAAAUAUAAGGAUCAUUUAUAAGAUGACGUACACGAGCUUAAGGGCAUUUCCCAGCAUUACAAAGAUAUCUAAGAACGUGCAAAAAUGGAGUGAGGGAAUCUCCAUAUAGUACCCAAUAUUACAUUUAUUUGGGAAGGCCUAAAGUUUUUGUAAUGUGAAGCUCGCCCUGUAACAAGUCUACGAAUUUUAGCCACGAUGAUGGAGACAUCAUUUGACUUGUUUUGGAAAUGUCUAUAGUUACGUUUAUAUUUAUUUUUGUUGAAUAAACGUUAGAGUUAGUAGAAUGAACUUACAAUUUUAUCUUUUCCCUAAUUAAUCACAUUCCUUUCAAAAACAAGUUGACUUUUCACACGCAUUAAUGCAAACAUCUAAAAUAUGUGAACAUGCUUAUCUAUGUUUUUCCAUGUGCAUACAAUAGAAACAUGGGCAAAUUUGCUAUAAUACUAAGUUAUAUUCAAAUUAACAAUUACAUAAGUCAAUAUCAGAGUAUCAUUACUUAAUGGUAGAGUAUGACACAAUUUACAUUUUUUUGCUAAUUAAUGUAAAGAGUGGUGGGACAGUCAUAAAGCUUUGUGGUUAAGCCGAAUUUGUUGAGCACCAUGCUUUGGGAUGAUGUGAAUCCACCACAAAGCUCCAUUCAACUCACUUUUCUUAAAUCAGAAUAUAUGUUUCUAUUCCAUGCUUUUAUGUUGUCACUGGCUCCUACUUAGGUUAACAGGAACAAAAAGCAAGAAACUUACUAAGUUCCAGCAAUCUUGGUGCUAAUAUGUGUUUUGUCCUCCUCAUCAAGCUUUGCUAAACCAAAAUCUGAUAUUUUAGGGUUGAGAUCCUUAUCCAGUAAAACAUUAGUAGCCUUAAUGUCUCUAUGCACAAUCUUCAGCCUUGACUCUUCAUGAAGAUAUGCCAAUCCCCUGGCAAUACCCACGCAUAUCUUGUGUCUUGUCCACCAAUCCAACUUUAACUGAAAUUCUUCAGGACCUUCAAUUGUAUCAGAAGACAUCAAAGCUGCUUUACUGCCAUGUCAUUAACUGAAGUCAAUGAAGCACAAUGUGAUAUCAAAUUACCAAAUAAAGCGCGAGCAAGACUGUUAUUUUCCAUGUACUCGUAAACCAGCAAAAGUUGAUUUCCUUCAAUGCAGCAUCCAUAGAGUUCACAAGAUGUGGAUGCUGAAGAGCAGAAAUCAUCCCAAUCUCAGUCAGGAACUCAUUAUUUCCUUGUUGUGAUUUGGAUGAAAGCUGCUUCACUGCUAUAACGGUGCCAUCUGACAGAAAACCCUGCAAUUCAACUUUGGCAUCAGAUCUAUGUUGUGAAAAUUGAGUUACAUUGAAUGCUGCUUUCUACAUAUCUUCUCUCUUGGGAAUUGGGGGAAUUUGGUUAGCCAAUUUUCCAGCAUACCUUGUAUACAGAACCAAAACCACCUUCUCCUAUCUUAUUGGCAGCGUCAAAAUUGUUUGUGGCAGUUUUAAUCUGUCGCAAGGUAAAUAAACCAAUUUGCAACGCUAGACCCUUCAAAUCUGCAACACGUUUUGGAACUUCUAUGAAUUUGGAAAAGUCAACAGUUAAAGUAUGUAAUCCACUAUCUAACAAAGACGUAUCAAUUCCUUCUCAAUAGUCCAGAAAACCUUUUUGUGACGUUUUGGUCUGAGCAAGUUCAGUAUAGAAUAGCUUAGCAUCUUGAAAAUUAUUUUCUAGGAAAGUCUGGCAUCAGUUGGCAGUAUGUAUUUUUGAAAAGUAAAAUGAGAUUGUCCCCAGGGUAUUUAAUAGUGAAGGAAAAUAAAAAUCAUACAGAGAACCCCCUUGGAAACGUAGGGUAUGGUUUGUAUGUUUUAAUUUCUCAUGCACGUGAAGUUCUGGCAGCUAUUUUUUGGUGUCUUGAAACAUAGACUUUGUGUGUAUACACACACACACACAUAUCUGAGAAACAAUCUACCGUCUCUCCCUAUAACUAUCUAUUCCUUCAUUUUUCAGAUUUCUAAAUAAAAAUUUAAUUCGUUAAGCAAACCAAAUGGUUCUAUGACACUUUAGCAGUAUAUUGCCUAAUGAUAAUUUUUGUCUUUUUGCGUCGAAUCAAAUUCCCUAUGGAAUGCACAAAUGUCAUGCAUCAACAGUUUUAUGGGAACUGUAAAUCUAGAUGGAGCAUUAAUGAUGCAUUGUCAUUACACUCCCCCACCAGGAAAGUAAGAAGAAGAAGAAGAAGAAGAAGUGUCAUUUGCCAACAGUUUGACAGGAACACUGUGUGAUUUAGCUGAAAUAUAAAUGAAGCAAUGUGACUAUCCUCCCUCUCCACCAGAAUACAGAAGGGGGAAAAUGUAUUCAGAGUGCAUAACAUUCUCAUAUUUCUUGACAAAUACACAUGGACUAAAUAGUGGAGAUUCCAGGUAAGCAACUACCUUGUGCCAUUUUAUCUUUACGCCCAAGGCAUCCUCUCCACCAAAGGAUAACCAGGAUAAGGAAAACUACGAAAACUAUAGCAGCCAGAAUCCCAGCCACUGUGCCAGCAGAUAUGCUGGCCCUGCUGGCCGGGGGAUCAAAGCCUGCAAUGAAGAAAAAACAAACAAAUAUUUAACCAAAACUGUUCAGUUAAUGGGGUAGACGUAAAUGCAGAAAAAUAUCUGUAGCUUCUCGUUGAACACAGAAAGAAAUUGAUGGAGAACACAAUAAUUGAGAAUCAAGAGGACAUAAAACCGCCCAGAGUACUCCACAGAAACUAUCAGAUAAAUGAGCACCGGAAGAUAUCAUUUAUGGAACAUGUAAUACAAAAUACAAAGGGAAAAAGAAAAAAAAAAUAUACUCUUCAUUCUCAAGGCUGUAUUGUAUGAUACAGGCACAGUGGUCGUAAUCCAUAGCGGAAAAGUGAACAAGGCUAUCAUUUCAUAGUCGAAUGGAAGGAUUGAAGAUACAUGGAGAAAACACGCUCAGAUAGAAAGAACACAAAGCAACCUAUAACCAAUUUUCAACUCUAAGAGAAUAAUAAUAGACCCUGGUCAGCUAUUAUGCGUAAUUGACUUGAUCUAUAGUGACAUAUGCCAAUGGCCUGAAUCCAACAGUAGGCAUUUGUAACCAAGCCAAGUAACUAAAUAGCCUAUUGAUGACUUCUGGUGCAAGAAAAAAUAUGGGUAUUCUUUUCAACAUGAAUAUGAGUAACUUUCUCAACAGAGAAGCACCAAGUGAAACAUGGAAGCAUCCAUCUGCGUACCAGGGUAGACAGAGAUAGCAGAUAUAAGAGGACCAUAAACUCCUCCGUCAGGUAUAGCAGUGGUUCCUUUCCCAGCCCAAUAGAAGCGUAUCUCCAGAGUGCCCUUGGUCACAUUGGCAGUAAAAAUUUUCAUGACCUCCUUUCCAACUCCACCUGCUUCAAUCUCAAUGUUGAAAUCUUUCCACACCAAUUUCCCCUGAAAUAGUAUUUCAUCUGAUUCAAGUUGAGUUUCUCCACACUGAACAAGGUAAAACUUUUAGUCUCCAUAGAAUGUGCAAAUUGUGAAAAAAUCAUGAUUUGCAAGUACAAGAUAUUUGGAUAAACUUCCCAACCAUAACAUAUUGAACGCUUUAUGUGCUUUAUAUAUUAGAACCAGCACUCCAUAAUGCUCCGAGUUUACCUGUAUAUAAAUAUUAAAAGCUCGCCUUCCAAGGCUUUUAUAACUUUUGUUUCCUGUGAACAUUAUCUCUGAAAAAUGAAGGGUUACAUUGUAGGGCCCAUCCAUCAGACAAAAACCGUAAUAAGUUAGAGAGAUGGCAGAACGUCGUGCUUCCAUGUAAAGUUGGGCAUUAUUCAUGGACAGUGUGGAUGUGUUUUUAACUUUAUAGCUAACUGCAGCGACAUUGUAAUCGGCGAAGUAACUAGUGCUACUGUAGGCCCAGUAAUCACUCUUGAAGAAACUUGAAGGUGUAGCCUCCUGUGAGUCAUCUUCGUAUGUGGUGCCCCUUACUUCUGCUUUGCUCCCACCGCAAUUUAUGAAGAGGUUAUACCGAGCUGAAUGGAGUAAAGAAGCAGCCACAGAGAAAAUUCAGUUUCUUCUAUUUGUUAAUAUGGAGUGGACUUUCCAGACACACUAAAUAAGCUAGCAUUCACUCAUUGGAAAAUUACAUAGAAACUCCCAAGUUAUGAGCAACCCAUUAUUUCAUGCAGGUAGCUUUUGAAAUUAUUAGGGUAAAUAUGCAUCAACCAUCAAAGAUUGACACAAUAGCCAAGAGGAGAGUUGACAAGGAGAUAAAUUUGAUGAGAAAUUACACAGAGAGUAAGAUGUAAUAUUAGAAUCUGAUGAUAAUGAUAGGAUAUGUUAGAAUAAUUUAAAUAUAAAAUCACGCAUUCUUCUAACAAUUUAAGUUUUUAAAACAGUUGGCUGUAAUCCUAUAAAAUCUCAUAUAGUAUCAAAGCUGGAUUUCAUGAGUUCAAAUCUUUCGAAGCCUAAUUUGCCUCCCUAAUUAAAUAUGUCCACACUUCAUCUAAUAGCUUAAACUUUUAGAACAAUUAGCUACAGUCCCACAAAAUUUCAUAGGAUAUACAGCACGUCAAUUUACAUUUUAUACAACAAUGACUCUGCAGCAUAUUAACUUACUUUUUGCACAACGUUGACUCUGCAAACAUGAGACAAGUCCACUUGUGGCAGAAUAUGAGGUUCUGAGCAAGUCAGCAAAGAUUUUACUGUUAUAAUCAUCAUCAUUCUUAAUGAAGUUCAAUGCUAAGAACAUAAUCAAUAAAAAUGUGGAUCCUUAGAAAUCCAAGUCUCUCGUUGAAAAGUUAAUCGCAAACAUACGCAUUCUCAACCUCAGAGCUUGCGAACAAGUUGCUGUAGAGAAAAGACAAAAUCAACAUUCAGCAGAGAAAUGGAAAUAUUAUACACAAACAGGAUAUAAGUUACUCAAUAAGUGCACAUUUGGGGGGAGCCCUGGACUGACUGAAGGAAGUAGGACAUACACAGAUCCUUCAUGACAUUCUAAGCCUCCAGCAGUGAAUUUGUUGUAUGAUAAAUCACUACACAGAGAAACAGUCAACCAUUUCCAAAAUCUCAUCAAUUUGAAGAAUAAACUGAAAGUCAUUCCAUCCAAUGAUUUUUUUUUUCAAUAAUUCCAUCAAAUGAUUAGUAUGUACAAAAAUGCAGACAAGUUGCAAAAAAUGGACAGGUAAGGCAAGAUGAAAGGUGAAAACAUCACAAUAUGAUGAAAUUGAUAUUUUAUUCCUACUGAAAAUAUCUUAUCUUAGAAUAUGAAAAGGAGAAAGACUAACUGAAGUAAAUGGAGACUUCAAAACUAUUUAUAGUGUAUAAAAACAUUUUUACUCAGUAACAGUACCAGUCAUGAUGUCUAAGGCAAAGAGGCUUAAAUAGAACUGUGAUUCCACCUACUACUACGUCGUGUUGGGGACUAGAGCUUGAGUGUCAAGGACCCAAGCACUGCUUUUAUGUACUCGGGGUCAGGUAUUAGGGCAUUGGGCUUGGGCACCAGGGCUUCGGGCCCAGCCUCGAUGGACUAGGCCCGGGCGCUGAAGACCUAGUCCUGAACGCUGAGGACCAAGAACCAGGCGUUGGGGUUCCCGUGUCCAAGCAAAGAGUUGCGGGUCCAAGCACCAAUACCAACUCAUAGUUUGGAAAAUGUUUUCCCACUUUUUCAAAAGAGGAAAUCAUUUCCUAAAUUUAAACAUAGAUCUUUCAUUGACUCGGAAAACAUUUUCCAUUAAUUCAUUUUCCUAAACAAACCAAACGCUGGAAAAUUGGGAAAAAGUUUUUCGUGAAACAAACAAAGCCAUGACAGAAUGGCAAUAUGUUGCUGUUAAAAGUAGCGUUUAUCAAAUCUUACAGAGAUGACCACAUGAACAAGAAGAAUUGACUUGUAUAGAGAUGCAUUUGAAGCCAUGCUCUCGUUUGAACUAUGAAUGUUAUGUCUGACAAGUGUACAACAGUCAAGCAAAAAACUCCAGCUAGAUAUUGUAGGGCUGAGAUUCGAGAAUGUAAACCACCAGAAGGAAAGUUUCCAGACAAUCAACCAAUAGAAGCCUCCAUUUUGCAUUAAUGCUCUUAAGAAGUUAAGAUAACAUAUCAAAGCAAAAGUAAAUCAGACGAAAUGGGAAACCACAACCAAGGUAAGAAUUCUUGCUGGAAAAGUGAAAACAAAGAGUGUUAGAAUAUUUAAAUAACAAACCACGCUUUCAUCUAAUAGGUUGAGUUUUUAGAACAGUUGACAUUUCCCGUUAAGUGAUUUAUAUGAAUCAUUAAUUUUUCUUUCAUGGAGUUUCUCCGUUAUUCAUAUGGUUCCGUAUUUUAGAAAACAUAAAAAUUAUUAAAGCACAAUGAACGCGCCAAGUACUAUUUUUACCCAAGGCUUUGCUACUUCGGGCCUUUUAACUGAAAUGCAUCAAUCCGAAAUAGUAGUACCUGCUCUCCAAUCCCAAUGGUUAAUGAUGCAUGUAAGUAUGAUGAUAUUGGGCUACGCAGCUCUUUUAUGUGGAUCAUUAUUAUCAGUAGUAGUUCCACAAAUUCUCACAGAGAGAAAAAGUCCAUAUACUUUUGUGCAAAACUGUAUAUUAUACAGCAGAGACCACAAUCACCAAGAGUUUAAAUGCCACAUCAUUCACAAUUCAGCAAUAUCAAUAGAAAAUAUCAAAACACCAUUGAAGUCAGUAAGGGACCUUCAAGCCAUCUUAAAUGGGUUCUUUAACUGCAACCAAUAGUCAACCAAAAACUAGUAGAAGUUUCACUCCUUAAGGGUAAAAUUAUUUAUUCUGCCUGGAAUAGCCAACGGGAAAAGCUGCUUUCUACUCACAAUAUUUUUAGAUUUGUCAUAUUUGCUAGAUAACCAGGUAGCUCUCCCGUGAGAUUGCAGCUCCUCAGAAUCCUAUAAGAAAAUAACACCGAUAUUGUCACAUUGCUAAGACGAUUUGGCUCUUUUGCAUAAAGUAAACUAUCUGUGAAGGAGCAUCGAUCUCACAGUGUUUCAAUAUCUGUACUGUUAAGUUGUGGAACACAAGACUCGGGUCCAUCGAGGUCACUUAUUCUCCUGCAUAUCACAAUCAAAUAGGAGCUUUAUUUGAUUGAUAACAUUUAAAGAAAGAGAGAUCAGAUCGAAAUGCCAAAAUUCCAUACUGACAAGUCGUUCAAUCGCUCCAAAAGUGCGAUCCCAGAGGGAAUUGGCCCUUGCAAUCCGCUUCCUUGGAUAACCCUGAUGAUACAAUUCAUAGAUGGAAUUGUCUUGGGGGUAUAUCUAUAGAGACCGAUUUAAAAGGGGAAGAAGCAUUAAGCCUUACAGUGUUCUGAGAUUUGUCAAGUUCUGAAUAAAAUCGGGUAUCUUUCCCAUGAACUGAUUAUCACCAAGUUGCCUACAGUGCAUUAAACAACAUGAUUUAUAUGAAGGAGAAAGAAUAGAAAUGGCUAAAUUUAGCUGAGUUUGUGGAUACUGGAAACUAACAGGUCAUCCAAUUCCCUUAAGUUAACAAAUGGUUGAGGCAGCUCCCCCGUGAAAUUAUUUGACGUAAGCCACCUGAAACAAGAAAAACCCAUGACAACACGUUGGUUAAUAGAACCUGAAUGCUGUAUCUCUCAACAGAUCACUCCAAUGGAUAAAAUUCCCUCGCCAGAUACAAAAUCAUCAGCGAAUAAAAACUCGAUGCCUAACACAGAAAUUUGCAUCAAGAGACUCACAAUUGUUGUGACCCGGACAAGUUCCCGAGCUCUGGAGGAAGAGGUCCAGAAAGCCAAUUGCUUUCGACGAUUCUGAGCGGAAUAUGAAAGUUAAAAUCUUGAAACACCAAUCAAAUUUAAAACAGCGAAGAGGCCAAAGGCGAGCGUCGGGAUGAGUGGUCACUCACAAAUACCGAAGUGUGGAUAUGUUCCCCAACUCCUUCGGGAUUGGACCAGUCAAUCGGUUUCCGAAUACAGAACUGCACCCACAUCAUCGCGUUUCCCCCAAUCAAACAAUAGAACAUACACUCGUGAGAGAGAGAGAGAGAGAGAGAGAGAGAGAGCAUACAUGUGAACCACGUUCGUAGAGCCCCAUUCUUUAGGAAUUGUGCCGUUCAGGUAGUUGCGGGAGACAAUACUGUUUAUAGAGAGAGAGGAUGAAGAAGAAGAAGAUCGAAAAUGGAGAAAGGGGAAAUGGAGAAAGAGAGUGCUUACAAGUUCUUGAGAAAAGGCAAUCUGAACAAUCGAGGCGGAAGGGUGCCGGCAAGAGAUUGCUCCCGAAGAACUCUGUUUUCGCAACGACACCAAGGCUUUAUUCUAGCUUUGCUUGAAAACUAGGCAUCAAAAUGAUGUUACAAAAUGGCUUUAUUACAUCUAAUUGAUAUGUAUACAUACAUCUCAAUUGAUUCUAAAUUAAAAAAAUCUUCAAAAAUUGCCUAAAAAAAGAAGGUUUGUUUAAAGUAAAUGAAUAUAUAGCUAAUGUGAAAAGCAUGCAUCACUCAAAGUACAGCCCUACCAUGCAUUAAUAUAAAUAACAUAUGUAAUAAGGAGAGAAUAGCAAUAAAAUUUUGACACUACCCUUACGAUUAAAGGUAGAGGGAGUAUAAUCACCGACCGUGGUGGCUCCGCUGGGUAGGCUUCAAACCUUUGAAAGAAGGUCAGGAGUUUGAAGCACAAAAAAAAAAGGUAGAGGGAGUAUAUAACUCUCGUCACUUUGAUAUUUAACCAUGAUCUUUGGGUUUGACAUUCCCAUUAAUCACUAAAAAUAUAAUUUAUAUAAUUAAAUGCCAAGCAUAUAAUAUGCAAUUUUAUUGAUUUAACUUAUAAAAAUUUGUAUAAUCAUACCGUGAAUAAUUAAUAUUAUGCUCAUAAUUACUUCAUGAGUAAUUUUAAUGUAAUAAGUGAUUACAUAUUGUUGCUACAUUUCGACCAAAAAAUCAGCUAAUGUUUUUUUUUUAUGAAAUACUAAUAUGGUGCAAAGGGAUUCAAUUCGGUAGCCUGUCAAUUCUAUAAAGACAAAAGAUUGGUGUGCAACUACGUGAUUGAUAUUAAAGUCUAGCAAGGAAUCUACGAUGGUAUAAUUCAUGAAAUUGAGGGAGAAAGAGACAUGCUGGUGACGUGAGAAAUGGUGUUGUUGUGGGCGUCGGUGGAAUUGCCACAGGUGAUGGCGUUGAUAGUUGUAUAAAUGUCUUUGUCGUCACCCCAUCCACCCUCCACACCGCAUGGAUCUGCAUUGAAAUCUCAAUCCGAUUUCCCUAACAUCUUUGCUAUUUCUUUCAAUGCAUCCACUGAAAGAGGAAAGAGUUGAUGAGUCAAAAGGAACAACUCGUGUGUGCCUGAGGUUGAAUAUAUGUAUGAAAAACAAGCACCAAAAACAAAACAAAAAAAAAAAAACAAAAAAACUUGGUGUACGUUGGAGCCCAAAAGGUAAAAGAACAAUACGAUGAAAGCGAUGAAAGCAAUGAAAGAUCGAUGGGUUUAUUUUUUUUUCACCUUCGUCUUGGGGCAAAAGAGUGGCGACAACAGCUAAGUUAGUGAUGCUGAAAAGGACGAGAAUAUAGAAGAGAUAUCGAGCCGAGAAGAGAAUUGUCGUCAUUUUAGUCUCAAGCUUAACGCAGAGAGAGAGAGAGAGAGAGAGAGAGAGAGAGAUCUCCCGUUCUUUAAUCAGAGUCUGUGAAAACAAAACUUGGCUAAGCGAGGGAGCAAGAGAGAGAUAAUUGUUAAGUGAGCGAUCUAACUUCAUGCAUUUAUGUAUGAAAAAAGGGAGAGUGGAUAAAGACAUUUUGCUAUUAUAUAUUUGACGACUUUAAGUCUUCUUCAAACGUACAAAUAUUCAUCCAGAAUUGAGUUUUGGUUCAACUUUUCUUCAUAAUAACUUUCUUGGAAAGAGAGAGAGAGAGAGAGAUGUGAUUGUUAAUUGAGUGGUCUUCACGAAAAAUAGAGAGAGAGAGAGAGAUGUGAUUGUUAGAGUGGUCUUCACGGAAAACAGCGAAUGGACAAAGACUGAGAGAGAGAGAUGUGAUUGUUAGAGUGGUCUUCACGGAAAACAGAGAAUGGACAAAGACUCUUUGCUUUUGUAUGUCUAGGAUGUGAAAGUGAUGUGUGAGAGUGAGACAGAGAGACAACCCCAAGUCUUUCUUGAUUGUAGCAUAUCUAUCUAGAAUAGAGCUGUCAAGCUUUUGUCCAUCUCUUCUUGCAUAAUAACCUUUUUCAUAUUAUGGGUUUAGCCAAUCCCUCCUUUCAUAUUGUCCUUCCAACGACAGUAGUCUUUUUCAUUGCUCUAAUUUUGGCAGUCGACAAAAUUUUGAUUGUCGACUUAAAAUUAAGUUAUAUAAAAAAAUUAUGGAUUAAUUUUUAGCCUCUAAAUCAAAAAGAAAAAAAAUUCCAUUAAAUUACACAGCAAAGCGCAGGUCAACGCCAAAGGACGAAGGAGGAGAAGGGACCGCCAAGGUAGCCUAAGGACUGGCCAGCACGCGAGAGAUUGGAGGGUGAAGGGUCUCCGCUGAUUGGACUUUUCCGCAGGUCGAGAGCCUAUAAAAAGAGGCCUUUGGACGCUGACCGGGGAGUUCGAAGAGGUUCAAGAUAGAAGGGAAAAAAAAAACAAAGAGAGAGAAAAGAGAAGAAAAAAGGUCCGCCGUGAGAAAUCUAGCGAGUGUCCUCUGGCGACAGACACACUCGAAACCCGGCCGACAACUUACCGAUGUUAGCCUUCUUCCCGAAUUAAAGCCACGGUAGGUCUUGGUUUGAAUCUGGUUUGUUCUUCUUCAGGUGCGUCGCGUCGAGUUCCUGAGGAUUCUGGCUAGGGGGUGCGCGAGGCGACCAGACAUUGUCCGAUCUAUCAAGUUCACCCUCAUUCGCCGCCCCUAAGUUAGUUAGUACCACCAAUGGCCCCUUUUUUUCCCUUGUCAUUUUGAUUUUGUGGCCUGAUUCGGGUUGGCCGGACCGGGCUACCGUUGUCAGUAAGUCCAUGAGCGUUCCCUGGUCGCUUUAGUUUUGAGGAAUCUGGGCUUGUUUUAAUGUGGAGAGUUUGAGUGUGAUUCAGCAUUGAUAAUGGUGGGCUUAGUUCAGCUUGUUGAGUUUGGGUUUAAUUUGGUUGAGUGGGGUUAGAAUUUGUCCUAGGCUUGGCCGAAUUGCGCUUCAAUUGUUGAGCCCAUCCCUUUCUUUAGGCUUUUAUUUAGAGCCUGACUCAAAGGCCCACGAUAGUCCACAUCCUGACCGGGCUCUAAGGCCCUACCCGGAUACGCAUCUUCGGAAUAAAAAAUUAUUAUUAUUUAAAAUAAUUUUAAAUUAAAAAAUUAAAAAAUUUUAUUUUUUUAUUUAUAUAUUUUAAGUUAGGAUAAAGCUUAAUAAUUAGUUUUUGAGUAGUUGUCUCUUAAAAUAUGUGAAAAUCCUUGAUAAAUAGAUUGUGUUUUAUUAGAUUGUUAUUUGCAUAUUUCGAUAGUGCACUUUUCAUAAUCUAUUUCCUUAGCCUAGUUAAGAAUACAUUUCUUGGACUCAUGAAUGCUACAUGAAUACUUUAUUUGGUGAUUGAAUAAGAAUAAGUACCAGAAGGGCAUUAGUUGGUUAAUUAGUGUAAUUAAGUUUCCGACUUUAGAUUAUCUAGUUCAAAGUAAGUAAUCCUCCCAGUACUUUACUUGGAAUCUAAUCGAUCCACCUUAAUUGAUUAAUGUCGUGAUUUGUAUGUUAAAAACUCAAAACAUAAGUUGCGAAUUAGUAUAAGCUUGAGAGAUUGAGCUAGAUUUGAACUUAACAAUCCAUUAGCCAAAUUCUUAGCGGUCCAUCCGAGGAUAGGUCGCAACAAUUUUGCUAUGACCAUAUCUCAGAUUUAGGUUAUUAUACAAUUUGUCGAUGGCGGAGUCCAAAUUCCAUUAUUCUUAGAAACUUCAUUAGUUCAUUCAAGGUUAUGGCUGUGGAGACCCAAUAAUGUGGAGGCCAAUGAAAUACCCUUCAAGCCCUACAAAUCGGCCAAUGAAAUACCCUUCAAGCCCUACAAAUCGGUUAAGUUCAAAUCUUCAGACCUAGACCCAAUAUUAUCUGCACACUAUUGGUGGUAUCAUAUACGUUAAAUAUGAAUAAUGGAAAAAAAAAAAUUAACCUAUUAAAGUGGUUACAAAACAAAAAUAUCAUAUAUGUCAAGUUGGAAUUCUAAUUUAGAUAGACAGAAUAAUAAUAUCUUAGGAUUUUUUAGGACUACAAUUGAAUUGUACGAUCGUGAAAACUAAAAUAUUUGUCAGCAUAGUCUAUCCCAUUCAUUAAUAGGUGCUUGUAAAUUAGCAUAUCUAAGUCUCUGUUGAUGUUGACAAGUGUUUCACCCAUUCAACAUGGAAUUAUUCGAAAUAGAUUUGAUCGAAUUUGGAUUCGGAGCGUGAGGGUUUUGUACUUUGGCUUGCUUUGGCCUAACAUGGCCUCUUUUAUCUCCGUUUCAUGUUAUAAAUCUAGACACCAAUUGCAAAAAAAUCGCGGCACAUAAAACAAAAGUUUAGACUCAGACCAAAUACUAAUGGUUCCAUGGGUGAGGUUGUGCACGAGACUUAGGCAAAACAUCAUCUUCUAUGCAUGUUUAAUCAGGUUAAUGUCGAGUCAUGGAGGGUUAUUUUAAUAUUGUCAACCAACACAAUUAUAUUGGACCCACAAGUUUAGCAGAGCUUUGAAAAUUCCGAGUUAACUUUAAAUGAUGAAUUCUAAGCAUGUAAUUUUGUCAUUUACUGUCAACCCCCGAACUUCGAGCGUUCGAACAUCCCCCAAUGGUCAAUUAAAAUGCAACUUCUCAGAACACGUUGCCAACUUGCCCAUCCGGAAACAGCCUUAGGCUGAAGUUUGAGAGCUGUGUUGGGAUAUACAAAGGAAGAAAACCCUUCCGUUACUCUUCAGCUUAUACACCCAAUCACACUAACCAUCACCACCGUGCCACCGCCAAUCGCCCCUUUGCCACCUGAAUAGUCGAGAUUCUUUUUGUUCAAUAUGGAACUUUCAGAAGUUUGUUUAAUGAAACUUGGAUGUCCCUUUGAAAUUAGUUGGUGAGAUUGAAUACAUGAGAAUUCGCUGGUUGGGUUUUGCGAUGAUGAUUGCUGCUCUUCUAGUCCAAUCAUACCCCGCACGUGUUAAGAGUAAAUAAAUAUAAAUUACACCUUCAACUAACAAUUUAAGCUUUUAAAACAGUUGAUACUUGUUUUACAAAUUUUCUCGUUGUAUCAAAGCUAGAGGUCCUCAGUUCGAAUUUUUCUAGGCCUUGUUUGCUUACCUAAUUAAAUUUCCACACUUAGAUAUUAGGCAAAAAAAUCAGACUAAGACUAAGUGUCACCUCAAGACCUUUAGGAAGAUGUACAAGAGGAGCUGCGGAACAAAAUCGAAAGGUCAAAAAGGACAUUAAUUGUCCUUAAUAAACAAAUAACUUCCUGAUGUACAAGAGGAGUUGUGGAGCAAAAUUGAAAGGGCGAAAAGGACAUUAGCUGUCCUUAAUAAACAAAUUACUUCCUGAUAGGUUAGUUGUCCUUAAUAAACAUAUAACUUCCUAAAGUACAAGAGGAGUUACGGUACAAAAUGGAAAGGUCGAAAAGGAGUUAGUUGUCCUUAAUAAACAAAUAACUUCAUGGUCUAAUAUGCGGUUAUAAAAUUGUCAUAUUAUCUAAUAGGACUAUGCUUAGAGGACGGUACCAUCACUUUCCAUGAAGUGACGGAGCCCUCCUCACCACACAUCCUUAAGUGUAAGAUUUUGGGGAUCGGAAUAUCAAAUUGACAAAUAUGUUGUCAAAAAUGUCAUUGCUGUAGAAUUGCCCUAUCGUAAAAUCGACCAUACAAAUUUUGAGCUUGUAUGAUGUCAACUAAUAUUUUAUGAAAUUUUCAAUUCAUCAAAUUGAUGAAAUCCCUCUGAUCACUCAAUUCCAAACUUAGCAUUAAAUGAUAACAAAUUAAAGACAAAUGAAAAACAGAGGCAAAGCAGAAGAGAGGAACUGGACGUAGAUAAAUAGUGGUGUUGGCAAUGGUAGCUGUAGGCGCCAUGCAUAUGGAGGACGGCGAAAUGGUGGUGGGGCUGGGUUCAAAUGGAGGGAGGGCAAGGCUAUUGGGUGGCGAUGGAUGUUGCGAUGAGGAAGGAGAGGUGGCGAUAGCGGAGACGAUGCUACAACCAACUCUCGCCGAAGCCAACGCCUUUGUGUCAGAGUUAUCCCUCACCCUCGCUAUUGAAGCUUGCAAUCGCUCCGUAUUCGUCGUCCAAUCUCCUUCUCUGGUACAGACUGCAUUAUGGAAAUUCAUUAAGUGCCUUCAGUGGAAGAGAAACUUUUCUUUGAUCAGAGCAAUAAUCUGAGAAAAUGUAUGGAGGAAUACAUAGCAUGGAGGAGACAAUAGCACGUGGGAUAUAUGUGGCUUUACAACAAGGCCAUUUUUGGCAAUUGAUUUUGUCAAUUUGAUAUUCCGAUUCCCAAAAUCUUAUAAUGUAUAGUCAGGAGAGCUCCGUUACUAUGUAGGAAUUGACAAUACUAAUCUCUAAGCAUUUCUUUGUCUAAAAAUACCUAAGUAGAUAUGUUUUUGUGUUGAUCGCUUCUUGUUGAUAAUUUUUUCAAUCAACUUCCCAAAUCUUCUUUUGCGGAUAAUUUUCAAGUUGUGUUGUCAAUGACUUCAUUGGCAAUUUAUUGAUCCCUUCAAAUUGUGGACUGUUUUGUUUUAUUUAUGAUUUCUAUUUUCAACAAACCCCACUCUUAUCUGUUAGAAUAAUAAAAAAAAAUGAUUGUUGAAGAUUUGAGUAAGUUGGUUAUUGAACUCUAGAUUUGGUGCGAGAAGAAGAAGAAGAAGAUUGCACACGGUUUUCAUGUCAGCCUAAUAAGAAAGUCAAAAGAAAAGGGACAACAUAAAUGAAGAGAAGGAGGAGUCGCAAGAAAAAUUGGCCAGUAAAAAUUGUGGGCUUCGUUUGUCCUAUUUCAUUCAUUGCAUGGAUCAAAUAAAGAGGAAAGAAGGCUCCAUGAAGGCCCAUUAAUGCGUGCACAUGUAUGCGUGCCAUGAAAAAUGGAGUGGGCCGUUGCUAUUGCAAAGAUUUGUCUUGCAGGCACCGUUGCUAUUAUUUAAUGUUUGUGUGAUUUCCUUUUAGCUUUGUUGACUUUUGUAGUUUCACUUUAAUGUUAACAGAAGGAGCGUUGAAGAUCUCGUGUGCCAUGUUUAUCUUCAUCUCUAUUGUAAUUUAGUGUUAUGCUAUUAUGUAAGAUGUGUAAGGGGUGUGUUGUAAAAGAGUAGCCACCACAAAGCAUUCUAAGAAUAACUUCUCCCUUUGGUCUUCACUUGUGCCUUAUUCCGAAAUUUUCAAAGUUGCCAUUAAUUUUUUCCUUUUUUAUUCCAACAUCAUUGACUAGUCUAUCUUGUCGAUAAUAAUAAAAAUUCGAUCAUCUUUUGAUGUCAACAAUAAUGAAAAUAUAUGUGUCGAUACAUCUUAACGGGAACUAAAUUAAUAAAACACAUAAAUUAUAUUAUGUUAGUUUGAUUUAUGUCAAUGUCAGUAGGGUAAGUAAUCUUUUGCUCAGUUGUGAUUAAUGAAGAACAGUGAUGGAAUUUUGUGAUCAAAUGCGUCGCUAUCUGCCCCCACCUCCUCAUUUAUUAUUAGAUUAGAUACACACAUUUUACUCAACUUUCUUGAGACGAAAGAGACGGAUGCUAAAACAUUACGUGAAGAGAGAGAGAGAGAGAGAGAGAGAGAGAGAGAGAGAGGAUACAGAGAUCCAAGACUAAAAAUCAGCUGCCACAGUUCCCGUAAAUAAACAUGCAGGGGUUACGAGCAAUCGCCAUACCCACGUCGGAGACUGCAGAGAACGAGACCGAGCUGAGACAAACCGUUUUCUUUGUUCUUUCUCAGUGAAAAGCCACCAGUGUACGUGUUUGCAUGAUCGAGUACCGAGUGUGUGCAGGCAAAUGUUCGUCAAACCAGCGAAAUAAAACAAAAUGAUCAACAAAUCGAUCAUAAUAAAGUAAAUAUGUGAAAAUAUGUCUUCUUCUUCUCCUCCUCUUUCUGAAGUAUGGCGCCUCAGAUGGAUUAGGUCUCUCCAGGCAUGUGCAGUUAAAUUGAUCAUGUUGGACAAGUCUAAGGAGUAAGUUCUUGCAGCCUCUUGAUUGCGCUUGGGUCGCUCCGUGGGCCGAAGGUUAAAAAUAGCUAGGUUAUCGAUACUUCUUUUACUUUUCUUAUCAUUACAUCUUCAAAUGGAAAUCAAACUUGGUAUACACAAACAACCCCGUCAAGAUCCAAGAGAUUCAAACGUACUUAAGAAGCCCUGCAUCAAAAUGACAAAAACCCUUGAAAAGGAAAGGCCAUGGAGUGGGAGAGAGGGAUAAAACCAGCGUUCAAUUGAAACACCCAACGGCCAACUCAUCUCAAUGUGUCACCAUCCGGCACCACAUAAGCAUGUCAUAUCUCAGGCCCCCUCCCAUUCCUAUAUAAUUGGUAUCCAUCCUCACAGGCCUUUCCCACUUGCACUACAGAUCCAUUAUAAUCCACACUGACCAGCACUCGCAGUUUUUUUUUUCUUUUUGGUAAAGGUAAGAAAUCUGACCAGCACUCGCAGUUGUACUUGGCUGGGAGCUAGAAAACGAGACCACCGAGAGAGAGAGAGAGAGAGAGAGAGAGAGAGAGAGAGGGAGAGAGAUGAAAAUGAUGGAGGCGAGGAAGGAUGUGAUAAAUAAUGACUUUGAAGAGAAAGAGAGCAACUGCAUCAACGGGCAAUCGUCCGCGUCCUACCUGGUGUGGAACGACUUGACGGUGUCGGUCCCCGCUGGUUCCAAGAGGAAACUGCUAAACCAGCUCAGCGGGUACGCUCAGAUGGGUCGGAUCUUGGCCGUCAUGGGUCCUUCCGGCUCCGGAAAAUCCACUUUCCUCGACUCAUUAGCAGGUUUCUCCGCUUCUCUCUGCCAACCUCCUCAUUUCGGAACAUUUUCUGGCAACAAUAUAUCCAUUUACUUGGCCUUGUUGUAUUGCAUUUUUAUUUGAGUUAUUAAAAAGUCCACCGCCGGUGAAAUCCGAAUUCCACCUUCGAAGCUCUACGUACGAAACUCCUAGUGAUACCGAUACUGUUACCGAAAGAUCAAGACAACAAGCAUUGCCCAUAUAUGGAAAAUAUAGCAACUUAAUAUAGUCACCAAAAUCAUUAAUAGCAUCGAAAUAAUUGCAAGUGGCUACGAUGAUUACCCUUUCCAUAGCCAGAUCUAGUAGUGUAGAAACGAAAGUGCAGCAAACUGUUUAUUCUCAUAUGAAUUGGGUCUCCCAUGUAUAUUGAUGCUAUUCUCUUUCGAUAUCUAUUAUGUAUAGUUGAACUCACUUUAUUUAAAGAUUAGAAAUAGAAUUACAUAAAAAAAAUAAAAAAAAGAUACGGUUUAUAGAAGUAAAAUAGUGAUGAUAUAAUUAUUUUUGUAACUAAUAAAUUCACUCGAUAUAAAUUCUAAUAGCAUAAUAAAAUUCUUAUAAAAAAAAAUUAAAAGAUGAAUAGUAUUUAAGUGUAACUAGUUCAUAGUUAUAUCAUUUCAUCUGGCUUGAUAUCAAAAUCCUUUGACAUUGAGGCGCAAACAUACUCUACAACGAUUUUGUCUCUCAUUUAUAUUGAUGUUAUUCUUUUUCUUUGUUGAAUUAUGAUAUAUAAUUGAAAUCAUGUCAUUAGAAGAAGAAAAUAAAAUUAGCUCACGAAAAAAAAUUAAGAAGAUACAACUCUUAAAUUUCCGGUAACUAAUAUCAAUAUCACUUGGGAGUUUCCAUAUAUGGUGCACUGAAAGUGGGAUUUGGAUUCCACUAGCAGAGGACAUAGAAUAACUCUGACUUGUUCACCAUGGUUUUAAAAAAGAAAAGAAACUCUUGAUUUGAUCAGCAAGACCACAUUAAUGAUAUCAUGCUAUGAUAACAUAGCGUAUUAUUGUUACACCCAUGUAAGCUUGAGGGUUUUGGCGACAAAAAAAAAGGUUUUUGAGUAUUGAUUUAAUAGUGGUCAUAAUUUACAAUUUUAUUUAGUUGUAUGCCCUUUGUAAGGGACAUGUUUUGUUAAUUUGUAAGAUGUUUGUGAUUUAUGUUAAUGUUCAAAUUAUUGAAAAACCUACAACCAAGUCAAAGAGAAAUGCAACCAUUGGCCACUCUUCCCACAUGGGAAUGGGGAGGUGGGGAGUUCAUAUCCCCACCUUCUCAGGUGGGUUGAGGUGAUGACAAUUUAGCUUCGAGUUUGGGUUUUAACUCUCACUUCCUACAAAGAUGCAGGGCAAAAGUCUAAGAGUGAGAGUUAGAGUAGAAGUAAAGUAAUAUAGACAAAAAAAAAAAAAAAAAUCAAAGACUAGGCACAUGUAUGAAGCAUCAACUACUUUAUUUACUAUUUGAGUCGUAUGUCCGUGAAAGGAGUGCCAAUUCAUCAAAUCGAGAGAUUCUUGAAGGUUAAGACAAGCAAGAUGGCUGUAAUGAUGAAUAAGAAAGUUGGGACUUUUUUUCAUGAUCUAAUCCUCUUAAAAAUCACCACUCCCUAAAAAAUCUCCAACUUUAUAUUUACAUCCUAAUUUUGCCUCGAACUUAAAAAAUUUCUAACUUUCACUUUAGUUUCAAUUCAACUUCACAUCCCAAAAUCACCACUAGUUUUUUUCUCAUGUCAUCAAUAUUUGAGGUUCUUGUCAUUCUGUAUGAAGGUGAGGGUGUGUAAGAAGACGUGAGUUCCGAUUUUAAACCUCUAACUAGCUUUAGUAUUGAAAAUUUCAAAGAAAAUAGUUACUUGUUUUGAACGUGGGAGCAAAUUUGGGACUACGGUGAAAUUUUGUGUGUGUGUGUGUGUGUUUUUUUUUUUUUUUUUUUUUUUUUUUUUUUUUUUUAAUAAAAGAAGUUUGGGCCAUGAUAAUUGGGGGUUUUCUAGAGAAUUAACCUCAUUUUUUUUCGUCAUGUUCUUAUUAUGGCCCAAUUUUUUUAUUUCAUAAGAAAACCACAAAUCAAUGGUACCCCAAUCCAGUAGUUUUUAUCCAAUGACGUUGUCCAAGAUUCGACCACCAUUCCAUGUGUACUUGGCAGAAUCUUAAUGAGGGUCAGAUGUGGGUGCCAAAUGAAAUUGGUAUUUCAUUAUGGGACUGAAAAAAUUUGGACUAAAAUUAGGCCACAAUUUGAAGUUAAUGUCUUUUUAUGAGAUAAAAUAUAUGGAUUAGGGCUUUGAUCCAAAGCCAUUAUUUCUCAAUAUUUUUCUACAAGAGAAGAAAUUGAGUCAACAUUGAGAUUCAAGGUAAAGUUGAUGCACUUCAACAUUGAGAUUCAAGGUAAAGUUGAUGCACUUUAAAAGGAGUUGCGCUUUUUACGGAUCAUGGCCCAGAGACUUUCCUGAAUCCGGGGUUGACCCGUCCACUUUAUCCCUGGGCUUGACAAGACAACUUCAAUUUAAAGGGAUUAUUUGGUUGCUUGUAGUUGAUAUGGGACAAGAAUAGUGUAGAUAGAGAGAAUUAUGGCUUACGCAUUCCAUAUUUUAGGUGCAUAAUUACAUUUACUACAUAAGUACGUAUACACCAAGAAAUACAUGUUUCAACCAGUUAAUAGCCACUUUAGUUAACUACUUACUAUGUUUUGCUUUUUAGCAGGUCGGAUUUCUUCUGACGUCAAAAAAGAGGGAAUUAUUUCCCUAAGUGGGAGGAAGAAGGGGUUCCUAAACCACAAUGAUCUGGUAAGCAUAUCAAAGUCCUUAGGCAUAAAGUUAGCUUUUGCUAUAUAUUAUUUGUCGGGGGCAGAUUUAAUAUAACAAAGUAAAAAAGAUUAAGAGACGAGUAUCUUGACUCUUGCGGAAGAUAAUUCUCUUUUUUUUUUUUCAGGAUUACUAUCAUUAAAAAUUUCGAAGUGGUAUUCCAUGACAUAUCUAUCCCAAAACAGUUUUUGUUUCCCACAAAACCCCAACUAUUCAUUUGAUUAACUAAAAGGAAACUUUAGUGCAGUAAUUCUUAGAUCAUCAUUGGAAAAACAAGAUUGCUUCCAUCAGCUCAAUCCUGGCAAUAGUUUCAGUUUGGCAUACUACUCUGACCAGUGACCUCUAAAAUGGUGCAUCACUAGGCCACUCUUCUGUCAAUUUUGUUUCAUGAAGCAUUCCUUUAGCCUUCAAAAGAUUAAAUCAUAUUUUCAACUUCCUCUAAUUCAAUCUAGUGGUUUAUGUGUAUCACUGGACGAUAUUCUUAUAAUAAAAAUUUGGCCAAAAAAAAAAGUCAAAAAAUUUGGCUGGUUGGGCCAUGUUUCUCCUUUCUAAAAUUUGAGCUUAUAAAUUGACAAAUAAAUUUAUAUCUAACGAUUGACAUUUCAAUCGGGGUCCCAUGCUUGCAUUUAGAUGUGAGAAUAAUUUUAGGAUUGAAUUGGGAAUUAGAGAACUGGAUCGAUCACUGAUUCGGUUCUAGGUUCCAAUGCACCCUAGUCCGGUUCCAUUUUUAGGAAUCGAUGGUUCCCGUGGGAACUGGGAAUUGAGAAUCAAACUGAUAACUGAGAAUCGAGAAAACCCUAAAGAGAGGCUUUUACUUUUUGCUAAUAAGAACUUAGAUGUGCUUAUAGAGGGGUUAUAUUCAUUUUUCUUGCAAUCAAUAACAAUCAAUGUGCAUGAGGUCGUCAGUAGUUGAAAUAAGGGUUACUCCUAGGAAGAGUUAUAAUUCUCUACUAUAGUCACUUAUAAAGUUCUAAUAAAGGAAUUAGACCGAGACUUAACAUAAAAGGUUUUCAAAUAUUAGCAGCUGGAUAAAGCGGCAAUAAUGUCAAAUAUUGCACUAAUUUUCCAAGACCAUUAGAUCUAUUCUAGUUUCAUUUCCUGAAAACAAACAUAUAACAAUUGUGUCUUAUUAUAAUUCAUAUCAUUCUAUGUUGUUCAUAGACUGAAUAAAUUACCCUACAUAGCAUUAUCUAGUGGGAAUAUGCAAUGGCGAGUAUCAUACUAUCACAAAAUUUCACAUGUUAUUCAACAUAUUCAAGGUACUUUUGUCGUGCCCAUUAAAACAAAAUUGGAAUCCAUGGACCUUUUGCUCUAUAAGACCAUAAAUAUGGUGAUUAGUUUGGUCAUGAUCUUCACUGGAUAUUGGCCAAAGCUUAUGUUAACACAUGUUAACAUGUACUUCGAUAAUGUAGAAUUUAAUUUCUCGCUUGGUUUAAUUAUAACACCUUCUACUUAUAUUCUAUUAUUGAUGUGUAUGUGUGAAAUUGACGUAUAUAACAUGUCAAUGGAGGUGGAAGGAUGUGAGGCAAUGAUUUUCAUUACGUGUGAGGGAUGUGGAUGAUUGAUGACUAAAAUUCAAUAACUUAGGUUUCAUGUUAUGUGUUUUGAACUUUUUAUUGUUUAUUUUAUUUUAACGUUCAUCUUUUAUAGAUAAUUUCUAUUGACAAAUGAAAAACGGUCAUUUUUGCUUUUGCAUUCACUAUCAUUUUGCUUCACUAAAACUGCCAAAAGAAAAGAAAAGAAAAGAAAAGAAAAGAAACAAAAAGGAACAUGUUAGANNNNNNNNNNNNNNNNNNNNNNNNNNNNNNNNNNNNNNNNNNNNNNNNNNNNNNNNNNNNNNNNNNNNNNNNNNNNNNNNNNNNNNNNNNNNNNNNNNNNNNNNNNNNNNNNNNNNNNNNNNNNNNNNNNNNNNNNNNNNNNNNNNNNNNNNNNNUCAUUUUGGCAUUUUUUCAGUCCUAUGUGACCCAAGAAAAUCUUUUCUUGGGUACUCUCACUGUCAAAGAGACAAUAGCUUACACAGCUCAUCUGAGGCUUUCUUCCGAAAUGACGAAAGCCGAGAUCGACGAGUUGGUAGAAGCAAACAUAAAGGAGAUGGGACUUGGAGACUGCGCAGAAAACAAGAUUGGUAACUGGCACUUGAGGGGCAUAAGCAGUGGAGAAAAGAAAAGACUCAGCAUCAGUCUUGAAAUGGUCACAGACCCGCUGAUCUUGCUCCUUGAUGAGCCUACCACAGGCUUAGACAGUGCCUCGGCUUUUUCCGUGGCAAGAGCUCUAAGAAAUAUUGCAGAUGAAGAAAGAAUAGUUAUUUGCUCAAUCCACCAGCCCAGCAGUGAAGUUUUCGAUCUUUUUGAUGAUUUACUCCUUCUGUCGAGUGGAGAAACUGUGUUUCUAGGAGAAGCCAAAAUGGCCAUUGAGGUAAUAAAGAGUCAACACUUCAUUCUUACUCAGACAUUUUGGCUGUGCAGAAGCAAGAUAAUGUAAUUUUAAGUCCUGGUGCAGUUCUUUGCAGAUGCUGGAUUUGCUUGUCCGAGGAGGAGAAAUCCCGCUGAUCACUUUCUACGGUGCAUUAGCUUGGACUUCGAUUCUGUAACUGCUACUAUUGCUUUCUAAUAGAAACUAUGUUGAGUUUUAAAUCGAGCACUUCUAUACUCUGCAUCAGUUCUUGUGAUAUGUAAAGUGACUUCCGAAUAUAAUUAUCAAGGCUUGCUAUUUUAUCUUGCAGCAACUCCAGCAUCAUCUGGUUUUUCAUGAACAUGAAACAGCAGAGAUUAAAGCCACACUCAUCCAAAGUUACAAUCCUCAAGUAUUCAUGCAAGUUAGGAAAAAAAUNNNNNNNNNNNNNNNNNNNNNNNNNNNNNNNNNNNNNNNNNNNNNNNNNNNNNNNNNNNNNNNNNNNNNNNNNNNNNNNNNNNNNNNNNNNNNNNNNNNNGAAAUUGCAGCUACUGUAAGCACUCCAACUCAGAAGAAAUAAAAAUCAAGAUAAUGCUUGUGCAGUCAUUUUUCCUGUCUUUCCUGCUUACCAUAGUUAAUGAACAAUGUCUCCAACUGUGAUUUUUGAAACUAAUGGAGUUACAUCUAUAUUGAAGUAGCAAUUUCCAUAACUGAUGUUGUCAAAAUUGAAUCUCCUGUUGAAUGCUGAAGGAUUAUCAGGUCUGCGAGUUGAAUAAGAAUACUAAUUCCAGCAAGUGGAAGCAGCUCAGGGUUUUGACUCAUCGGUCCUUCAUCAACAUGUAUAGGGACAUUGGAUACUCCUGGUUGAGGAUCAUGCUCUACAUUUUAUCAUCAAUAAGUGCUGGAACUCUAUAUUUUGACAUCGGAUACGACAAUGGGGCAAUUAUCAACAGAGGAAAGUUUGUUUCAUUCCUCUUCGGCCUCAUGGUAUGUUUGUCUUGUGGUGGUGUCCCUUUCUUCAAUGAAGAACUGAAGGUAUAGCAAAGGAUCAAGGCUGAUCGAUUUUCAGCUAUUAUAUAUCACCAGUAUCUUCUUACUUGAGGUGAUAUUAGAAUGAUUUGUUGUUAGGACUAGAACUAAGUUUCCUCUGCAGGACAGACAAGCUCCACCACGAUAGGUGUGAAGUUGCAUGUUGAAGCCUAAGACACUGUAAAUAACACAAAUCUAACUAAAGAACUUUUAGUUGAUGGCCUACUCCAACUCAUAGUCACAGAGGAAUGUGAGUAUUGCACAAUCAAUUGGAGAGAUUAAAGCUAAAUCAACUAACUUUUUUCAAGGGAUGCUUAAGAUUAUUCAUAUGGGAUCAAUCUCAUCAUCAAAGCAAGAAUAUACAUUAAUUACAUAAAAAAGGAGAAAUCUCGACAGCGUAUGACAUCCUUUUCUUGUGUAUCUCAGGUUUUUUAUGCCGAGAGACUCAAUGGACAUUAUGGCGAGACCCUGUUUGUGCCUGCGAAUUUCCUUUCUUCGCUCCCUUUCUCGGUGGCGAAUUCUCUGCUUUCAGGAACAACGAUAUUCUACAUGGUGAAGCUUCAUCCAGGACUCUCUCACUAUGGUUAUUUCUGCAUUAACUUCUUCUGCUGCACCACCAUUAUUGAGAGUUGCAUGAUGGUUGUGAACUCAUUUGUCCCCAACGCCUCGAUGGCUGUAGUAAUUGGAAUUAGUGUCAACGUAAGCAAAUUUUCUCUCUUAAACUUCCCUUAAAUUACGUUGUCAUUCAUAGCUAAUUUUUGUGGAUUCAGGUUCUAAUGAUGAUGGCAUCACAGAUCUUUAGACUUCUUGCUGAUCUUCCCAAGUUCUUUUGGCGGUACCCCAUGUCCUACAUCAGUUUUGCCAAGUGGGCAGUUGAGGUAGUUAGUAUAUAGUGAUUAGCUAUUUUUUUCCUAAAUCAAGCUUGAAAAUUUAUCAACAUAGUUAUGCAUAGAGCCAUGACAUGGAAGACAUUUAUCUUCAGUUUCAAUAAUAUCGUCUGCCUAGUAAAACAAAACCAGGAGCAUGCGCUACUACUUGCAUUGCAUAUUUAAACUCAUUGAAGUUAAAAUUCUCAUCUUCCGCCUAAGGUACAUUUAUGAGAAGGAAAUCUCAAACAACAUAAAUUAAGUAAGAUGCCUUUUAUUUUGAUGUGAAGAAAUGGGUUGAAUGGUCAGACAAUCCCGCCACUCCCUUCUUCCUUUUCGGAUCGUUGACCUGCUCUUCCAUAUGCUAGAGGUUAGGUUAACCGAUGUAAUAAUGUAAUACUAUGAAAAUUCUGUUAUCAAUCUCUUUCAUAGAUUGAUCAAAACACCACCAGGCUUCACCACAUGUUUCACUCCGUCUCUUUACUCAAGCUAGAGCUUCAGAUAAUCAAGGCUUCUCAGAAGUAGUUCUGCGACUAGCCAUGGCAGUCAACAAUACAAGCAUAUGAUUUGGAUCAGUGACUUCGAGUUCUCCCAAAUAUCUCAUGAAUUACAAGUCACUCAUACAAAUCAUUCACACGCCUUGCAGGGUCAAUACAAGAAUGUCAUGACCGGUCUUGAGUUUGAUUCAGCAGAGCCAGGAGAACCACAACUGAAAGGCGAGAUGAUCCUCAAAACAACUUUCGGCAUAUCACUGGAUCAUUCCAAGUGGUGGGAUGUAGCUGUGCUUCUGUUUCAACUGUUUGUUUACAAAGUACUGCUCUUGUUAGUGCUUAGGUACAAGAAGAGAAUAGCGCCCCAGUUAUGGUUGUCGUCACAAGAGUUACUCAGGGUGUCUUGACAGAUGAUUUCGGUGCCAAAUAGCAGCUAGCAUCCCUUAUGUUUCCAGAACAUACUUACUUUAUCGGCAACUAAUGCACCAUGGUUAUGUAAACGAUGCAUAUAUCUCUAGUUGUCGCAAGUUCUAAAUGCAAUUCAACUUUUUCACUUCAAUGUUAUGACUAAUUUGAUAUUGGUAUACGUAAUGUGACAAAAUUUAGACCUAAUGCUCGGCCUGAGGUCCACCCCUUCCUCUUUGUAAUUAAUGUAGAUUAUAAACCUCUUACAAAGCACAAAAAUUGGACAUACGGCAUUGGACAGACGGCCCGUUUAGUGCCUCUCUCUCUCUCUCUCUCUCUCUCUCUCUCUCUCUCUCCUACAAGCUACUGCGAGAUUCGAUCUAGUGGAUAAUAAAGUACAUUGAUUACAAGCAAAACAUAUGUCACGCAAUGAGUUACAACUUAUAUUGAAAAUAAAGAUUAAGCAAUUCAAGGGUUGUACAAGAGUCAGAUAUAGCUUGCACUCAUUUCCAAAAGCGAAAGGGCCAAAUAUGUAAAAGCCAAGAAAGUGUACUUGUCCUCGAAUGCCCAACUUUUGAGGCGCCCAGGAUAAACAAAAUCAUCGUGACUUUAAGAUGCUUUGCAAGAAAAACCGGUAUCCUCAUCCUUCCUACUUAUUUCUUCUGUUUUUUCCGCACAGCAUUAUUGCCAUUGCGUGCUCUGGAAGCUUUAUGAUUUCUCAUUGAGGUUUCCAUGCUCAUGCUACCUUUUAGUUCCAUCUUUCUCUUUUCCCCGCUUUUAAGUUUGUGAAAGGUCCUCUUCCUUUUCUUUACAGAUUCGUUGGAUUGAAUCUUAGAAAAUUUCCCAGAAGCCAAAUCACCAUUCUUUUUAGAACCUUCUAAUCUGCCAUCAGCAGUAAGAGAAGUUUCAUAUUCUCCUGAGUGGGGGGAGCCAUCUUUGUUCUUCAAUCUCCUUUUCUAUCCUCGUUCCCCGACAUCUUUCCGAUUUGCGGAAGCUUCCUUGUUCUCUAUCCUGCCUUCAUUUGAGGUUUUGUUUCACUGAUUCUAAAAGGUCAAACAUGCGAUCAUUUUACAAAACAAUAUUACGACCUCCAGAAAUCAUGCACUGCUAAAUAAUAUUUCUGUAGGAUACACAUCCAAGCGUUGUUGAAUUCAUUACCUCCAUAACUGUCUUAAGAAAACCCUUGUACUUUUCUGGGGUAACAAGCUGAACAGCAGCAAAACCACACUUCCUAGUCAUUAUCUCAAGAAUGACCGUGACCUGCAAAAAAGAGGCCCUUGGAAGGAUGUGUGCAUGGAAUUAUCACAAAAAAACUCAGCAAACUCCCAGUAAAUUUCACAUGCCUUUGAUCUGAAGUGAUGCCUGGAGACAGAUGACCAUGAAAUAACACCAUCAACAAUGUCUGAAAGUAAACUCUGAAGGUCUUCAUUCCGUAAGCAAGACACUACUACUUUCACAAAACCUAGAACAGCCUGCAAAAUGUGUACGAAGUAACUCUCAAGCCAUGCCAAUUGGGGCAAGAAUCUACUUUGGUAAUGGUAUACUCACUUUUAUCACUUCCACCGCUUUGCUUUGUAGCAGAGAAAGAACAGAAGGAAUAAGAUCAGGAAUUGAUAGACAGAUAUCUGUAUCCUUGUAAACUAGUACGGACAAUGCAGAAACAGCUCCACUUGUAAUUUGAGGUGAUGAACCAGAAAGAUAGCCCACUAUCUGAAAGCACGUUAUUUAGAAUAAAAAAACUAUUACUUGAAUAAAAUUACAAUCCCGAGUAUUGCAAUUGUCCAGUAAUAAAUCACUGUUAAGAACUACAAGCAGAAAGGAAAAUUGCAGAUUAGGUUAGACAAUUUCUACAUAAGUAUGCUCUCCCGAUCAUCUGACAGAAAGUCCUGUAAGCAAAUAAAAUUCCCCGAUGUUCACAAGACACUUAAAGUGUUCAUCUGUGCAGUGCAUAUAAAACUUCUUUGGGCAACCAUUUACACGAGGAACCCAAGCUUUAAUAAUAACACAUGAGAAAGGGACUCCACUACCCCUUGAUUAACCAAUUUGGCUUCUUAAAAUUUCUCAACUUUUCAUCGGAUGAAACAAAUGCAAAAUUUCGAUUGAAUAGCCUUAGGGGCCAACAAGGCAUCCACAAGAUACAGACCACAUGAUUUUAAAUUUUGCCACUUGUAUUUCGGUUCUUCGUUUUUCUACUGGUUAGAGGGCAUUAAUCAUCUUCUCCUCUGGCUGCAACUGCAAAGCCUAAUCCCUUGGCAGAAGCAGCUAGACAUGAAUAAAUGAAGGAAUAUGCCGUGACUCAACCAUACUGCAGCCAUGAAAUUAGCUUUAUUCUUUUAGAAGAGAAAUAUGUUUUAAGGCCUCUGAAUCAAUUCGUAGCCAUACCAGGCUUACAAUCUUCAAAUACAAUGCACAUACUUAUAAAGAUUUUAACCAAUACCAGGAAGCAGUAUACACAAGACCAUGAGGACUUCAGUCCACUGUUUCCCAAUUUUGCAGGAACAACAACAUGGCCAAAGAAGAGGAAUUUAAAUAAACUACAUUCUCCUUCAACUUUUCCCCCAUCUAUGGAUGUUACGUGAGGCAGAGCAGAAACCCAAUUAUUUACAACACGAAAGCCCCUCCAGAUGACAAUUUACAUAGGAUCAACCAUUGUAAAAUACGUACUUCAGACAAGAUAGAAGGAACUGCUUCAACCUCUUCCAUUGUUGUUACUUUCAACUCCCUAUGCCUCAUGUACCCAUUCUUUUAAAGUUCUAUUUUUGUUUUCCUUGCAUGUUCCUGAUGUUCUAGAAUGUAUGUAGUAUCAAACAUGUCUUAAAAUAUAAGCAGUAAUUUCCACCAAAGCUACACAAAUAUGUCCCAUAAUGAAGAAUACCGUACCAUGUUAAUCAGUUUCUGACAAGGUGCAACUGAACUAACAGGCGAAAUGCUUCUCAAGCUGGAACAUAUGUUGAUGAGAACAUCAUAAGCUUCCUUCCUAGAUUCCUCCUUAGCCUGCAAAUUUCAUGUCACAACAGUGAUUAGUGCUGAAAGUAGAUCAUCACCCCCACACUGUAAAGGAGGUUCUUACAUCCUUUAAGACAAGUAUAAUCUCAUUGAGGAUGAAAAAAGCUUUUGAAUCUUCUUUCUCCUCCUCCUCCUCCUCCUCCUCCUGCUGCUCCUCCACAGAGUUUAUCUGCAUGAAGAAUCAACUUGACAUGUCAAAUAGAACAGCAUAUGACAUCAACAAUAGACGUGCUUAUAUUACUUAAUUUUGAGCUACAAUUGCAAAUGCACCAUAACCAAAAACUUAAGAAUCCGUUUGCAAGAAGUACAUAUAUGAUUCCUUCCAUGUUGAGACACAGCCCAAAAGAAAAAAGAAGUUUUUGGCCUUAAAAGCGGAAAAGCCAUUCAUGGCAUUCAAUAUUAUUUUAACGAAUUAAAGGGAAGAUGGGUGAAUGAUGAUAGUAGGAUCAGGUUAUUAGAAAUUUAAAAAAUUGUGAGAUUGGCGAAAACUGAUCUGUUAGGUUCUUUAAGCAAAAUACCACUUAUAUAAUCAUUUUUAAUUUUUUUAAUUUCCACAAAGUUCAAUAAAAAACAAAAGGGUGAUGAAAUACUCCAUGCUUAGCUCUGUACAAGAACCUGUUAGCCAUCCAUACAUUAGGAGUUUGGAAAAGUGAAAAGUUUAAGAGUCUUCAUAUUCACAAAUACAGGCGUUACACCUGCUGUGAGGAUGAAAUUCGAAUUUCCUCUAGGAAGGGAAAGGCCUGCUCUUAGAUCAAGUCUUAAUGUCAAAUUUCCAAAGGCAAACUUCAACUGAAGGAGAUCCAUUAAACAUUUUAAGAAAUUCCUUAGAGAUGGAGGGAAUUGCCCAAGUAGGAGACCAUGCGAAUAUAUUGUGGGGCCAGAACAAAAAAUGGAAUAGUAUUUAAUUUAAGGAUUGUGAUAUAGCUGCUCACCUGCAGCAUACAAUCUAGGCAACAGAAAUAGAACAAAAGCCAAACUCAAAGAACUGCUAAAAUAACUGUUCUAGCACAUCAAGAAUAUAAAACCAUGAAACACGAGGAGAAAUUUAUUAUGAAGAACAAAUGCAAUUUCUUCUUGAAUAAAUGUUGUAUACUUUGCUUUUCGGUGGGACUAAUCUUGAGCUGUUUUCACAACACAGGAUUAAGACAUUUCUUAAAGGCUCAUUGCACUCUUAUUCCAAGACAACCAGCCCAGGACACAGCUCAUAUUCAGUUUAUGAAAAGAACAAGAAAUGGCUUCUAUUUACGUCAAAACGUGAUAUAUACACCAAAAAUGAAGGACAUAAAAUUCUGCACUUUUUUCACAAGAAUAGUAGACACCAAACAUACAAAAGAAAACAAGUACUGCAUUGCCACAAGAAACAUUCUGACCUUUAAUGCAUGAACUAUCAGAACAUGGAAACAGGCAAAGCGGCUUCUCAGAGUUGCAAUAUCAGAUGGAGUCCUUAGGCCAAUUAGUAAAUCAAUCAACUGCGAAUAUUGAGAUGAACAAAACCAGGGAUGCACCUGCAUAAUAGAAAUGACAGAAAAACAAUCACUUCCAGUAAGAAUAUGUCUUGAAUGGAGAUACCACACAAACAUACCUCCAAAAUUUUGCUCAAAGCAUUAUAGGCUUCAGCAUGGCCAUGGUCAUUGCUUUCCUUGUGGAAGAAAAUUCAUGAAUGAUUUAGGCUAUAGAAAUCACUAAACUCAUCCAUUAAGUCAAGAAAACAAAGCUACUAUUCUUAAAGUCAAUGCACACCUGAAAAGUGUCCUACUAUUUUUUUUUUUUUUUUUCUGAGGGUUGUGAGGACCUUGCAUAGAACAUGACAGGAGUGGAUUUAUUAUUGGAUGCAUCCUCAUGAUGUUACUGUACUUGCAUAGAACAUGACAGAUGACAAAAUGUCAUCAAGAAGAGGAAACAGCAGUGCCCAAUUUCCAUAACAUGGUAGCUCAAAAUUUUGCUAGCAGAAUAUAGAAUCUAUGCAUACGGACGCAACCUAGUAAUCUCUGCAAUUGCUAACAGUAGAAAAAAGUUCUGGAUGCUCACAAAUAGAAUUGGUCUGUCGAUAAUCAAACAUCUGUUACAAUAAAUUGUCAAAUGUGACCUAAAGGACCCCUCCUUUAUCAAGUGUUUCAUCAGCAGUCAAGUGUAUAUGCGUAUGUGAACAUAUAUGAAUCUGUCAUUUUAAUCAUUAAUAUAGCUUGCUAACAAUUCUAUCCACAAGCAUUCUAUCUCCAUUGCCUUUUAGCAUUUACAUCAAUGGCAUGCUCAUUUCCUAGUUCUUUGUCCGUUGAUGCAUCCAUUUCAUCUCUUCCCCUCUCGAACUCAUCUCUCUUAUUUAGAAUGCCAAAUCUUUUGAGAAAUGACAAAAAUAUCUCUGGUUGCAGAAGAAUCCGUGAUAGAAGCUAAGCAACCAAUAGGAUCCUGAGAAAUUAAAACUGAGCAUGAUAAUCUAACUCAUAUAAUGUAUGUCAAUUACUAACCAAUGGGAAAAGUAAAAGGUAAUCCGUGAGCAUUGACUGAAUAUAUAUCUCAGAGUUAAAGUUCUUUAAGACGGCUACUCAAUACAGCUUCCUUUUGCUAAUUCAAUGCAAUCCACAGGACUCAAUCCUCUCUUUCAAAAAAUUCAUUCGCAAAAUUAUUGAACUCUUUAUAGCGCCCAGAAGUUUGAUCCAAUUAACAAAGCAUCCACAAAGUUCUAUAACUCACAUGCAUGACGAUCCCUUCCACAAUGACCAACCUAAUCAAUCUGACGGAAUCUAGUACUUCAAAGUAUUUUGGUGUUCUAUGGUGAGUUCAGGGAGGGUAGACACUUGGUACACAACAUUGAUGCCACUUCACUUCUCAUAGCUUUAAUUCUUUUUAACUUUUCCUUUGAGGUUUUCUAAUAACAAGUACGCAAUCCAUUGUUUCAAUGCCAACCCAACCUCACAUAACUUUGACCUUUUUUUUUCCUUUUUUUUUUUUUUGGUCCAUUUCUAAAGAAUAAUUUGUUGUCAGUAAGAAUAUAAUAAAAAAACCAUAAAAAUUCUAGCUUAUGCAUGGCUAUCAUGCUUCUAACAUAUUUUUUUUUUGGUAAAUGGUAAUAAUAUAUUGAGCUUUAAACCAACAAUAUACACAAGAUCCGGCGCCACAAAACUUAUCUAACAUAUGUUUUUUUUUUUUUGUGAAAGUAAGUGAUAUAUUAGGAAAAAGUCAAACUGUACAACCCAUCGGCUUCAAAAACUUACACUCAAGAUGGACAUGCCCAUUAUGAGUGGAAGGAAGCUGAGGAAAAAACCAAGGGGCAGCCGAGAACGGCCAAAAAACUUAUCUAACAUAUGUUUCUACCACACAAAAGCAAUACCAUUAUUUUCCUUCACCAUUUUACAUUAAAAUAUAAAAUUACAACCAACAAAUAUAGAAAAAUAACUAAUCAAGUAAAAUAAUAUUAUCUAAUCCAAAUUUUAAUGAUAUGAACUUGUUUUUGUGCAUGUUAACACAAAUUUCAACUUGCUUAUAAUAUUUUACAAAUUUAAAAGAAAAGGACAUGAAAAAGUUCAAGUUGAAUCUUAAAUUGACAGUCAAAAUUAUAUUUUCUCAAAUCAGUUCAACUAUAGCUUCCUGAAGUGACAGGACCACAUGUCCUAUAGAAUCACCCUAAUUUAUCAUGCCAAAAAAAGUUGCAUUAGCCUCUUUAUACCAACCAAACUUACUUUCAAUAGUCAUGGAAUGUUGCAUUAUUUCAAAGCUACUCGGCCGAUUCUCCACCUAAUGCUUUUCUCCAUAUAUAUAAUUUUUCAUCUGAAGAUUCGAUAUUGUCAAUGACAUGAGAAAAGGAAAGACGAUCAUGCCAAGUAGAGGAUUCCAAGUAAGUUGUAUAAUUUUAGGAUCACUGCAUCUUGAAUUCACACUUCAUUCUAGGAGUCAAAGGUAUAUAACUAUUCCGACAGUGAAGGUUUUUUUUUUUUUUUUUUGGUGAACGGUAAUUGUAUUAAGCUUAGCCAAAAUGUACAAGCAAAUGGCAUCAGAGCUUACACUCAAAACAAACAUGGCAUAAUGAGUGGAAGGGUGCCGAAAUAAAGGAAAAGCCAACAAGGCAAAAGCUAGAAGGUGCAGUCAGCACAACGACAGCCACAUCCUAAAGAAUGACCAAAACAAAAGAAGGUUACCAGCUAGCAAAACAAUGGCAACCCAAGUCCAAAACCCAACACAAAAACAAUAGAGCCCAGCACGGCAACCAAGAACAAGGCAGGACGCAGCCAGGAGAAGAGAAGAAUCCCAUGCGGCAGACACUCCGCAGUAGGACUCCUAAGGAACCACCGAGGAUGAAUGAAAGAUGCAAGGGUCAAUCCCCCAGCUACAUUGAAGUCUUCUGUUUCAUGGAUUGUCCUCCACAUUUGUAAAAGUCAAGGCCUUAUCCUUGACCACCUUAAUGAGGUGAUUCUUCACUGCCUGGACCGUGAAGGUAAGGUUCCUGGAAAGGAUCUCAUUCCUAUAAUUCCAACAGUGAAGGUUUUUCUCUUAAUUUUCUGAUUUUUCAAAGGGUGCUGUUGUCUGGUGGGGCACACUUGGGAACUAUUCUCUCAUGCAAAGCAGGGAUGGAACAAUACUUUUCCCAUAGGGCAGGGAAUGGGAACAAAAUUCCUGGCCUGCUCCUCCCAAUGGCAGCCACUAGUGCGUGCAAUUCAAAAAGUGCCUUGAAUGAUGCAAUUGGAAGUAUUAAUUGUACUUAAGGAAAAUUUACACGUCAAAAGGGCUGGAGGGAGGCCUAAAAACACAACAGAAACUUCUAGCUAGAAUCCCAAAAUGUUUUAAGCUUCCAUAGGAUAUCAAAUAGCACAUAAUGACCUAAUAUAUGUCCAUGUAGCCAACCCCAUCUACGUGAACUGACUCCACAAUACUUUCUGCAGCACUUAUAAGAAUGAUGCGCCCACACUAGGAAGGAGAUUAGGCAGGUCUGAAUCUGACCAACCCAACAAUCAAAUUUAGCAUGUCAACUGCCUCAUACUAAACAGAAACCUUCGAAUUCCUCUCUACUUCUUCCAGCAAUUAACAUUGACAGAAAGAGCUCCUACUAGUUAUACUACUUUCAAUCUGGACAGGACUGAGGAGGAAGAUGGAGCUUGGAUUAUCAUAGAGUAUUAGUAUCCUAUUAUUAUCUUAUAGUGCACUGAGUCCUAUUAGCAUCUUUGAGAUGAGGCAUAUGCCUAAAAAAUUGGAGAAAAAGUUCAGACAACCAAAGUAAGUGGAAAAUUAUGAAUAUGAAAGGGGAGAGGAGAAAACAAUUGUGCAAUAACUAGUAAGAAAUUUAGUAUAGAGCCAAAAAAGACUUUAGUGAUUGAGGGAGAACCUUCAAGUAUGACCUUGUCGCAGGAAUGGAAUCGACAAAUAAGUCCAAUAAAAGUUGAAGCAACUCAGUAGAGCAUGAACUUAAAAGCCUUGAUAUUUCUGCUUGCAGUUUUCUUCGAGUAAAUCGGUAGAGUUUGCAAUUCUAAUCCGGAUGCUUGCACAUUACAGGUGUCUAAAUCUUUAACUACUCUAGAGCUGAGUACACUUGUAUUCUGAUUCACAAGGAUCUGCAGAAUUAGAACAGUACUAUCAGGAGAUAUGAAAAUGGUAUAACAACCUCUUCCCAGCUAAAGAACAAGUGUGAGCCAAAUGUCACCAAUGUGGCAAGAAGAUCACCUUUAAAGCAAGAGCCACACUUUCAUGCAUAAAAGAAUAUUUUUAAAGAAAAUCAGUCAAUAAUACUGCCAAACAUCUAAACUGUUUGUCUGUAUCACUUGAACCCCGGCAAAAGGCUGGUAACAGUUUCCAAAGGUCAUGAGCAUGACCCAGCAGCUCCUUACCAAGCACUGAUUUCUUAACUGGAGAAAAGAUAAACAGAAGCACAAUCACAUCCCCGAUGUCACUAAAAUGUUAAUGAUGAACUGAACAAAACUCAAAUCAAGUAAUGCUGAUUAAGGACUCCACUACAUACAUGAACAAUCGGCAUUCAACCAAAGCUCACACUAAAAAAUAUGCAUCAAGGAAGGAAAAGUUAAUGUCACAGAGGCAGAUGAAAGAAUAAAAUUGCAUAAACAACAAUAUUUUGCUCCCCAGACCUGUCCCUCCUAUCAAAUAUCUACAGAACGCAAAAAAACAUACCUUGAGAUGAACAAUUGCGAUAAGAAAAUAUUUAUAUGCAUAAUUCAAUGGGUAUCAUAAGCCAAGUAAGGAGAGGUCAACGCUUUGGGAUGGUAUCUAUCAAAUGGGAUCAACAUAUAUAAUAAUAAAAAAAAAAUCAAGAAGUUGACAGUUCUGUUAUAACGUUUCAGGCAAGCUUUCAGCACAGCUUACAAGCAGGUUGAAUUACCCAGCUUGAUAAGUCUAUGGAGACUCUUAUUGAAGACUAAAGCUCCUUCUAGCAUAGCUUGUGAACAUGCAAAAAUGAUCUCUCGUGAUGAUGAUCUCUUGCGAGGAGUUUAUGAUGGACAAAAAAGUUUUUGUAUUGAGUUUUGGUUAAACGCACGAAACUUUGUGCACUUAUUCCUUAUAAAAUGUGUCUCCUGUCAAAGAACAUUUAGUGGUGCCUUUGCAAAAAGCAGGACUUUUACCCUGCUUAAACUGAUUUGAAUCUGAAUACGGAUUUAAAGAUGGAGAUUCUAGGUUGCUUUUAAUUGAUAACUCAUAAGUUAUGCACAACCAGUGGUGAAUCUGUGCCAAACAGCCAAGGAUCUCCACACUUAUUAUGACGUCAAAUAUGAUAUCUGAAAAAUGAAAAUCACGGAAACAAAAGUCAUGUAGAAUGAUGACAUACCUCCAGAACUAGCACGCUUGAAAGAUUUUGCGAGGGGCACAAUAUAAUCCAUGUAAUACUCAAGUGAUGAACCAACCACAUAAUCUCUUAGAAUGGGCACCAACCAAACAUUACUAGAACUAAAAUUGUCAGGAUGCAGUGAAAUAGGCACAACAGAAAGCAUCUUUUCUGGGCCCAUAGCAAUUACAGCAGAACCAAUACAUCUCUGAAGCUGUGAAUCACAGUAAAUUAAACAAUGAUGAGUUACCAUUCAAACAAUCUUCAAACUACACAAGUAUUACUUUUAUAAAGCUAGACAGUCAAUUAUUUGUUUCAUCAGAUAAUGGCAAAGUACUAUGCUCAAAGCUCUGUUAACUUGUCAUCUACCCAAUUUAGUAAAAGAAACUUUUGUUAAUCCUUAUAUGUAAGUAAAAAAAAAAAAAACCUGCUGUUAACGCUCCAAUCAACAAUUCAAUCUAGCUCUAACAAAAUUCAUGACGACAAGCCGAUUUGGAGUUUGCUAUGAACCCCAUCUUCUUCUUUGCACACUUCAACAGGAUAAACAUAUGAAGCAAAGAUGACUUGAAAAAUCAAAUUUUGGAGAGCAAGAUCAAGUAAUAGCCUUUACAUCAUUCUCUUGAAAAUCAAUUUCGAGAUCAAGACAAAUCAAUUCCCUUUAAAUCAUUCUCUUUUUCCUUUAUACAUAAAAUUAAAUCAAUAACAAAGGGGGUGCAAACCCAAGUACCAAAGGAGAUCAAGAACCAAAAAAAAAGCUCAAUUCAUCGAUAAUGACAAUAAAUGCAUCUACAUCGACAUGCAUUAUUUCAAGUCGCAUUUCCACUUCCAUAAGAACAUUGACAAAAAACAAGGACAAAAAAAAGUCUUUUAAUUGAGAAAUCUGCUCAAAAUAACGACAGGAAUAGUAAUUCAAGAAAUGAUUAGAGCAUGAACCCUACUUAUUAAAAUCAGCAAAAACAAAAUCAAGAGAAGAUUAAGAUAUUUGAAUUGUCCCUUAUUCCAUUCUUUUCCAAACUCACCAUUUAAGGCAAAGAGUAGGAGCAUUUUGGGCUGAUUUGAAAUGUAGAGGAGUAUGGGAAAACAUGACAUGAUUGUAGAACCAAGAUCGCAAAAUUAGCUAAGAAACUACCAAAACAAAGCAGUCAAAGCACCUCCUGCCCCAAGAAAGUUAAGAAGCAUACCUGCUAGAGACUCCCAAACUACAGGAAGGUUCUUAAUCCACAAACUUGAUCCUCCAGUGUGGAAUUUAUUCAGAGCAACUCUUAACAAUUUUGCAGCAGUCAUGACAGUGUCCACCGAGUUCUCUUUUGAAGAAACAUAAGAAGCAAGAGAAGUGAUGACAUUUUCUAUCUCUUGAACAGUAUCUCCCACUGCUAGAGUUUCCAAUAAUGCCUCGAUGAUUUUAAGAAUCAGUGUUGUAAGCGCUGAGAACCCGAGACUGUCUAAUUCUGAAAGAAUCUGAAUGCUUACUUUGGCAGACAGAUACGGACAAACAGAUACCAGCACAUUAAGCAUAUGUAAGAAUCCUAUAUUCUCGGAUUUCAACAGUUUAUCAUCUGUAGAUCCAUCCUCAGGACUCGUAGUCCUUGACCAAUCUGCUGAAGAAAUGCAACUUUCAAAAGAAGACAGUACCAGCUUGCUUGCUUUCCUAACAACACUAGAGGACUUAAAGCAUUUAAAAACCUUUUCAAGACAUUCUUGCGCACAUCGCCGAACCUGAGAAAACAACAAAACAUAUCUUCAAUUGCUACUCAGUUCUUACGAUAUGCAAGAGAAUAGGAACGCAUUUCCACCUUUCAAAGCCCAAUUGCAAUCAACAAGGCCAUAAGGGGAAGAACACUGACCUAAAAAAGGUGAAAAUUACAUGUUGCAAAGUCUAACAAAAAAAAAAAAAAAAUUCCCAAAGAGCUUACAAGAGCAGAACUGGAUACGGCAAUGCAUGGUUUGCGACAAUAUACCUUAGGACGCUUGGCCAGGGAGAACUUUAAAAGCGUCUUUUACCCGAAUUUCACCGAAUCCCAAUCCUCCAAGUCGCAAAACCCAAGCAAAACCCCCAAACACUUCACCGCGGACCUCACGCGGGACACGGCCAGCUUCUCCUCCUCCCUCGGCAGCACCUCCGCCAACACCUCCGCCGCCUCCCUCGCCCUCGCGGGCGCGAUCCCCUGCGGCGGCACCGCGGGCAGGACGAUCACGAGGAACGACAUGAGCGCCGCGACCUCCGUGGAGUCCAGGGCCUGCAACGAGGACGUGGUCUCGACGGCGGACAUGGCGGCGCCGAAGUAAGAGGCGGGCGUGAGGGGGAGGGACUCGGCGUCGAGGAUGGCGCGCAUGGCGGCGACGGUGGCGAGGAGGUGGCGGUGCUGAGGGGCGGAGGAUUUGGCGUAGCGGUCCAUGAGCUGUUGGCAGACGUCGGCGCCGUCUCGCAGCGGUUCGUCGGCGCUAUCUGUUGAUCCUGUGGAAGCAACGAGGGUCGCUCUUCCUGUUUCCGUUGUCUGUGCUUUCUGUGGCUUCAUGGCGGCGGCGGGGGCGGCGGCUUCGAGCGCCGCCGUGCGGUGGCUUCUCCUGGCUGUGGAAUGUUUCGGGGUAAGAAAUUCGCCUUUGAUGCUUAAUCCAUGUUUUUUUAUAUUUUUACGAUAACUAAAACUCGGGGGGUCGUUAUUUUCUUCGCAUUUGAUCUAUAUUGCUUAGCAAAGAACAUUUUUUGGUUACAUUGAUUAGGUUUGCCUCGUCCGUAGUUCCUAUCAUGUAACUCAACUUUCAAGAAAAUACAAAAGGUUAAUCUCACAAAAAAUUUCAAAAUAUGCACAUUGUAACUCAAAUACUCCAAAUCUUUUUUUAUCACAAAAGAUCUUAAAUUUAAUUUUUUAUAACAUAUAUAUCCUAACCUUUUCUUAUGUCAUAAAAAACCUCGAAAUUAUAUUAAUGUAACAAAUGUAUAAUAAAUUGAACUGAAAUAGAAAACAUAUAUAUACAUGUUACACAUGUAAAAAUUUGGAUUUUUUCAUGAUACAAAAAAAAUUGAGAAAUUUGUAUUGCUAUGGACAAAUUUAGGGUUUUUGGUGACAUAAAAAAAAGUUAAAAGAUAUUUAUAUCACAAUAAAUGUAAUUUGUGGGCAAAUCAAAUUUAUGGAGCAAAAGUGGUACUUCUGAUCUUUUACUUUCAAUCAUUAUUAUUUUCUUGUUUUAUAAUUAAAAGGUGUUAAGAUUUCAACGGGAAGUUUUCCGUUUUCAAUUUCAUCUUAGGUAUGCUAAAGUAUUAUCAAAGGACUCUAGUGAUAUAAAAACAAACAAGUAAAAUGAACAUACGAAAAAAGGUUAUUAUUGUGAUAAGAAAUGAAAUCACAAGAUUCUUUUUGGAGGAAACAAAGCAUCACUUUUUAAUAGGAGUAUAUACGGGAACCGCACUGAAUCGGCUAGUUUUGAUUAUUCUCAAUUACAAAUUUUUGGAAUAGGAAUAAUCAGACAAAUUCUUAAUUUCAUAUGGGAAUCAAAUUGCUCGGACGAUAUAUAUAUUUUUUGGAAUUUCCCUCUUCUUUUAAAGAGUAAAGAAAAGGAAAUUGCCAAAAUCCUAAACUGAACCGGUCUAACCUAGGAAUUAAUCUAGUUUCCAAUUCUAAAGUGAAAUCGACCAAACUCGGGAAUCAAUCACCUUUCCUUUUUAAUGAUAUGCAAGAAAGGAUUAAAAAGGAUAGGAAACUUUAUAUUCUAUCGCAAAGUUGAUUAAAGUAGCCAAGAGAGAGGAAGAAAGGAAGGAAAAAUAGAGAGAAGAAGAGGAAGAAACAAAUCCUAAAAGCCAACAAGGGGUGCUUCAUUUCCAUGUUACCGAAACCGUAUGCCUAUUGCAAUAUAUUUACAUUGAAUAUAAAUUAUACAUUACCAUGAUGCCCUUAUAUACGUAAAAAGAAAUAAAACCUAUAAAAUAAAACCAACACCACUAAAGUAAUGUAACAGUCCCCUUUUUUUUUGGGUAAAAAGUAACGACUUCAUUGCAAUAACUAAACUAAGUUUGGAGAUAUUACAUUAAACGCAUCAGCACAUAGUAGAUCAAAUAGAGCAGGUGGGGGAUUUUCUAACCAAUUUAAUGGUAGAGAAUCGGUUCUACACGCUUUCACCAGCCAGUCCACGGGUUGGUUUGUGUCCCUGUUGCAAUGGGCCAAGGAGAUGGCCCGAUAUGCUUUCAUUUUUAUCUUGGCCCGGUCCACGACGGUCUUCGCAUCCCAACUGAAGUCUUCCGAAGUGUUGCAGCUGUUCACGAGUGGGAGGCAGUCAGACUGUACGUGGAGUUGAAGUUGAGUUCGGUCUGAGAAGAAAAUUAGGGUUUCGAGGAGGGCGAUUGCUUCCGCCUGUUCUGCCGAGGAUGCGGCCACUAAUUUCGCGAAGCCGUCGACCACCCGUCCCCUGAAGUCGUGACAGAUGCAGGCGAUUGCUCCUCUGUUUUCGCUUUCUCCCCUGUUUGCCCUAGUUUGUGAUUCGUAGUCGCUGCUUGGGAGGAAUGAAGCAUCUAUGUUGAUUUUCAACGAAUCUGGUAUUGGGGGCUGCCAUCUUUGAGGUAGGGUCUCUCUAUGUUGCUCCCCUUUCGUUUUUUUUGUUCCAAGUGGUGUAAUUCUCGUGCAAAGCCGCGGCCUUUAAGAGUGUUUGCUGUGGGUGCAGAGGGCGAUGGCCAAAUAUAAAAUGGUUUCGGUCUUUCCAGAUGCUCCAGAGGGUAACUACGAUGAGGUCAAACCUUUUUGCACUGGUUGGAUUGGUUUUUGCUAUGUACAACCAUUCGUCAAAUCUGGUUAGCUCUAUUCUUGACACUCUGAUUUGCAGGGGGCAACUUUCCAAAUCCGGGCCGUCCAGGAGCAUAGCAACACUCCCCUUAAACUAGAGCAUAUAGGUCACUCAUACCCAAUUUGGAACAACCAUUGACAAAGACAGGACAAAACAACACUUUAAUAAACAUAUCAACCAAUUAAUCUCUAGAGUCAAUAUAAAGAGUAGUGACCAACUUCUGCUUCACAAAGUGACGGUCAACUUCUAUAUACAUAGUUCGCUCAUGAAAAACAGGAUUCCCAACAAUAUAAAUAGUUGCCUAAUUAUCACACAUCAUAUCAUAAGUUGAUUAAUAAAAAGGAUUUCAACCACAAUAAUUUAGUCACAAUAUGUGCCAUAGUACAAUAUUAGGCCUCCACACUAGACUUAGGAAUAGUUGUCUAUUUGUUGCUUCGUAAUCAAAUUACCACCAAGAAAAGUGCAAUACCUAGUCAUGGAUCAGUGAUCACAUGCUAACCUAGCCCAAUCGGCAUUAGAAUAGCCAAUUAAAGUGAAAGAACCAUUAGGUGUGUAAAUCAGCCCCUUAUUAGGAGAGCCUUUAAAGUACCAGAGAUGCGAUAAACAGCAUCCCGACGAGCCUUCUUUGGUAACUUCUUUAAUUGACUCACCACACCAAUAACAAAGGAAAUAUCUAAAUGUGUAACAAUGAGAUAAAUUAACUAAUUAGCUUGAAUAUUUAGUCUGCGUGAAAUGCUAUGCAAGGAGAUGCCAAAAUGCCUAACUAAAAUGACAUGUAACAUGCAACGUAUAUUGCGAACUAUAUGUCACGACAUGAUCUAAUGACAAUGUAACUAUCCUAAUAUGUCACGCACUCAAAUGAUCCUAAGCAUGCUAUGACUAGAUGACGAAAUGACCUAAUUCUAAGUUACACACGCAUGAUAUUUUGUAUUUCUUCUUUUCCUUUUUUUAUAGAAUUCGAAAUUAAAAUUGCUUAAUAAUUGAACAUGCAAUUAAUGAAAAGAAAAUCUAACAUCUUUUUGGUGUUUUUAUUUCAAAAAUUCGGAAUAAAUAAAAUGCCUAAUCUAAAUAUGCAAAUUAUCCUAAAACAAGCAAUAUUCUAACAUAAACCUAAUCUAACUCAAAUAUAUAUAUAUAUAUAUAUAUAUAUUUUUUUUUUUCUUUUACGGAAAUAAAAUCAAUUCAAACAAUACGACGGCAAAUCAGGCAAGAUAUGAUUGAUAUCCACCAAAUAAAUUGAUAAACUCAUGAGAUCGGAUUGGCCAAUUUUAACAAAAUCUCGAGCAUAAGAUUGGAUUGGCGAUUUUUCCGUGCACUAAUAUUUCGGACGUGAAAUCAGACUAUCAAUCGUGUGCACGUUGUGAAAUUAGGAAGAUUUCUCAAUAUAUAAGGCUACUCGAGAUUACGGAUAUGAUAGCAUAUCGGGAAUUUCAAUUAUGUGCAUCGACGAAUAUUUCAAAUAAGAAAAAGGAAUUUUUGGAAAUCAAAAUAGAUAAGAUUUUCACCUAAUUUGAAUAUUGGCUUUCAAAUUCCGAUCCUCAAAUGGCUACUCGCGACGCAAUGUGGUGGUGCGCUCACAGGAUGGCUACUCGUCAAGGGGCUUUGCGUGCGGCUCCUUGAUGAUUGCUCGAUUCAAUGAUAUGUGCGUAAACCUCGAAAAGCAAUUUGCAAAACAAUAACUUUUGUUGUUGUAGCAAUAGCAAGGCUUACCCGGGAGACCUAGAGAACCACAAUGGGGAGAUGCUCCAAAUUUCAAUAAAAUAAGCGUGCGAAAUCCUCCCUCCUUUCAACGUAUACGUCCUCCUUUAUUGAAAGAACGUGUGCCCUUCUCUUGCCCAGAUUUUAGCGACUCGGAUGCUUGCUGAAUUUUGACCGAGCUCAAUCACCUCGCUGGAAUUCGUUGGCAACGCGAGUAUUGGUGCAAAUCGUCUGGGCGCGACGAAACAAACCCGAGGAUCGGGCUGAUUGGGAUGGGUGACAUGAGCAGUGGCUACUGGCGUUGGGGUAGCAACGAGGUCGUGGCCAGGAAACAACCAGCUCUGUUCACGGAUGCGGAGCAGCAGCGAUGGCGGCGUUCGGGUAAUAGUCGGAACAGCAACUACGAGGGGCGGAGUUGCAGUGACGUCAUCGAUGAAGGGGCUGCGGUGGCAUCGUCAAGCAGUCGAGUAAUAACUCAACAGGGUGGCAGCUCAUUGACAAUGUAUCGCAGACGAUGAAAGCACCGCGGCAGAAGUGUUGGCAUGGGUCUUGGCCAAGAAGAUUCGCGCUCUUUCCUCUCUCACGUCUCUCGCUCUCUCUUGUAUCAUUUAUAGUGAAACGGUGUAAACCAUCGAGGAAAGAAAGCAUAUUUUGUUUCCUUCUGUGCAUGCUUUGAAAUAUAUUCUAUUUCCUUUCCUCUUCCUCAUUGACCAAAUGCCUUCUUUUUUGCAGGGAUAUCUUUUUUUGCAAAUCCAUGUGCCCGUAGUGUAGAACGUGCCCAACAUUCCCUUCUCAUGCUGAUCUUCUGAAUUUCCAUAUGCUCGUAUCUUUCUACAUAGGGCCAUUCAUGAUGAAUAUUCUCUGCCGAUUUUAUUUCUUUAAGUUUUAACCCAAAUAUCAGUUCACAAAUUGAUCAAGUAUUGCCAAAAAUUCAAUAUUGCAAUAGACUUUUCCUAGAUUCCGAACCUUGCAAAGAUGAGCUCGCAAUAUCUCCUUCCUAUGCUUGUCCUUACCGAAUAUACGAAAGAUUCACCGAAUAUUGGAAGAAUAAUAUAAAUCUUUUCCAAAAAAUAUCGAAUUGCCAACUCGUAAAAUUGUAGCUCAUCCGCAGCCGAUCAAAUGCAAAAGUGAUAAACAAAUAGAUAAAUGUAACUAAAAUUAUAUGCCAUGCAAUUUUAAUUCUAUUUUUUAGCGGUUAAAAAUUAAUCCAUAAUUUUCUAUGCAAUAAAUGGAUGACCGGGUCGCCAAAAUUUAGGUGUCAAUAGUAGACUACGCCAUGACGUUGCUUCCUUAAAGAUGACCUUUUAAUUACUGUAUUUUUGGUCGAAAACCUUUUAAUUGCACCUUUUUUUUACUGUUGGCAUGGUGAUUUUUGAACUCGACAAGGACUGCCCAAUCAACCAUGCAACAAGGGGACAAUUUCUACGACGAGAAACGCGCAUGCAUGCAUUGACUAUGGGAGUCUCCGGAGACAAUCAUACAUUCUUGCCAACACUCAGAAUCCGAUCUCCACGAUUGGCAAUUUGCUUUUGCAUGGGAAAAUUGUACAAAAAAUUCUAAAUUUAUUACACUUUUAUCAAUUUAGUCCUAGAUCUUUUAAUUUGUAAAUUGAGUUCUAAACAUUUUUACUUUUUACCAAUUCAGCUAUAAACCUUUUCACUUUUUGCCAAUUAAACCAUCCGGCCAAUUUUGACGGGAAAUUACUAACAUGAAUAGCUGAUGCUGACGUGGUACUUUUUUAAUAAUAUUUUGAAUAUUUUAUGGUUUUUUUUUUUGCGACCUCACCCGUGGCUAGCAAGAGUUGGCCAGCAACUCUUGUCUGCCCUGGAUCCACAAACCCAAAAAUAAAGCAAAAGAAUUACAAAAAAAAAGAAGAGAAAAAAUCAUCUAGAAUGGAGUAGUGUCCAACUUUUCAUGUGAGAGCAAGAGUGAGAGCAAGUCAGAGACAAAGAGUGAUGUCUGAAAGUGAGAGAGAGAGAGAGAGAACCUCAUGUCUUCCUCCAAUGUAGGGAUAUUCCAUUUAGAAUGAAGUAGUAAAGCUUUUGUCCAACUCUUCUUACCUAAUCUUUUUCUUCUAGUGACAAUAGUCUUUUCUGUUGCUCUAAGUUUGCUAUGACCAUGUCUCAGAUUUAGAUUAUUAUACAGUUUAUUAAAGGCGGAGUCCAAAUUCCACGAUUCUUAGAAACUUCAGCAGCUCAUGAAGUUGUCCAAAAAAUAAUUAGAUUCACUUUUUUUGGGACAAAUCUUUUUUCCCCUCUUUCUUUUGACUUCAAUUGUAACAAAUUACUAUUCUUCUAAAAAAUAGUCAAGGGCUACGGCCACCAAGACCCGGUUAUGUGGAGGCCAAUGAAAUACCUUGCAAGUCCUACAAAUUGGUUAAGUCCAAUUCUCCGAGCAAGUCAGAGACAAGUUUGCGCGCCAUUGGUGGUAUCAUAUAUGUUGAACAUAAAUAAUGGAAAGAGUUAUCCUAUUAAAGUUGUUAAAAUAUAUAUAUAUAUAUAUAUAUAUAUAUAUAUAUAUAUAUAUAUGUACAUAUCAUAUAUGUCGAGUUUGGGAUCUAAUGUCAAUGGACUGAAUAUUAUCUUAAGACUUUUCAGGACAAUAACUGAAUUGUAUAGCUGUGGAAACUGAAAUAUUUGGCACCAUGGUCUAUCCCGUUCAUUAAUGGGUGCUUGUACAUUAGCAUAUCUAAGUCUCUAUCGAUGUUGACAGGUGUUUCACCAAGUCAACUAUACAACGCUCUUUUUUAGAUAAAAUUACCAAAGCAAGUUCUAAAUCGAUUGUAUAUGUAUCAAUUAAGUCGUAAUUUUUUCAAUUAUACCAAUUCAAUCCUAAAUUUUUUUACAAUUGCUGACAUAAUCCAUCCGGCCCUCACCUCUAGUCGGCCACGGUUACUAGCGGAGGAAGAAGGAAAAAGAAAAUGAAAGAAAAGAAAAUUAAAAAUUAAAAAAUGUGGAUUUUUUUAAAUUGCAAAAAUUAUCUACAUGAGCGCCAACUAUGCCACGUAAGAUGGCCAGUGGGCACGACCAAUAUUCAUAUCAACAAUUUCCUAUCAAAAUUAGCCAGUGAAUUUAAUUGAAAAUAUUUAGGACUCAAUUAAUAUAGUUGAAAAUUUUAUGAUUAAAUUGACACUAGUGCUAUAGAUUUAUGAUUUUUUAAAAAAAUAAAUUUUCCAUCUUUCUUGAGCUGCUCGUAGACUUGUCCACACACACACACACACACACACACACACAUAGACACAUACACACGAUUGUCUUUGUUUUUGGCUUCUAGAGAAGUCCAAUAAUUUUUAAACUCAAAUAUUUAAAAAAAAUAUAAAAAGAUUAUAUGAGAACUAUUGUGGCAAAUGAAAGGUUUCAAGUGCUUGUAAUUUUUUUAAAAAGUCUAAUUAUGUGCGUAAAUAUUGAAAGAAACUUUUAACUAUUUAAAUAGUCAUCGUCGAAAGAGGCUGAAAUUUUCCAAUUACAGGACGAGUCAUGGAAUCGUAGCAAGGAGGGGUUCUGUACUUUGACUUUGCUUUGGCCUAACAUGGCCUUUUUUCUCUCCGUUCCAUGUUAUAAACGUGGACACCAACCACAGAAAAAUCAAGGCACGUAAAACAAAACUUGACUUAGACCAAAUAAUAAUAGUUCCACGGACCACCUCAUGCACAAUACCUAAGCAAAACAUAAUCUUCUAUGCAUGUCUAAUCAAAUUAAUGUCGAGUUGUUAAGGGUUGUUUUAAUACUGUCAAUCAAUGCCGUUAUAUUCAACACGCAAGUUUCAGAGCUUUGAAAAUUCCAGGUUAACUUUAAGUAAUGGAUUCUAAGCAUGGAAUCUCGUCACUUACCUUGAAAUCUUCCUUGACUACAAGAAACCAUGUAAAUUGGAACAAUUUUCUGUUGUAUAUUUCAAUAGUCUUGAAAUUUCAAAAGCUAUUAUUUUUUUAACGAUUUUCAACUGUCAUCAAUUUGUAACCAUUUUUAUCUGCCAUUACUUUAUUACAGUUUUAUACUUCUAAUGGGGUUGGAGUAAAUCUCUUAAUUAGACAAAUAAGAAAAUAGUCAAAUCUCAAUCACCUCUCCUUUCGAGCUUCUAAUUAAAGAUAAAAGAUUUCUCAAGUCCUAAUUAGUCAACUGGACUAUUAGAGAUAUAUUUAAAAUAUUCUAUGAUUCUAUAUAUUAUUAUACGAUUCUAUAUAUUUCCUUUUAUUGGUCCUGAUUUGUUACCCUAUAAGUUAUUAUAUAAAGCCUAUAAAUAAGCUUGUGUAUUAUUUAUUUGAUGUUCUACAGAAUAUUACAUCUUUCAGUCAUUAUGAUUCUUAACUUGGAUGAAAAAAAAUCAACUCCUCAAAAGUAGAACCUCGUCAGUUUACUUGCCUAGCCGCCUGAAACGUUAUUAGUAGACUACACUAUGACGUCGCUUCCCUAAAGGUGAUUCAAUUAUUGACCUUUUAACUAAUGUUUUUUUUUUUUUUGGUUGAAAAUCUUUUAAUUGCACCUUUUUAUUAUUGUUGGCACGGUGAUUUUUUAACUCAACAAGGACUACAGUCAACCAUGCAACGAGGGGACAAUUUCUACGAUGAGAAACAUGCAUGCAUGCAUUGACUAUGGGAGUCUCUGGAGACAAUUAUUCAUUCCUACUGACACUAAGGACCCGACCUCCAUGAUUUGGCAAUUUGCUUUUGCAUUCAUAAUCUACAACACGGAAUUUAUGCUAAAGAGCUUAUUUGAAUUAUCAAUGUCCCUCUUUUCUUUGUGAUAGAAAACUUUCCAUGCGGAUGUUUUAUCGUGUUCAAAAGAAAUGUCAAUCUUUCAUAUCUACAUCAUGUUGCCAUGAAAGUCUUUACACAUUGCACUGCAAACGUAUCAGUACAUGCGUCAAUGCAGUUGAGAGUCGAUUCGGACACCAAUGAGAGUAAGUGCAGGCUAGGUUGAAGAUCUCCAUCAACCGGUGAAUGCAUCAAAUGCGGGAAAUGAUAACUCUAUAAAAAUAGAGUUAUUUUAUCUAUUUUAGGCAACAAUUAAUGCAAUAUCUAUGAGAAGAUAUUUGGAUUUCCUUCUGAUUAUUAGAAUUUUCCUUAUUUAUGCAGAAUAAUGAGAUAUGGAGAAAAUAAGAAAAAUAAUGCAAAUAUCAAGAAUUCAAAUAAAUAAAUAAAUAAAUAAAGCAAUUGAAGAUAAAUAUCAAAUCAGGAAAUUCUUGAUUUUAUUCCCUAAUGUUAUCUGCAAGCGUUGAGAGAUAGAUAGCUGGGAUUAUAUCUUUUGAAGAGGAGAACAUUAAGAGCCAAAGAGAAAGUAGCGAGUUAUAUAUCUUUUGUUUUUGAUCUUUCUGAGAAUUUUUCAAGUAUUUUGAAGAGAAAACAAAAGUGAUGACAUAAUUCUUGUUCUUUAAUUCAAGAUGCUGGGUUUGAUUUAUAUUUUUAUUUAUUCUUCUACUAUGUUCUAAUUUUCUUUUGUUAGGACUACGAUGUAGCCUAACCAUGAUGAUGUGAAAUUCAUGAUUUUUAUGUUUUACAAUUGAUUUCAUUUAUAUGAGUUAUAUAUUAUUGUGUUUAAUGUUUUUGAGUGACUAGCCAUCACUUGAAUGAUUUGAUGUGCAUGUUUGAGACUGAGAAGUGAAAAUAUACAAUUGCUCGUUAUAAUAUAUAACCAUAAAUUAAACAUGGAUAGAGAUAUACCGCGUUAUUUGUGUAGCUUUCGAUGAUAAGGUGAUCCAAAAGACACAUUGUAAGCCGAGAAUAUUCAUAGUUUUUAAUGCACUUAUGUUUAUUUUAAUUCACAUAGAGAUAUAGUAGAUUAAUAAUCUGAGUAGGUUUACUAUUGUUCUUGUAUCCAAAACAAUCUUAAAUUUAUAUCUAGUGGUUAUGGUGAAAUCGGAUGCUCUAACAUAUUUAUCUGAUCGAUUUAUUGCAUUUAGUCUACAAAUUUUGUUUUAAAUUUAUUAUUAAUUAUAUUUUGAUCUGUUAGAUAAAGUUUAGAAUUAGUCUAUUUUAGUAUUUAAUUGGUUUGUUAAUCAUCGAUCUCCAUGGGACGAUACUUUUUCUCAUCAUUAUAUUACUUGUUCGACACGUGCACUUACAUUUAGAAUUUUACGAACAAGUUUUUGGCACCGUUGCCGGGGAUCGUUUGUUUAAUACUAAUUAAUAUUGAUACCGGAUAAUUCUAAGUUUAAUCUAGUUUUUGUUUUGUUUUAUUAUUCAGGGUGUACAUCAGUUUAUGACACAUAGCCAACAGAGGAAACUUGUUGAGCUUGAUCCAAAAAUCGGGCGUACAUUCAAAAGGCGACUGAGAGAACAGAGAAAUCACGCUAAGAAGAUGGCAGACAGUGAGAAUGAAAAUCCACGUAAACUGUUAAGAGAUUAUGCCGCGCCAAUAGUUCAAGGUACCACAUCAAGUAUCAAAAGACCUGUAAUUCAAGCAAACAACUUUGAGAUCAAGCCGUUACGCAUUCAGAUGUUUCAACAAUCAGUGCAAUUUAGCGGGCUACCAAGCGAUGAUCCAAACACUCACAUCGAUGCUUUUCUUGAAAUCCGUGACACCAUUAAAUAUAAUGGAGUUACAAAUGAUGCUAUUAGAUUGAGAUUAUUUCCAUUCUCUCUUAGAGACAAAGCUAAGAGUUGGCUUUCUUCUCUUCCUGGAGGAUCAAUCACUACAUGGAAUGAUAUGGCUCAGAAAUUUCUUGGUAAGUUCUUUCCACCUGCAAAGUCUGUGAAGAUGCGUAACGAUAUUACUACUUUUAUGUAGAUGGAUAAUGAAUCAUUAUAUGAAGCAUGGGAAAGAUUCAAAGAAUUUCUUAGGGGAUGCCCACAUCACGGACUACCCAUAUUAAAGCAGGUAUAAACUUUUUAUAAUGGCUCUAGUACAAAUCUUCGUUCUAUGAUUGAUGCAGCUGCAGGAGGAACUCUAAAUAAUAAAACACCAGAAGAAGCCUACAAUUUAUUAGGGGAGAUGACAUCCAAUAGUUACCAGUGACCUACUGAGAGACUACCAAUACGAAAAGUUAGCAGAGUUCACGAAGUUGAUGCUUUUGCUACAAUUGUUGCACAAUUUGAAACACUCAACAAAAAGCUUGAUAAUAUGAGUGUUUCAGUCAUGAAAAUUCAGAAUUUGACAUGUGAUUUUUCUGGUGGAGGACAUGUUAGCAUAGAAUGUCAGGUAAAAUACUUUUAAAUAAUCUAAUGAAAAUUCUAACUUUGUUGGGAAUUUUAACAGGUCAUAGAAUAAUCCCUACUCCAAGUUCCAACACGUACAAUCCGGGAUGACACAAUCAUCCAAAUUUUUCAUGGAAUAAUCAGAAUGUGACGAGACCAUCGGGAUUCAAACAAUCAAAAAGAGACAAAGUCAAAUUUGGAAGAUAUAGUCACCAAACUUGCUUAUACGACUCAUGACUUCAUCAAAAGCACGGAUGUGAUAUUUCAAAAUCAAGAGGCGUCAAUCAGAAAUCUGGAAAUGCAAGCGGUCAGUUAGCAAGCAUAAUGUCAAGGAGACAACAAAGUUCUUUGCCGAGCAACACAGAGAAAAAUCCAAUUGAAAACAUAAAGGUUAUUACCCUGAGAAGUGGUAAACAAGUGGGAGAAGAAGAGAUUUGCAGAGACAAUGAAGAGGUGAUCAAUCAACAAUCAAAGGAGACAAGCAAGAGUAAACUUUUUCCAGAUAAUCCCAAGCCAUAUGUGCCGCCAAUUCCAUUCCCUCAGCGACUCCAACAGCACAAAAUAGAUAAGCAAUUUUCUAAACUUCUUAAUGUAUUUAAAAAAUUGCACAUUAACAUUCCUUUUGUAAAUGCCCUAGCGCAAAUGCCUAUGCAAAAUUUUUGAAGGAGAUUUUGGCAGACAAAAAAAAACUGGAGGGUUAUGAAACUGUGAAGUUAAAUGAGGAGUGUUCCUACAAAACAAAUUGCCUCCGAAAUUAAAAGAUCCAGGGAGUUUUACUAUUCCUUGCACUAUUGGGGAUUUGUACUUUGAAAAAGCAUUAUAUGAUUUAGGUGCAAGUAUUAAUUUGAUGUCUUAUUCAGUUUUUAAGAAAUUAGGGUUGGGUGAGGUAAAAGUAACCACAGUGUCACUUCAACUAGCUAAUCGAUCAAUAAAAUAUUCGAAAGGUAUUGUGGAAGAUGUUUUGGUAAAAGUUAACAAAUUUAUUUUUCCUAUAGAUUUCAUAGUUCUUGACAUGGAGGAAGAUUUUGAGGUACCACUCAUCUUAGGUCGACAUUUUCUAGCAACAGGAAGAGCUCUUAUUAAUGUACAACAAGGGAAGUUGAUUCUUAGAGUUCAAGAUGAUCUUGUUUCAUUUAAUGUUUUUAAAGCAAUGAAAUAUCCAUCUGAUGAUAAUUCUUGUUUUAGAGUUGAGAUAAUUGACAAGUUGGUGAAUAAAUUUUUUCAGGAAAAUAUUUUUAAAGAUUCACUUAAAGCAUGUCUGAUUCGACCAAGGGACAAAGAUAUUCAGAAUGAGGAGAUAAAGGAGUACGCAAAUUUCAUGGAGGCAAUUCCACCAUAUUCAAGGCAAAAGGCAAUUAAACUUUAGAAGUUGGGACAACACAUAACAAAGUCUAAACCAUCAACUGAAGAGCCUACAAUUCUUGAACUCAAACCCUUACAAUCUCAUUUGAAAUAUGCUUAUUUAGAUAGAGUUUCUUCUUUACUGGUAAUUAUAUAUUCUUCUUUAACAGAUUUGAUGGAGAAGAAAUUGCUCAGAGUAUUAAGAGAGCAUAAAGGUGCAAUUAGAUGGAAAAUAGUUGAUAUCAAGAGAGUUAAUCAUUCUAUUUGCAUGCACAAAAUUUUGAUGGAUGAGCAAUAUAAACCCACUAUCCAACCUCAAAGGCGUUUGAACCCGAAGAUGCAAGAAGUAGUGAAAGCUGAGGUAAUUAAGCUACUUAAUGCAGGUAUCAUCUAUCCUAUCUCUAAUAGUUCUUGGGUAAGUCCUGUACAAGUUGUGCCAAAAAAAGGUGGUAUGACUGUUCAGAAAAACGACAAGAAUGAACUGAUUCCAACUAGAACAGUUACUGGGUGAGUGUGUGUAUGGAUUAUAGAAAAUUGAAUGAUGCCACUGGAAAAGAUCACUUUCCUUUACCAUUUAUUGAUCACAUGUUAGAAAGACUUGCAGGGCAUAAGUUUUAUUGCUUUCUUGAUGAAUAUUCGGGGUAUAAUCAGAUUCCUAUUGCACUAGAAAAUCAAGAGAAAACUACUUUCACUUGUCCCUAUAGUACUUUUGCUUUUAGAAGAAUGCCGUUUGGUCUUUGUAAUGCACCAGCUACUUUUCAGAGAUGCAUGAUGGCUAUUUUUUCUAAUAUGGUUGAAAAAUAUAUUGAUAUUUUCAUGGAUGAUUUUUCCGUUUUUGACUUAUCAUUUGAUUCUUAUUUAAAUAAUUUGGCUUUGGUCUUACAAAGAUGUGAAGAGACUAACCUUGUUUUGAAUUGGGAGAAGUAUUACUUUAUGGUGCAGAAAGGAAUAGUGCUUGGGCAUAAAAUUUCUCAAAACGGAAUAGAAGUUGAUCGAGCCAAAGUGGAAGUCAUUGCGAAAUUGCUUCUGCCAACAUCUGUGAAACUUGUCAAAGGAUUUUUGGGGCAUGCAAGAUUUUAUAGACGGUUUAUAAAAGAUUUUUCAAAAAUUGCUAAACAUUUUUUCUAAUCUUUUGGAAAAAGAUACUCCUUUUAAUUUUUCUGUUGAAUGUAUGCAAGCUUUUAACACUUUAAAGAAGUUAAUUUCAGCACCAAUUAUGGCAGCACCAAAUUGGGAUUUACCCUUUGAACUGAUGUGUGAUGCUAGCGAUUCUGCAGUAGGAGCUGUUUUGGGACAAAGGAAGAAUAAAAUUUUUCAAACCAUAUACUAUGUCAAUCGAACUUUGUCAGGUACAUAGUUGAAUUAUUCAACAACAGAAAAGGAACUUCUGGUGGUAGUUUUUGCUUUUGAUAAAUUUCGUUCUUAUUUAAUUGGCUCAGUUAUAGUUUAUUAUGACUACUCUACUCUUAAGUAUUUGCUUGAAAAGAAAAAAUCAAAACCUAGAUUGAUCAGGUGGAUUCUAUUGCUGCAAGAAUUUGAUUUGAAAAUCAAAGAUAAGAAGGGGACUGAAAAUUUAAUUGCAGACCACUUAUCAAGAAUUCCAAAUUCAAAGGAAGAGAUAAGACCAAUUUUGGAAGAAUUCUCCGAUGAUAAAAAAUUUUCCAUCAAGUCCACAAAAAUUCUUUGGUAUGCUGACUUUGUAAAUUAUUUAGUACGUAAUGUUCUUCCUCCUAAAUUAUCAUAUCAAUAUAAGAAAAAUUCUUUUCUGAUGUUAAAAAUUAUUUUUGGGAAGAACUUUUCUUGUUUAAAGUAUGUGCAGACCAAAUCAUAAGGAGAUGUGUUCCAAAUGAAAAGAAGGCAAACAUUCUACAUCAUUGUCAUAAUGGAGAGGUAGGUGGCCAUUUUGGUGCAACCAAAAUUGCAGCUAAGAUUUUACAAUCUAAAUUUUAUUGGCCUGCACUUUUUAAAUAUGCAUACUCCUAUGUAGUUUCAUGUGAUAGGUGUCAGAGAACUGAAAAUAUUUCAAGAAAAAAUGAGAUGUCUUUAAACAACAUUAUUGUGUGUGAAUUAUUUGAUGUUUGGAGUAUUGAUUUCAUGGGACCCUUUACACCUUCUUAUGGAAAUUUAUACAUUUUAGUGGCUGUGGAGUAUGUGUCUAAGUGGGUAGAAACUGUAACAUUGCCAACUAAUAAUGCUAAGGUUGUGUUUAAAUUUUUGAAGAAAAAUAUUUUUACCCGAUUCGGCAUUCUAAGACAAUCAUAAGUGAUAGGGGGACACAUUUUUACAACAAACAGUUUGAAGCACUUUUAAGUAAGUAUGGAGUCACACAUAAGGUUGCAACCCCUUAUCAUCCUCAGAGUAGUGGUCAAGUAGAGAUUUCAAAUAGGGAAAUCAAGAGAAUUUUAGAAAAAACGAUGAAUGCUUCUAAGAAAGAUUGGUUAAUAAAACUUGAUGAUGCACUUUUGGCCAAUAGGAUAGCGUUCAAAACUCCAAUUGGAAUGUCUUCUUUUAGACUAGUGUUUGGGAAGGCUUGUCACUUACUAGUGGAAUUAGAGCAUAAAGAAUAUUGGGCAUUGAAAUUUUUGAAUUUUGAUAUGUAGUCUGCAGGUGAAGAAAGAUUAUUGCAACCUAAUGAAUUGGAGGAAUAAUCGAGAGUUUAAUUAUCAAGACAAAAGAUUAACUUUUCUUUAUUUUAUCCAGGUUAAUUUUUUAGGGGGCACAUUUCAAGAGUUUAAUCAUCAAGGUCAUCUAUGAACUUCUCCUACAAUCAGGAGAGUUUUCUUCAUCCUAUUUUUAUAUUUUGCAUUGAGGACACUGCUUCAUUCAACUUUAGGGGGGGAGACAAAUUUUUUUGAUAAUUUUUUUUAUCAUGAUUGCAUUCCUAGUUGUGAAUUUUUGCGAUUCUUAGGGAAAUUUAAAUUUUAUUUAAACUUGCAAUUGGUGUGUGAGUUAAUCUUAAUUCUAAUUAUGUUGAUCCACUUAAUGAGCACUAAAAGUCCUUAAUUUUUUAAUUGUGUGUAAAUUUAGAGAACAUUCAUGUGAAGUAUGUGAUUUUCUUGGAUUUUACCAAAAUCUUAGAAUUUGUUUGACUUUCUCUUGAGGCGAAAUCCUAAGCUAAAUCUAAUUGAGAAAAUGAUUUAGGCAAUUUUUGGAUCGAUUGAGCCUUUUAAGCUAACCUUAUUUAUUUAUCCCUAGUCACCCCGUUGAGCCUUAAUUAUUACCCAAUUUUUCAUUGGCACCCAUAUAUGUUUAGCUUAGCCGUUACCAAAUUAUAUCAUUGUCCCAUGCCCUAUGAACAUGUUGAUUUUCUUUUGGGAUUAAAAAAAAAACAAACUGUUUGAGCUUAAUAGAAAUUUAGGAGGAAUGAUGGAGUAUGAAAAAAAAAACAAAAAAAAAAUGAUUGCUAUGGUUGUUUGGGAUGUAUUAUUAAAAAAAAAAAUUGCUAUUAUGGUUCCCUAUCCAACUUUCAGUUGAGUGAGCCUUUUGGAUGUUCAAUGAGUUGGAAAUUUUCAUGUUAUAUUAGGAGGGAUUUUGGGAGAAACUCCACCAUAAAAAAAAAAAGAAUGAUGAUAUAUGGUGGCAGAAAAAUUAUUUUGAAUGAGUGAAAUUGGACAGUGACAUUGGCUCUAAUUAGAUCCUAGAAAUCAACAUAUUGAUGGGUGAUUUGAGCUUAAAAUUACCGUUAUCUCACCUUUAGCCCAGCCUUACAUUACAAAUCAAGAAAAGUCCUGUUGAUUUUUUGUUGAAGAAUUAGCCUACAUUAGUGGAGAGAGGAAUGAAAAAGCAAACUUAUGAGAUUUGGUCAUAAUUAUUGAGAAUUUUUUAGAGGUUGCAUGUCAAUGUUAAUUUGAAAAAAAUGAGGACUCUCACACACACACUUGGAUCACAUAGUUAGAAUUUGUCUUAACUUAUAAAUCAAUUUCCAUGUUUGGAUGAAAUUUAUGUUUUUCUUUGAAUUGUGAAUUUGAGCAAUUAUGGAAAGAUGUCAUGGAGGAGGUUGUUAGCUUGAGUAUGUGUUAUGUCUUAAUUUUGCUUGAGGGCGAGUAAAAUGUUAAGUUUGGGGGUUUGAUAAACCUAGUUAUUUUAUCUAUUUUAGGCAAUAAUUAAUGCAAUAUCUAUGAGAAAAUAUUUGGAUUUCCUUAUGAUUAUUCGAAUUUUCCUUAUUUAUGCAGAAUAAUGAGAUAUGGAGAAGAUAAGGAAAAGAAUGGCAAAUAUUAGGAAUUCCAAUUAAAAAAAACAGUGGAAGAUGAAUAUCAAAUCAGAAAAUUCUUGAUUUUGUUCCCUAAUAUUAUCUGCAAGUAUUGGAAGAUAGAUAUCUAGGAUUAUAUCUUUUGAAGAGGAGAAUAUUAAGAGCCAAAGAGAAAGCAACGGGGUUUUUGUUAAAUUGUUUUUGAUCAUUCUGAGAGUUUUUCAAGUAUUUUGAAGAGAAGACAAAAGUGAUGAUAGAAUUCUUGUUCUUUAAUUCAAAAUGCUCGGUUUGAUUUAUAUUCUUAUUUAUUCUUCUACUAUGUUCUAAUUUUCUUUUGUUAGGGCUAUGAUGUAGCCUAACCAUGAUGAUGUGAAUUUCAUGAUUUUUAUGUUUUACAAUUGAUUUCAUUCAUGUGAGUUAUAUAUUAUUGUGAUUAAUGCUUUUGAGUGACUUGAAUGAUCUGAUGUACACGUUUGAGACUGAGAAGUGAUAAUAUGCAAUUGUUCAUUGUAAUAUAUAACCAUGGAUUAAACGUGAAUAGAAAUAUACCGCGUUAUUUGUGUAGCUUUCGGUGAUAAGGUGAUCCAAAAGACUCAUUGUAAGCCGGGAAUAUUCAUAAUUUUUUAUGCACUUAUAUUUAUUUUAAUUCACAUAGAGAUAUAUUAGAUUAAUAAUCUAAGUAUGUUUGCUAAUAAUAAAUUGAUUAGGAAAUUCUGCUAUCACAUGUUUGAUAUCGUUCUUGUAUCCAAAACAAUUUGAAAUUCAUAUCUAGUGGUUGUGGUGAAAUUGGAUGCUCUAACAUAUUUAUCUGAUCAAUUUACUGCAUUUAGUCUACAAAUUUCGUUUUUAAUUUAUUCUUAAUUAUAUUUUGAUCUGUUAGAUAAAAUUUAGAAUUAGUCUAUUUUAGUAUUUAGUUGGUUUAUUAAUGAUCGAUCUCUAUGGGACGAUAUUUUUUCUGAUCAUUAUAUUACUUGUUCGACAUGUGCACUUACGUUUAGAAUUUUACAAACAAAAAAAUUAUCAUAUUAGGUAGAUAGAAUAUGAUUUUUGGCAUAUAAAUAAUAUGAGUCGAAACAUACACUAUGACCCAUCUUAAAUUUUGAGACCCAUGUUCUCCCUUUAGUCUAAUCACUGAAACCCAUGACCCACACGUAUUUAAAUUCUCUAUCCCUUUGUUUUCCAAUUCAAUUUACAUGUUUCUGAUCUUGAUAUUUUCUAACUUUAUUUUGAUCUUAAAUGCACAUGCCAUUUUCUAAUGAGAGGAACACAGAUUAAAAGACGAUGUGAAUAGAUGAGAUCCGCCACUUAUUUUGAAAAAAAAAAAACUAUUUUUAUGUUUUGUCAAUUUCCUGACAUUACACAUUUCCAAUCUCUAAACCUUCCAAUGUCCUAUAAAAAAAGUCUAAACCAUUCAAUGCUUUUCCAUAGCGAUAUUGGUUGUUAGUAUUCAUUUGAAAGCCUACCCCUUUCUUGAGUCAAGGAAAAAUUACCUCUAUUGCUUGCCACCUAUUUUAUCUUAAACUAAAGUUUAAGUUCAUUUUUUUCAUAGUGACACAAUUAUUAAACUGACGAUAGUUAUAAAAUUGACAAAAUUUUUUUUCCAAAUAUCACUAUUUAAAUAAAUUUUCACUAACAAUUACAUCUAUAGUCAUAAAUCAAACCUAAACCUAAGUCAUUUAAGAAAUAUAGAUAGAUGGAAAAAUAAAUCAUCUUACCUUAUAGUAAUGGCCCACUCAUUGAACGCGAUCUGACUUGCAUUCUCUGACCCACCGAAGUUGCAAAAGCUAACCAACAGUCAAUGUCAACUCAGUAUCGACUUCACUUACUUCCCAAAAUUCAGUCCUUGCGUUGCAUAAAAACAAACCAUUUUUAUGGCAGAGUAGAGAGAGAGAGAGAGAGAGAGAGAGAGAGAGAGAGAGAGAGAGAAGGAAUGGCGUGACAUUGAACUAUCAGAUUCUAUUUAUUAAUUUGAUGAGAAAGUAAAAAAGUAACUAACAGAAGUAAUGGUCCACCGAGAUACAGGUAUUUGUCGGAUUCUACUUAAAGCACCCCUUAUUUUUUGUUCUUUUUCGGUUUGUUAUUUAGGAUACAAGAUUUGGUUUCCAGUUUCGGUGGAGGUCUGCCGGUUUAGAAAUCAGGAUUUACGAAGUUGCAACAGAUCUGUUGUUUUGCUUUGCUGGGUUGUAGUUGCAAUAGCAGCAGCAAAUCACCCACCUUUGAUGUGGACACUUCAAUUUUCGUUGUGGGAUGUUAAGUGUCAACUUCGUCCAUAUUCACUCAGCCCCCACCUCUCAUAUCUCAGGCGGAGAAGACUAACCCAUUAAGCUUUCGGUUUCAGUUUCAAAUUGUUUGAUUCUUUUGACAUUAACCUGGUCGUUACCAUUGACUCAUAAUAUAGAACCAUUGAUGGAAUGGAAGUAGUCUGCUGAUGAGGUAGUAAUCCAACAUUUGUAAGAAACAGUGACUGGACAUGCAAGUUUCUCCAGAUAAAUUUUGCGGGUAGACAUACAAGUUUCUCUUUCAUCAUUUCUCAAAGAUGGGAAAGAUCAAAUUGGCCGACCAUCAUCCACACUAAAGACAAAAAAAUGGCAUCUGCUAAGUGAAAUUCUUGAGUAGCAACAUAUAACAAGUCAAGCUCGUGAACAAACACAUCCAGAGCAAGAAGGUGCCACUCCACACAUCUCGCCAUUCAAACAAAUGAAAAGCUUCCGUAAUAGAUUCCCUCCCUUGCAGUGGCCACCAUCCACAUCAUUAUUGUGUGAAAAGGAAAAAGUUGCAACAUUUACAAAGGGGAAAGAGACAGCACGAAUACAAACACCAAACCACAAGCCAUUGUCUUUAGGCUUUCCCCACUAAUUAAUUCACAAUACCCAAUUACCGCACUGCAUAACACUCGUUGUUUUGUUUAUAUUACCUAUACCUUCAGUUCCACAUGUGAGCGAAAGAGAAACUUCGAAGCAACAUUUAAGAAUUCUGCUGCAAGGAUUACCCAAUGAAGCCCUAGUUCUUUCAAGAACUAAUUUACUUAGAACACAACAAACCAUUUCUUACUCUCUCUUGUGCCAGUAAUCAGUAUCCAGAAGUACUGGCUAGAGAUCAUUACCAGAUGCAGACGAAGCGGUUCCAGUCAAUGGCCCUUCAAUAGACAUACUCUUGGUGAUAUUCUCACCAACUGUCUGAUGUUCGUCACCUCUAAAAUGCUUCCUCAUGGCCUCAAUUUUCUCCUUAGUCAUGAUAGCGCCCGCAGAGUCCAGCACUGGAACAGCAACCUUGCCUUCAAGCAUGCUAACCACAGAUGACAUUGGCGGCCUUAGUGCUGGAGUCACAUAAGUACACAUCAGAGCUAUCUUUAUCAAUGCCAACACUUCCUCUUUGUCAAAGUGAGAACCAAGCCUCGGAUCAACUAGUUCUAUCAAAUUUCCUCUUUCCUUCAGAAAGUGUGCCUAGAUACAGAAAUGUAAAGUGAAGAUAUUUCCCUUUCAAGCUUCAGGUAUUGAUCAGUUGCAAAAUAUGCUCUAAAUACUGAAACAGGAAGAAGUAUAUUAUCUCCCUUGAUAAUUACGUGGCAAAUGCAGUUGAUAAGCACCUGCUAGAUUUAGGGUAUAAAUGGAUAAAAAGAAUCGAAUGAGUCAAUACAGAUCAAACAUGAUUUUUUUUACCGAUUUUAAAGAAAAGGUAGUAGACUCCAAAAUCACUUACUAAUGGUUAACCGGUUGCCAAGAAAUCACCUACACCGCUUUAAAAUCACUAGCUAUUGUCGAGUUUUAUCAGCACGAAUUAUUUGUCAGUGUCAUUACAUGAAACGGUAGACUCGUCUUUCAGAGUUCUUGAUUAUGCAACUCAGGCGACAAUCAGAUUUAACAAGGACUAAUAAUAUGAUUGUUUGCUCUAAUGAUUGCUCACUCAAAGCAAAACAAAAUCUAACUUAGGGAGUCAAUUAUAUGAAUGUGAAAAAAGUUAUACCUCAAUCGAAAGUAUAUGGAUAUUCUGGUUAAGACAUGGUCUUGAAAACUUUUUAAUUUAACAGUAAUUGCCAAAAUAAAAUAGUAGUCGAAGGACUUGUUUGGUGCCAAUGAAACUACAGGGAGUAUGAAUGUCAAGCAUAAAAACAUAAAGACUAAAACUGAACUUUCGAGAUCCACCCUAAAUUAUGGGGUCAACUUCCCCAAAUAUCAAGGAAUAGAAUUUCUUCGUUCAAAAAAAAAAAAUACAUGAAAAUUCAGAGUAGACCAACAUGAUAAGAAGAGUCGGAUUAAUUUGAAAUAAAAAAUUGCACUUAACAGCAUGACAAUUCGAUAAGCAAAUUUCAAUAGCUGUUAACUGUGAAACUCCUUUGCAACCAUUGAAAGUGCAUGUGAGGAUUUAAAUACAAAUAUGAUCAUAAUUGAAAUGAUAGAGUUGAUUACCCAAUCGAGUAGAAUAAAGCAUUCCUCAGUUUUUUGGGAGCUAGUGUUGCUCCGGCCACUAACAACUUCUAAGGCAACAAUGCCAAAACUAUAGAUGCCGGCUUUGUCAGUGAGGUAACCAUGCAUUGCGUACUCCGGUGCCAUAUAUCCACUGCACAACAAGAAAAGAGCUUGUGUUUGCAACAAGGUAACUGCCUUAAAUAGCACAUACUUAAUAUUCCUAAAAUUCAAAAGAAAGAGUCAUUCCUAAAUGUGACGCUAUGGUCUAAAGAGUAGAGGAAAAAAACAAAUGCAUCCUAAUAUAUUCUAAUAUCAUUUACCGAGAAUAUUUCAGGAAAAAAAAAGGACCAUUGUUGUUCUUUGUAAUUUUUCUUUUGGUUUGAAAUAUAAGUAUCAUUUAUAAGAUGACCUACAUGAGCUUAAGGGCAUUUCCCAGCAUUACACAGAUAUCUAAGAACGUGCAAAAAUGGAGUGAGGGAAUCUCCAUAUAGUACCCAAUAUUAAAUUUAUUUGGGAAGGGCUAAAGUUUUUGUAAAGUGAAGCUCGCCUUGUAACAAGUUUACGAAUUUUAGCCACGAUAAUGGGGACAUCAUUUGACUUGUUUUGGAAAUGUCUAUAGUUACGUUUAUAGUUCUUUUUGUUGAAUUAACGUUAGAGUUAGUAGAAUGAACUUACAAUUUUAUCUUUCCCCUAAUUAAUCACGUUCCUUUCACAAACAAGUUGACUUUUCACACGCAUUAAUGCAAACUUCUAAAACAUGUGAACAUGCUUAUCUAUGUUUCUCCAUGUGCAUACAAUAGAAACAUGGGCGAAUUUGCUAUAAUACUAAGUUAUAUUCAAAUUAACAAUUACAUAAGUCAAUACCAGAGUAUCAUUACUUAAUGGUAGAGUAUGACACAAUUUACAUUUUUUUCCUAAUUAAUGUGAAGAGUGCUGGGACAGUCAUAAAGCUUUGUGGUUAAGCCGAAUUUGUUGAGCAACAUGCUUUGGGAUGAUGUGAAUCCACCACAAAGCUUCAUUCAACUCACUUUUCUUAAAUCAGAAUAUAUGUUUCUAUUCCAUGCUUUUAUGUUGUCACUGGCUCCUACUUAGGUUAACAGGAACAAAAAGCAAGAAACUUACUAAGUUCUAGCAAUCUUGGUGCUAAUAUGUGUUUUGUCCUCCUCAUCAAGCUUUGCUAAACCAAAAUCUGAUAUUUUAGGGUUGAGAUCCUUAUCCAGUAAAACAUUAGUAGCCUUAAUGUCUCUAUGCACAAUCUUCAGCCUUGACUCUUCAUGAAGAUAUGACAAUCCCCUGGCAAUACCCACGCAUAUCUUGUGUCUUGUCCACCAAUCCAACUUUAACUGAAAUUCUUCAGGACCUUCAAUUGUAUCAAAAGACAUCAAAGCUGCUUUACUGCCAUGUCAUUAACUGAAGUCAAUGAAGCACAAUGUGAUAUCAAAUUACCAAAUAAAGCGCGAGCAAGACUGUUAUUUUCCAAGUACUCAUAAACCAGCAAAAGUUGAUUUCCUUCAAUGCAGCAUCCAUAGAGUUUCACAAGAUGUGGAUGCUGAAGAGCAGAAAUCAUCCCAAUCUCAGUCAGGAACUCAUUAUUUCCUUGUUGUGAUUUGGAUGAAAGCUGCUUCACUGCUAUAGUGGUGCCAUCUGACAGAAAACCCUGCAAUUCAACUUUAGCAUCAGAUCUAUGUUGUGAAAAUUGAGUUACAUUGAAUGCUGCUUUCUACAUAUCUUCUCUCUUGGGAAUAAGGGGAAUUUGGUUAGCCAAUUUUCCAGCAUACCUUGUAGACAGAACCAAAACCACCUUCUCCUAUCUUAUUGGCAGGGUCAAAAUUGUUUGUGGCAGCUUUAAUCUGUCGCAAGGUAAAUAAACCAAUUUGCAACGCUAGAUACUUCAAAUCUGCAACACGUUUUGGAACUUCUAUGAAUUUGGAAAAGUCAACAGUUAAAGUAUGUAAUCCACUAUCUAAAAAGACGUAUCAAUUCCUUCUCAAUAUUCCAGAAAACCUUUUUGUGACGUUUUGGUCUGAGCAAGUUCAGUACAGAAUAGCUUAGCAUCUUGAAAAUUAUUUUCUAGGAAAGUCUGGCAUCAGUUGGCAGUAUGUAUUUAUGAAAAGUAAAAUGAGAUUGUCCCGAGGGUAUUUAAUAGUGAAGGAAAAUAAAAAUCAUACAGAGAACCCCCUUGGAAACGUAGGGUAUGGUUUGUAUGUUUUAAUUUCUCAUGCACGUGAAGUUCUGGCAGAUAUUUUUGGUGUCUUGAAACAUAGACUUUGUGUGUAUACACACACACACAUCUGAGAAACAAUCUACCGUCUCUCCCUAUAACUAUCUAUUCCUUUAUUUUUCGGAUUUCUAAAUAAAAAUAUUAGUUCAUUAAGCAAACCAAAUGGUUCUACGACACUUUAGCUGUAUAUCGCCUAAUAAUAAUCUUUGGCUUUUUGCGUCGAAUCAAAUUCCCUAUGGAAUGCACAAUGUCAAGAAGGAGGAGGAGGAGGAGGAGGAAGUAUCAUGUGAAGAAGAAGAAGAAGAAGAAGAAGAAGAAGAAGAAGAAGAAGAAGAAGAAGAAGUAUCAUGUGAAGAAGGAGAAGAAGAAAAAGGAGGAGGAGAAGAAGGAGGAGAAGGAGGAAGAGGAGAAGGAGAAGGAGAAGGAGAAGCAGAAGAAGAAGAAGAAGAAGAAGAAGAAGAAGAAGAAGUAUCAUGUGCCAACAGUUUGAAGAAGAAGAGGAGGAGGAGGAGGAUGAGGAGAAGAAGAAGUAUCAUGUGAAGAAGAAGGAGGAGGAGGAGGAGGAGGAGGAGGAGGAGAAGAAGAAGAAGAAGAAGAAGUAUCAUGUGCCAACAGUUUGAAGAAGAAGAGGAGGAGGAGGAGGAGGAGGAGGAAGAGGAGGAGGAGGAUGUGCCAACAGUUUGACAGGACAACUGUGCGAUUUAGAGGAAAUAUAAAUGAAGAAUAGUCCAGGUAAGCAACUACCUUGUGCCAUUUUAUCUUUACAUCCGAGGCAUCCUCUCCACCAAAGGAUAACCAGGAUAAGGAAAACUACAAAAACUAUAGCAGCCAGAAUCCCAGCCACUGUGCCAGCAGAUAUGCUGGCCGGGGGAUCAAAGUCUGCAAUGAAGAAAGAACAAACAAAUAUUUAACCAAAACUGUUCAGUUAAAUGGGGUAGACGUAAAUGCAGAAAAAUAUCUGUAGCUUCUCAUUGAACACAGAGAAAUUGAUGGACAACACAAUAAUCGAGAAUCAAGAGGGCAUAAAACCGCCCAGAGUACUCCACAGAAACUAUCAGAUAAAUGAGCACCAGAAGAUAUCAACUAUGGAACAUGUAAUACAAAAUACAAAGGGAAAAAAAAAUCUACUCUUCAUUCUCAAGGCUGUACUGUAUGAUACAGGCACCAUGGUCGUAAUCCAUAGCGGAAAAGUGAACAAGGCUAUCAUUUCAUAGUCGAAUGGAAGGAUUGAAGAUACAUAGAGAAAACACGCUCAGAUGGAAAGAACACAAAGCAACCUAUAACCAAUUUUCGACUCUAAGAGAAUAAUAAUAGACCCCAGUCAGCUAUUAUGCGUAAUUGACUUGAUCUAUAGUGACAUAUGCCAAUGGCCUGAAUCCAACAGUAGGCAUUUGCAACCAAGCCAAGUAACUGAAUAGCCUAUUGAUGACUUCUGGUGCAAGAACAAAUAUGGGUAUUCUUUUCAACAUGAAUAUGAGUAACUUUCUCAACAGAGAAGCACCAAGUGAAACAUGGAAGCAUCCAUCCGCGUACCAGAGUAGACAGAGAUAGCAGAUAUAAGAGGACCAUAGACUCCAUCCUCAGGUAUACCAGUGCUUCCUUUCCCAGCCCAAUAGAAGCGUAUCUCCAGAGUGCCCUUGGUCACAUCGGCAGUAAAAUUUCUCAUGACCUCCUUUCCAACUCCACCUGCUUCAAUCUCAAUGUUGAAAUCUUUCCACACCAAUUUCCCCUGAAAUAAUAUUUCAUCUAAUUCAAGUUGAGUGUCUCCACACUGAACAAGGUAAAAAUUUUAGUCUCCAUAAAAUGUACAAAUUGUGAGAAAAUCACGAUUUGCAAGUACAAGAUACUUGGAUAAACUUCCCAACCAUAACAUAUUGAACGCUUUAUGUGCUUUAUAUAUUAGAAUCAGCACUCCAUAAUGCUCCGAGUUUACCUGUAUAUAAAUAUUAAAAUCUCUCUUUCCAAGGCUUUGAUAACUUUUGUCGCCUGUGAACAUUAUCUCCGCAAAAUGAAGAAUUACAUUGUAGGGCCCAUCCAUCAGACAAAAACCGUAAUAAGUUAGAGAGAUAGCAGAACGUCGUGCUUUUUUGUAAAGUUGGGCAUCAUUCAUGGACAGUGUGGAUGUGUUUUUAACUACAUAGCUAAAUGCAGUGCUACAGUAAUCGGUGAAGUAACCAGUGCUACUGUAGGCCCAGUAAUCACUCCUGAAGAAACUUGAAGGUGUAGCCUCCUCUGAGUCAGCUUCGUAUGUGGUGCCCUUUACUUUUGCUUUGCUCCCACCGCAAUUUAUGAAGAGGUUAUACUGAGCUGGAUGGAGAAAAGAAGCAGCCACAGAGAAAAUUCAGUUUCUUCUAUUUGUUAAUAUGGAGUGGACUUUCCAGACACUAAAUAAGCUAGCAUUCACUCAUUGGAAAAUUACAUAGAAACUCCCAAGUUAUGAGCAACCCAUUAUUUCAUGCAGGUAGCUUUUGAAAUUAUUAGGGUAAUUAUGCAUCAGCCAUCAAAGAUCGACACAAUAGCCAAGAGGAGAGUUGACAAGGAGACAAAUUUGAUGAGAAAUUACACAGAGAGUAACAUGCAAUAUUAGAAUCUGAUGAUAAUGAUAGGAUAUGUCAGAAUAAUUUAAAUAUAAAAUCAUGUAGUCAUCUAACAGUUUAAGCUUUUAAAACAGUUGGCUGUUAUCUUAUAAAAUUUCAUAUGGUAUCAGAGAUGGAUUUCAUGAGUUCAAAUCUUUCGAAGCCUCGUUUGCCUCCCUAAUUAAAUAUGUCCACACUUCAUCUAAUAGUCUAAACAUUUAGAACAGUUAGCUGUGGUCCCACAAAAUUUCAUAAGAUAUAUAGCACGUCAAUUUACUUUUUAUACAACAAUGACUCUGCAGCAUAUUAACUUACUUUUUGCACAACGUUGACUCUGCAAACAUGAGACAAGUCCACUUGUGGCAGAACAUGAGGUUCUGAGCAAGUCAGCAAAGAUUUUACUGUUAUAAUCAUCAUCAUUCUUAAUGAAGUUCGAUGCUAAGCACAUAAACAAUAAAAAUGCGGGUCCUUGGAAAUCCAAGUCUCUCGUUGAAAAGUUAAUCGCAAACAUACGCAUUCUCAACCUCGGAGCUUGCGAACAAGUUGCUGUAGAGAAAAGACAAAAUCAACAUUCAGCAGAGAAAUGGAAAUAUUAUACACAAUCAGUAUAUAAGUUACACAAUAAGUGCACAUUUGGGGGGAGCCCUGGACUGACUGAAGGAAGUAGGACAUACACAUAUCCUUCUUGACAUUCUGAGCCUCGAGCAGUGAAGUUGUUGUAUGACAAAUCACUACACAGAGAAACAGUCAACCAUUUCCAAAAUCUCAUCAAUUUGAAGAAUACACUGAAAGUCAUUCCAUCAAAUGAUUUUUUUUUUUAAUAAUUCCAUUAAAUGAUUAGUAUGUACAUAAAUGCAGAUAAGUUGCAAAAUGUGUACAGGUAAGGCAAGAUAAAAGGCGAAAACAUCACAAGAUGAUGAAAUUGAUAUUUUAUUCCUACUGAAAAUAUUUUAUCUUAGAAUAUGAAAAGGAGAAAGACUAAGUGAAGUAAACGGAGACUUUAAAACUAUUUAUAGUGUAUAAAAACAUUUUUACUCAGUAACAGUACCACAGUCAUGAUGUCUAAGGCAAAGAGGCUUUAAUAGAACUGUGAUUCCACCUACUAGUACGUCGCAUCUUGUAAUAAGAAAUUAUCCAGACCACAUUUAUCUGUUUAAACUACCUCACAAGAGCUUCAGCCCAAGCAACUAAUCAUAUACUUCAGGUGAUACGUUAGACAAACUUUCAAAGAGGAUUAAUAGGAGGUAAAAAUUUUCUAAACAUAACUUUAAUCAUUCCAAUAAGUCUGAAAAUGAUCUACAGCUGGGAAUGGCUUUUUGUAUAAGUCUGAAAAUUCACUUUAUAUUCAUGCAUAUCAUACAGUUCAGCCUCUUUUGUUACAUACAUCCAUCCAAUUAACAGAUCCCAACGAGGAGAAAGGUACUUAUAAUGUUUCCAUUUAUCUCCAAAGGCUACUAACCAUAAACAUGCAAUAUGUGAAUGCAUAAUUGCUUGGUACAGAGCAAGAUUAGCCAGAUAAAGCUAGAAGCAAAUUCAUGAUUAAACAAGAUAUUUUCUUCAGGCAGUGAAGCUUACACAUUUUUUCCUUUCUCCAGGAUCCAAUCAGGGACUGCUCCAGUCAACUGGUUUCCAGUUAGAUACCUAAACAAGAUUAUUUGAAUGAGUCAGCUCCUCAUGUACUUUAUACACUCUAACUGAAAAUUAUUUAAGACUUAUACCUCAAAAACGCAUUAUUUAGCAGAUUAUUAGCAUUUGUUUAUUAGCAGUGUAGAAAAAAAUCAGUUUAAGUCAUGAUAACAAUAUAGAGCUUUCAGCUGGAGAUGAAAGAUUAAGGAAAUCAAUGACAGAGGAAAACCCUGAUCCCUGCGAAACUUGGAGCGCCUGGAGAAAGAUUACCAUAACAGUAGUUCACAAAGCUGGACUAGUGAAGGGUACCUCCAAAUUAGCUUAUCAACUAUUUCCUCGUGAUAAUGUUUUUGUCCUUCUAAGACAUAAAAUAAAUAAUUAAGGAAGAUGUGCCAUUGUCAAGCUUCAAUCGUUGGGCAGAAAGAUGAAAACCAAUGUUAAACAGUCCAAGAAGCUUAGGACUAUAGUUUCUAAUAAUUCUCAAAACUAGGGUUAAGAUACCAAGGUCCUCCACAGACCUUCCAAAUAGCACUUAAGAGCUGCACUCACCAAACUUCUAGAGCCAUUGUUGUGGAAAGAACCAAGUAGAGAGCCUAAGGACUUUUGCUAUAUUUAAUCUCCUAUACAUCAUAAAAUAGGCACACAAGAUGUGCAUUGAGUACAGAAACAUACAACUGUCAAAUGCUAAAGUACCACUGAUCCAUUUAACUCUUCCAGCGUAAACAAGUAACUUUUUGAAACUUGUGAAUCAGGCAAAGAAAUGAUCAAAAGGGCUGCUCCUUAAGCGACAGAAUAUCAACAAUCUACGCCUGCUCCAUGACUAAAGUCCCACCAAAAUAAUUACUUGACAAUAAUCAUAAAUUCUUAACUCAAUUCAUUACAAAAUUUGGAUGGUGAAGUAAUAAGCAUUCACGACCUGAGGACUUUGAGAGUUAAAAAAUGAAUAUGUUAUCAUGGUCUAAGUUCUAUUGAUAGCUCAACUACUUUAUGGUAAAAGUUGCCUGUAGCUUGACCACUAGAAAACUUGAGACUUUAGAUUCUUCUACAAAAUACGAAAAGAAGCCUAAGUUCAGCAUCGAAGUACUUACAUAUAUUCUACGUUUUCCAGGCUGCUGUAGGAUAUAGGGAUUUUGCCACUCAGUUUGUUGAAGCUGAGGUCUCUGCAAAGCAAGUUUAUGUGAAUAUAUAUUGAGAAGGUACUUUUAACUGACCCCCUCAGGACACUCUUUGAGCAUACUUCAGACGAUUGUACAAACACAGACUACAUCAAUGAACAUACAAAGUCCAGUUCAGAUUUUUAGACAUACAGGUCAACUGUCUAGUGCCUAAGCUUUCUACUAGACAUUCAUCUCCAGAGGCAUUCAUUGCCUAAAUCCAAGUUUCAAGUUGGUCACGUGCUAUAAGUAUACAAAACUGCUGUAAAUCAAAUUUACAAAAUGGAAAUUUCAAUUUAUAUAACUAGAAAAGCUAUUUGGGCACUAAAUUGAGUGCAUCCCAAGGAAUGCACCAUAUUAUAGUUCAGAUUGGGAGAUUUCACUCAUCUAAUAGGACCGAAACUAAAGCUAAUCAUAAUUUGUUGAAAACAUCUCCUUCACAAUAUAUUAUUUAUGAAUAAUGGGAUGCCGACUCAAUACUAGGGUGCUUAGAAAAGGAAAUAUCAGCUUCAGUGAAUAAAAAAAUAAAGAACAAAAUGAGGAUUUCAAAAAAUAGGUUAGGGAAUAGAGUAUGCGAUAAGCUGCAGCAGAACCACAGAAAUUUGGUCAUUCAAGAAUGUCAGAAAAACAAAAAAUUAAAGCUCCAUAUGUUUCGUGAAAAAUGUAACGUUUUUAGAAAAAGAAUUCCAUGAAGUUAUUUUUUUAGGAAAAUGAAAAUAUUCCAGUGCUUGACUGAAAUCCUGAAAAUACCCGGAAAAUAUUUUCCAUUGUUUAGUAUGGAAAAUUUAAUUUGAUUUUCUAGGAAAAAAUUGCCAAAAAAUUCGAAUUUUUUAAGUUAGUUUUUUAAUCCUUUUCUUUUAACUUCUUCCUCGGCUGGUUGUCAGCUAUGGCGACCGGCCAUGGGAUAAAAAAAUAUUUUUAUAAGAACAAACAUUUCAUUAACUAAGGAUCCGAACUUGAGCACCAAGGACCUGCACACGGCCUUCGCGGACUCAACCUAACUGCUGGGGACUAGAGCUUGAGUGUCAAGGACCCAAGCACCGCUUUUAUGUACUCGGGGUCACGUAUUAGGGCAUUGGGCCUGAGCACCAGGGCUUCGGGCCCAACCUCGAUGGACUAGGCCCGGGCACUAAAGACCUAGUCCUGAACACUGAGGACCAAGAACCAGGUGUUGGGGUUCCCGUGUCCAAGCAAAGAGUUGCGGGUCCAACCACCGAUACCAACUCAUAGUUUGGAAAAUGUUUUCUGACUUUUCAAAAGAGGAAAUCAUUUCCUAAAUUUAAACAUAGAUCUUUCAUUGACUCAGAAAAUAUUUUCUAUUAACUCAUUUUCCUAAACAAACCAAGCGCUAGAAAAUCAGGAAAAUGUUUUUCGCAAAACAAACAAAGCCAUGAUAGAAUGGCUAAAUGUUGCUGUUAAAAGUAGCGUUUAUUAAAUCUUACAGAGAUGACCACAUGAACAAGAAGAAUUGACUUGUAUAAAGAUGAAUUUGAAGCCAUGCUCUCGUUUGAACUAUGAAUGUUAUGUCUGACAAGUGUACAACAGUCAAGCAAAAAACUCCAGCUAGAUAUUGUAGGGCUGAGAUUCGAGAAUGUAAACCACCGGAAGGAAAGUUUCUAGACAAUCAACCACUAGAAGCCUCCAUUUUGCAUUAAUGCUCUUAAGAAGUUAAGAUAACAUAUCAAAGCAAAAGUAAAUUAGACGAAAUGGGAAACCACAACCAAGGUAAGAAUUCUUGCUGGAAAAGUGAAAACAAGCAGAGUGUUAGAAUAUUUAAAUAACAAACCACGCUUUCAUCUAAUAGCUUGAGUUUUUAGAACAGUUGACAAUAGUUUCACAAAUUCUCACAGAGAGAAAAAGUCCAUAUACUUUUGUGCGAAACUGUAUAUUCUACAGCAGAGACCACAAUCACCAAGAUUUUAAAUGCCACAUCAUUCACAAUUCAGCAUUAUCAAUAGAAAAUAUCAAAACACCAUUGAAGUCAGUAAGGGACCUUCAAGCCAUCUUAAAUGGGUUCUUUAACUGCAACCAAUAGUCAACCAAAAACUAGUAGAAAUUUCACUCCUUAAGGGUAAAAUUAUUUAUUCUGCUUGGAAUAGCCAAAGGGAAAAGGCGCUUUCUACUCACAAUAUUUUUAGAUUUGUCAUAUUUGCUAGAUAACCAGGUAGCUCUCCCAUGAGAUUGCAGCUCCUCAGAAUCCUAUAUGAAAAUAACACCGAUAUUGUCAAAUUGCUAAGACGAUUUGGCUCUUUUGCAUAAAGUAAACUAUCUGUGAAGGAGCAUCGAUCUCACAGUGUUUCAAUUUUUUUACUGUUGAGUUGUGGAACACGAGACUCGGGUCCAUCGAGGUCACUUAUUCUCCUGCAUAUCAAAAUCAAAUAGGAGCUUUAUUUGAUUGAUAACAUCUUAAAGAAAGAGAGAUCAGAUCGAAAUGCCAAAAUUCCAUACUGACAAGUCAUUCAAUCGCUCCAAACGUGCGAUCCCAGAGGGAAUCGGCCCUUGCAAUCCACUUCCUUGAAUAGACCUGAUGAUACGAUUCAUAGAUGGAAUUGUCUUGGGGGUAUAUCUAUAGAGACCGACUUAAAAGGGGAAGAAGCAUCAAGCCUUACAGUUUUUGGAGAUUUGUCAAGUUCUGAAUAAAAUCGGGUAUCUUUCCCAUGAACUGAUUAUCACCAAGUUGCCUACAGUCCAUUAAACAACAUGAUUCAUAUGAAGGAGAAAGAAUAGAAUGGCUAAAUAUUAGCUGAGUUUGUGGAUACUGGAAACUAACAGGUAACGCAAUUCCCUUAAGUUAACAAAUGUUUGAGGCAGCUCCCCCGUGAAAUUAUUUGACGUAAGCCACCUGAAACAAGAAAAACCCAUGACAACACAUUGGUUAAUAGAACCUGAAUGCUGUAUCUCUCAACCCAUGAAAAAUUAUGGAUUAAUUUUUAGCCUUUAAAUUAAAAAGAAAAAAAUUCCAUUAAAUUACACAAUAGAGCACAAGUCAACGCCAGAGCAUGGAGGAGGAGAAGGGACCACUAGGGUAGCCUAAGGACUCGCCAGUGUGCGAGAGACUAGAGGGUGAAGGGUCUCCCCUGAUUGUAGGGGUGUCAAGAACCGAACCGAACCGAAAACCGAACUAAACCGAACCGAAAAAAUCGGUUUUUUCGGUUCAGUUCGGUUUUCAGUUCGGUUCCCGUUAAAAACCGAAAUAUCUUUUAUCGGUUCAGUUUUUAUCGGUUAACCGAACCGAACCGAACCGAAAACCGAACUAAACCGAACCGAAAAAAUCGGUUUUUUCGGUUCGGUUCGGUUUUCAUUCGGUUCCCGUUAAAAACCGAAAUAUCUUUUAUCGGUUCGGUUUUUAUCGGUUAACCGAACCAAACCGAACCAUAAACCGAUAAAAUCUCUUUUAUCGGUUCGGUUUAUUCUCUCCCGUCCCGUCGGUCCCGACUCUAGGUUUUAUUCUGUCUCAACUUUGGCCCUCUCCUCUCGUCUCGUGUCUCCUCUUGGUCGGCUUGGAGGUGCAACGGCGAUGGCGGCAGGGACGACGACUGCAACGGCGACGGCGGUAGGGACGGCGAUAGCCAUAUAAAAGCCCCUCGCCACCUCCCUGUCCGAGUCGUCCACCUCCAAUUCCUACUCCAGUCGCCGCCGCUUCCUCGCCCUCUUCCUCUCCUUCUCUCUCUCGAGCCAUCGAAGGUACCUCCUCUCUUUUGAGUUCACCUCUUCUCAUCCAUCGCUUCCUGCGAUCGUGGGUCGUCGUCCUCGAGGUUCCAGUUUUUGCUCUCGCAUCUCUAGCUCGAUGUGCCCGGCUUUGUUUGGUAGUUUUCGGUUUGCCUGUUUCGGUUUUGCUGAUGCUUGGACUUCGAAAGAUGUGAUUUUUUUUUUUUUGUGCGGAUUGACGUCCUUGUGGUUUGCAAAUGGUGUCGGAUCUCCGGUCAGUGGUGUUGGUGUCUCUGAUCUUGUAGUUGAAGGGACAAAAUUACACCGGGUCGGAUCUUAUUUUCGUAGGGAAGCAUGGCGUUGGCUGGAAUUGAGCUUGUUGAUGGACUAAAGGGUCCUUUCUUUUUCACGCUUUGAAGGAGAUCAGAUGGUCGGAGAGGAAAGAUGUGAAGUGUCUGCCCGUUUGUCUCCGAAGUUGGGAGGAAGCGAUUUGUGGGCUCAGGGGAAUUAUUUAGUUGUUUUGUAGUAGCAUCAGUUUGCUUCCUCUUUUUUGCCCAAAUGGAAGGAAGUAUUUCUCAUAGAUCAGUUCUGUUCACUUUAAUCCAAGUCUUUCGAAGCGAUGAUUGGUUGGGUGGAGUCUGGCGAACGGAAGGUAAGCCGUCCCGAAAAAAAUAAAAUAAUAAAUAAAUAAAUAAAAAUAAAAAAUCGAAAAAAAUCAAAAACCGAAACCCAAAAUUUGAAAACCGAAAAACCGAACCGAACCGAAUAGUUCGGUUCGGUUCGGUUCGGUUCGGUUCAGAAAUUUUCUCUAACGGUUCUGUUCGGUUCGGUUGUGCAUUUUUUAUAAUCUAUUUCCUUAGCUAGUUAAGAAUACAUUUCUUGGACUCAUGAAUGCUGCAUGAAUACUUUAUUUGGUGAUUGAACAAGAAAAAGUAUCGAAAAUGCAUUAGUUGGUUAAUUAGUGUAAUUAAGUUUUCAACUUUAGAUUAUCUGGUUCAAAGUAAGUAAUCCUCCCAGUACUUUACUUAGGAUCUAAUUGAUCCACCUUAAAUUGAUUAAUGUCGUAAUUUGCAUGUUAAAAACUCAAAAUAUAAAUUGCGAAUUAGUAUGAGCUUGAGAGAGUUUGAACUAGAUUUGAACUUAACAAUCCAUUAGCCAAAUUUUUAGUGGUCCACCUGAGGAUAGGUCGCAACAAUUUUGCUAUGACGAUAUCUCAGAUUUAGGUUAUUAUACAAUUUAUCGAUGGUGGAGUCCAAAUUCCAUUAUUCUUAGAAACUUCAUUAGCUCAUUCAGGGUUAUGGCUGUGGAGACCCAAUAAUGUGGAGGCCGAUGAAAUACCCUUCAAGCCUUACAAAUCGGUUAAGUUCAAAUCUUUGGACCUAGACCCAAUAUUAUUUGCACGCUGUUGGUGGUAUCAUAUAUGUUAAAUAUAAAUAAUGGAAAAAAAUUGUCCUAUUAAAGUGGUUACAAAACAAAAAUAUCAUAUACGUCGAGUUGGAAUUCUAAUUUAGAUAACCGGAAUAAUAAUAUCUUAGGAUUUUUUAGGACAAUAAUUGAAUUGUACGAUCGUGAAAAAUAAAAUAUUUGGCAGCAUAGUCUAUCCCAUUCAUUAAUAGGUGCUUGUAAAUUAGCAUAUCUAAGUCUCUAUUGAUGUUGACAAGUGUUUUACCCAUUUAACAUGGAAUUAUUCGAAAUAGAUUUGAUCGAAUUUGGAUUCGGAGCGUGAGGAUUUUGUACUUUGACUUGCUUUGGCCUAACAUGGCCUCUUUUUAUCUCUGUUCCAUGUUAUAAAUCUAGACACCAAUUGCAGAAAAAUCGCGGCACAUAAAACAAAAGUUUAGACUCAAACCAAAUACUAAUGGUUCCAUGGGUGAGGUCGUGCACGAGACUUAGGCAAAACGUCAUCUUCUAUGUAUGUUUAAUCAGGUUAAUGUCGAGUCAUGGAGGGUUAUUUUAAUAUUGUCAACCAAUGCAAUAAUAUUGGACCCGUGAGUUUAUGAGAGCUUUGAAAAUUCCAAGUUAACUUUAAAUGAUGAAUUCUAAGCAUGUAGUGUCGUCAUUUAGUGUCAACCCCUAAACUUCGAGCGUGCGAACAUCCCACAAUGGUCAAUUAAAAUGCAACUUCUCAAGACGUGUCGCCGACUUGCCCAUUCGGCAACAGCCUUAGGCUGAAGUUUGAGAGCUGUGCUGGGAUAUACAGAGGAAGAAAACCCUUCCAUUACUCUUCAGCUCAUACACCCAAUCACACUGACCAUCACCACCGUGCCAUCACCAAUCGCCCCUUUGCCACCACCCACGAAGACUCAUAUGAGUGAAUAGUCGAGAUUCCUUUUGUUCAAUAUGGAACUUUCAGAAGUUUGUUUAAUGAAACUUGACUGUCCCUUUGAAAUUAGUUGGUGAGAUUGAAUACACGAGAAUUCGCUGGUUGGGUUUUGUGAUGAUGAUUGCUGCUCUUCUAGUCCAAUCAUAGCCCGCACGUGUUAAGAGUAAUAAAUUACACCUUUAACAGUUUAAGCUUUUAAAACAGUUGAUAGUGGUUUUACAAAUUUUCUCGUUGUAUUAGAGCUAGAGGUCCUUCGUUCAAAUUUUCUAGGCCUUGUUUGCUUACCUAUUUAAAUUUCCAUGCUUAGAUAUUACGCAAAAAGAUCAGACUAAGACUAAGUGUCACCUCAAGACCUUUAGGAAGAUGUACAAGAGGAGUUGCGGAACAAAUAACUUCAUGGUCUAAUAUGCGGUUAUAAGAAAUGUCAUAUUGUCUAAUAGGACUAUGAUUAGAGGAUGGUACCAUCACUUUCCAUGAAGUGACGGAGCCCUCCUCACCACACAUCCUAAUGUGUAACAUUUUGGGGAUCAGAAUAUCAAAUUGACAAAUAUGUUGUCAAAAAUGUCAUUGCUGUAGAAUUGCCCUACUGUAAAAUUGACCAUACAAAUUUUGAGCUUGUAUGAUGUCAACUAAUAUUUUGUGAAAUUUUCAAUUCAUCGAAUUGAUGUAAUCCCCUUUGAUCACUCAAUUCCAAACUGAGUAUUAAAUGAUAACAAAUUAAAGACAAAUGAAAAACAGAGGCAAAGCAGAAGAUAGGAACUGGACAUAGAUAAAUAGUGGUGCUGGCAAUGGCAGCUGUAGGCGCCGUGCAUAUGGAGGACAACGAAAUGGUGGUGGGGCUGGGUUUAAAUGGAGGGAGGGCGAGGCUGUUGGGUGGCGAUGGAUGUUGCGAUGAGGAAGGAGAGGUGGUGACAACGGAGACGAUCCUACAACCGACUCUCGCCGAAGCCAACGCCUUUGUGUCUAAGUUAUCCUUCACCCUUGCUAUCGAAGCUUGCGGUCGCUCCCUAUCCAUCGUCCAAUCUCCUUCUUUGGUACAGACUUCAUUCUGGAAAUUCAUUAAGUGCCUUCAUUCUCGCUAGGGUUCAGUGGAAGAGAAACUUUUCUUUGAUCGGAGCAAUAACUUGAGAAAAUGUAUGGAGGAAUACAUAGCAUGGAGGAGACAAUAGCAUGUGGGAUAUAUGUGGCUUUACAACAAGGCCAUUUUUGGCAAUUGAUUUUGUCAAUUUGAUAUUCCUAUUCCCAAAAUCUCACACUUGAAAUGUAUGGUUGGGAGAGUUCCCUUACUUUGUAGGAAUUGACAAUACAAUUCUCUAAGCAUUUCUUUGUCUAAAAAUACCUAAGUAGAUACGUUUUAGUGUUGAUCGGUUCUUGUUGAUAAUUUUGUCGAUCAACUUCUCAAAUCUUUUUUUGCUAAUAAUUUUCAAGUUGUGUUGUCAAUGACUUUAUUGGCAAUUUAUCGAUCCCUUCAAAUCAUGGACUGUUUUGUUUUAUCAGUGAUUUCUAUUUUCAACAAACCCCACUCUUAUCUAUUAGAAUAAUAUAAAAAUGAUUGUUGAAGAUUUGAGUAAGUUGGUUAUUGACUCUAGAUUUGGUGUGAAGAGGAGAAGAAGAAGAUUGCGCACGGCUUCCAUGUAAGAUUGUCAGCCGAAUAAGAAAGUGAAAAGAAAAGGGACAACAUAAAUGAAGAGAGGGAGGAGUCGAAAGAAAAAUUGGCCAGUAAAAAUUGUGGGCUUCGUUUGUCCUCUUUCAUUCAUUGCAUGGAUCAAAUAAAGAGGAAAGAAGGGUCCAUGAAGGCCCAUUAAUGCAUGCGCAUGUAUGCAUGUCAUGAAAAAUGGAGGGGGCCGUUGCUAUUGCAGAGAUUUGUCUUGCAGGCACCGUUGCUAUUAUUUAAUGUCUGUGUGUUUUCCUUUUAGCUUUGUUGACUUUUGUAGUUUCACUUUAAUGUUAACAGAAGGAGUGUUGAAGAUUUCGUGUGCUAUGUUUAUCUCCAUCUCUAUUGUAAUUUAGUGUUAUGCUAUUAUGUAAGAUGUGUAAGGGGGUGUUGUAAAAGAGUAGCCACCACAAAGCAUUCUAAGAACAACUUCUCCCUUUGGUCUUCACUUGUGCCUUGCUCCGAAAUUUUCAAAGUUGCCAUUAAUUUUUUCUUUUUGGCUCCAACAUCAUUGACUAGUCUUGGUCAUCUUUUGGUGUCAACAAUAAUGAAAAUGUGUCAAUACAUCUUAACGGGAACUAAAUUAGUAAAACACAGAAAUUAUAUUAUGUUAGUUUGAUUUAUGUCAAUGUCAGUAGGGUAAGUAAUCUUUUGCUCUGUUGUGAUUAAUGAAGAAUGGUGACGGAAUUUUGUGAUCAAAUGCAUCGCUAUCUGCUCCCACCUCCCCAUUUAUUAUUAGAUUAGAUAAACACAUUUUACUCAACUUUCUUGAGGCGAAAGUGACUGAUGCUAAAACAUCACGUGGAGAGAGAGAGAGAGAGAGAGAUCCAAGACUAAAAGUCAGCUGCUACAGUGCUCGUAAAUAAACAUGCAGGGGUUACGAGCAAUCGCCAUACCCAUGUAGGAGACUGCAGAAAACGAAGCCAAGCUGACACAAACUGCUUUCUUUGUUCUUUCUCAUUGUAAAGCCACCAGUGUAUGUGUUUGCGUGAUCGAGUACCGAGUGUGUGCAGGCAAAUGUUCAUCAAACCAGCGAUAUAAAAUAAAAUGAUCAACAAAUCAAUCAUAAUAAAGUAAAUAUGUGAAAAUAUGUCUUCUUCUUCUUCUCCUCCUCUUUCUGAAGUAUGGCGCCUCAGAUGGAUUAGGUCUAUCCAGGCAUGUGCAGUUGAAUUGAUCAUGUUGGACGAGUCUAAGGAGUAAGUUCUUGCAGCCUCUUGAUCGCGCUUGGGUCACUCUGUGGGCUGAAGGUUAAAAAUAGCUAGGUUAUCGAUGCUUCUUUUACUUUUCCUAUCAUUACAUCUUCAAAUGGAAAUCAAACUUGGUAUACGCAAACAACCCAGUCAAGAUCCAAGAGAUUCAAAUGUACUUAUGAAGCCCUGCAUCAAAAUGACAAAAACCCUUGAAAAGGAAAGGCCAUGGAGUGGGAGAGAGGGAUCAAACCAGCGUUCAAUUGAAACACCCCACGGCCAACUCAUCUCAAUCUGUCACCAUCCGGGACCACAUAAGCAUGUCAUACCUCAGGCCCCCUCCCAUUCCUAUAUAAUUGGUAUCCAUCCUCAUAGGCCUUUCCCACUUGCACUACAUAUCCAUUAUAAUCCACACUGACCAGCACUCGCAGCUGUACUUGGCUGGGAGCUAGAAAACGAGACCACCGAGACAGAGAGAGAGAGAGAGAGACAUGAAAAUGAUGGAGGCGAGGAAGAAUGUGAUAAACAAUGACUUUGCAGAGAAAGAGAGCAACUGCAUCAACGGGCAAUCGUCCGCGUCCUACCUGGUGUGGGACGACUUGACGGUGUCGGUGCCCGCUGGUUCCAAGAGGAAACUGCUAAACCAGCUCAGCGGGUACGCUCAGAUGGGUCGGAUCUUGGCCGUCAUGGGUCCUUCCGGCUCCGGAAAAUCCACUUUCCUCGACUCAUUGGCAGGUUUCUCCGCUUCUCUCUGCCAACCUCCUCAUUUCGGAACAUUUUCUGGAAAUAAUAUAUCCAUUUACUUGGCCUUGUUGUAUUGCAUUUUUAUUUGAGUUAUUAAAAAGUCCACCGCCGGUGAAAUCCGAAUUCCACCUUCGAAGCUCUACGUACGAAACUCCUAGUGAUACCGAUACGGUUACCGAAAGAUCGAGACAACAAGCAUUGCCCAUAUAUGGAAAAUAUAGCAACUUAAUAUAGUCACCAAAAUCAUUAAAAGCAUCGAAAAAAUUGCAAGAGGCUACGAUGAUUACCCCUUUCCAUAGCCAGAUCUAGUAGUGUAGAAACGAAAGUGCAGCAAACUGUUUAUUCUCAUAUGAAUUGGGUCUCCCAUGUAUAUUGAUGCUAUUCUCUUUCGAUAUCUAUUAUGUAUAGUUAAACUCACUUUAUUUAAAGAUUAGAAAUAGAAUUACAUAAAAAAAAUAAAAAAAGAUACGGCUUAUAGAAGUAAAAUAGUGAUGAUAUAAUUAUUUUUGUAACUAAUAAAUUCACUUGAUAAAAAUUCUAAUGGCAUAAUCAAAUUCUUACAAAAAAAAGCUGAAUAGUAUUUAAGUGUAACUCUUCAUAGUUAUAUCAUUUCAUUUGGCUUGAUAUCAAAAUCCUUUGAGGCACAAACAUGCUCUACAACGAUUUUGUCUCUCAUUUAUAUUGAUGUUAUUUUUUUUUCUUUCUUGAAUUAUAAUAUGUAGUUGAAAUCAUGUCAUUAGAAGAAGAGAAUAAAAUUAGCUAACGAAAAAAAUUAAGAAGAUACAACUCUUAAAUUUCCAGUAACUAUAUCAAUAUCACUUGGGAGUUUCCAUAUAUGGUGCACUGAAAGUGGGAUUCGGAUUCCACUAGCGGAGGACCAUAGAAUAACUCUAUCUUGUUCACCAUGGUUUUAAAAGAAAAAGGAAACUCUUGAUUUGAUCAAUAAAACCGCAUUAAUUAUAUCAUGUGAUGAUAACAUAGCGUAUUUUUGUUACACCCAUGCAAGCUUGAGGGUUUUGGUGACAAAAAAGGGUUUUUGAGUAUUGAUAUAAAUUAGGGAUGAGCGGUUCCAGAUUUCUUACAAGUUUCACUUGGAACCUGGAACCUACCCUCGAGUACAAGUUCCUCAUUUUUUGGAAUCUAGAACCUACCUGUUACAACCUACCUGUUACAGGUUCGGGUCGGUUCCAAGGUCCAACAAGUUCUUUUAUUCUUUUCUAUUUAAUUUUUAGUUUUAAAAAAACGAAAAUGAAUGCAAUAAUAAUAAACAAGCUUGUCUUUCAUCAAAGAGAAUACAAAACGAACAAAACUAUCAACAGAGGAAAGGAAUUCUUGGCAAGGAAUUCGACUAAAUAAAAUAGAGGAAAUUAGUUCACGGAACAUCCUAAAUAAUAAAGCUGUCAGUCAAUAACCGACACAAAAUAGAUGAAGAAAUACACUUUCAGAUACACAUUCAGCAUUGCAGAAUGAGUCAAGGGGUAUGGUUACUUCACACUAGAGUGUCACUAACAAUGUAAACAAAUGCCAAACAGAGAGAUAAAGUAAUUCCAAUUCCAACGGAGUUCUUACAUGAUGAAUGUUGAUAGCAUUCAAGAACUUUUCAAAUGCCUAAAUCCAUUCAUGAUGGUUCCAAACAAGUGGAAUAUCAACAAAAAUCACCCAAUAACCCCGAAAGUUUUUAAAAUAGGCCAAUUAUGGAAAACCCAUGCUCUAUAUCCUUGGAACAACAUUAACAACACCAAAGAAGUUUGUUGUGCAGUGACCAGUAAGUGGUCAAAGUGUAAGAUGAUAAAAUUGGAUAGCAAAUAACUAGAAAUUCCUAAUCAUUACUCAUAUUGCUGUUGCUGAAAAAUCUUUAUGAUACUGAAUUAACUACCUUCAUCACCAAACACAUGACCUACUUGUAAUAGACAUCAACCAUUCCUGCUGUGCCAGGAAGACAAACAAGCAGUGGCACCACUUUUUGACCAAAAUCGUAAUAUCUCCAUUGCUUUAUGCUAAUCUGGCAAAAAGAAAAAGACGUCAGUUCGGUAGCUAUGAAACAACGUAAUGCAUGGAAUUUUGCUAGAGCAAGCUGAGAAGUUGGGGCUCAAGGGUGGUCUAAGCAUGGGAACUUUAGCUUAGAGUACGAGGACAGCUAAGGUUCUUAUGAGGACUACAAUAGACAACAGAUAAGCUACAUGAAAAUUGACCAAAAGAGCAAAGUAGUACUCUUGACGAUUUGAAUUCGUGAAUGUCACAUGAAGCUACUUGAAGCAUCAAGUUUCAACAAACUGUCAAAACAAAAAGUUGUCAAACUAUCGAAUGUCCAUUAAUUUGUAAAAUUGGAAAUGUGUAAGAUGUCAAAUACUCUAUGGAACUUUAGGAAGGACAUGACAUGCUAUUGCAUAUCAUGGAAGCAAGCAUAUGUCGAAACCAUUGUAAGCUAUCGAACAUCCAGCAUUAGUCACUUGAUAUCUUUGCUGAACUUGAACCCAGAUAUGAUGUUAUAUGGUAUGUAUAUCAUUACCCUCAUUUUUCCAUUUGACAACUAUGAUUUAGUACAAAGUCACAUGGUAAGAAUAACUAAACUCUACAUCAUAUCAUUAUUGCAGAGAGGUCACUGCCAACACAAGAACGAUUCACAACCAGAGCUUUAUAGUCCAGUUGCAACAGCAUUAGAUCAGAACCUGACAUAAUCAAACAGAACACAAAAAAGGGGUUGAUUUGAGCAACCAAGUGGUCAGCAUCAAAUGGUUGAUUUGUGAACUUUCGAGAACAAAAAGAACAUAAUGUAGAGACAGAACAAUUCUUGCCAGAUUUAACCAUCUCACUGAAUUCAUUACUAUGUGAACACGCUCGGUUCUUGGGCGUAAUUUUUACUGCAAAGAAGAAACUUUGGAACUCAACCAGACUGAUCGAGCAAGAAGCAAAAAUGAACAGAAGAAUUUCCAUGUCACAAUUAGUAAACUAAACACAGCAAAACAAGAAUUGACCAAACUGAAAGGAAAAAAUGGAACCCAAAUGCCAACAUCCAGGCGCACGCACAAACAACACGAAACUAAUCCCACAAACAAACGCAGCAAUUCCAAGCUCAUGGGUUCACGGAACAUCCUAAACAUGACAUUGUCCUGUUUUAUAAUCAAGAGAUUGCCAAUCCUUUUGGCUAAGUGUAAAUGAAAAAAUGGCUAGCUUGUACACUCACAUAUAAAGAAAAUCAAGGAAUCUUGAAGUGGCAACCCAAGACAGUCCACAGAAACAAGAUAUGACCUACCAAAUCGAUGCUCAGAGAACGGAAACAACAUUCCAGAAAGCACACGCAUAAAAAAUGUUUAGGCUAGAGGAUCUACCCAAUAUUUUCGAUCCUUCCAACUAAAGAGCUACUCAACGGCAACUGAAGCGCCUCCUUCACGCCAUACUUCCUUUUAGCUUCCGUCUGUCGUCGAUGGUAAACAUUACAAGGCUCGCCUACCACUCUAUCACCAUAUCCUAGUAAAAUAACAAAAAGGUCGUCGAAGAACUAGCAAUUACAAGAAGUAAUGUUCAUUAAGGCAGGAAUUUGGAAUCUACUCACAUUCGGCUAGCAAUAAAUUGGACUAGAUCUCGCAGCUGAGCUGAGUCGCAACCACUUGCGGUGAGUCGGUGACAGCAAACAGAACCGACGUUCGGUGAGCUUGGGGUUUAGUUCUGGGUUGAAGCAACGUUCGGCGACCUCAAGCAACGUUGGGCACGACGCGGGCAAUGCUGGAUUCGGCAAGGAUCGGCAACAAGGACGUCGAGGCGGUAGUUGCUUCUGUCCUAGUUGCGGCGCGAAUAGCAGCAACUCGUCAUCGGGAGGCCGAGAUGCGGCGGCUCAUCGUUGAAGUCUGAACAGACGUGGCGUCGUCGAUGGCCAAACAGCGACGGUGGAGCAACAGCAGCGUCGGGUGGCGGCCCGGCAACAGCUUGUCGUUGGGAAGCCGGCAGCGCAACGGCGAGAGCCGGCGGCGUCGUCAAACGGAGCAGCAAUGGUGUCGACGGCAACAUCGUGGAUCAUGAUGGCGGCAUCGAGGGCGGCGAGCAGCGUCGGAUCAUCGUCGGGAACGUGGAGUGUUGCAAAGAGGAAAUGGAAAGAAAUGGAAAAGUGAAGAAUGAACAUUGAAGAAAAGGUUAGGGUUUUGGAGAGGGGGAAUCUCGGUUCCGGUUCCAACUCGACUGAGAACUGGAACCUAUUUCCUCAUGACCUCGGGUUCGGUUCCCCGGUUUCCGGUUCUACGCGGGAACCGUGCUCACCCUAGAUAUAAUAGUGGUCAUAAUUUAGGAUUUUAAGGUUGGAUUUUUUUUUUUUUUUCAUGAUCUAAUCCUCUUAAAAAUCACAGCUCCCCUAAAAAAAUCUUCUCUCCUAAAAAAAUCUUCAACUUUAGAUUUACAUCCUAAUUUUUCUUCGAACUUAAAAAAUUUCUAACUUUCACUUUAGCCUCAAAUCAGUUUCACAUCCCAAAAUCGCCACUAAUUUUUUCUUUAUGUCAUCAGUAUUGGGAGGUUCUUGUCAUUCCAUAUGAAGGUGAGGGUGUUUAAGAAGAUGUGAGUUUUGAUUGUAAACCUCUAACUAGCUCUGGUAUUGAAAAUUUCAAAGAAAAUAAUUACUUUUUUUGAACGCAGGGGCAAAUUUGGAACUAUAGUGAAAUUUUGUGAUUUUUUUUCAUAUAAAAGAAGUUUGGGCCAUAAUAAUUCAGGUUUUUCUAGAGAACUAACCUCGAAGUUUUGUCAUGUUCUUAUUAUGGCCCAAUUUUUUUUUUUUUUAUUUCAUAAGAAAACCACAUAUCAAUGUUACACAAAUCCAGUAGUUUUCAUCCAAUGAUGUUGUCCAAGAUUCGACCUGCCAAUUCAUGUGUACUUGGCAAAAUCUUAAUGAGGGUCAGAUGUGGGUGCCAAAUGAAAUUGGUAUUUUAUUAUGGGAUGGAAAAAAUUUGGACUAAAAUUAGGCCACAAUUUGAAGUUAAUGUCUUUUUAUGAGACAAAAUUUAUGGAUCAGGGCUUUAAUCCAAAGCCAACAUUUUUCUAUGAGAGAAAUAAUUGAGUCAACAUUGAGAUUCAAGGUAAAGUUGAUGCAUCUUGAAAUGAAUCACGCUUUAUGAAAGAACCUUUACGGAUUAUGGCCCAGAGACUUUCCCGAAUUCGGGGUCGACCCGUCCACUUCGUCCCGAGGCUUGACAAGACAACUUCAAUUUAAAGGGAUUAUUUGGUUGCUUCUAGUUGAUAUGGGACAAGAAUAGUGUAGGUAGAGAGAGUUAAUUAUGACUUAUGCAUUCCAUAUUUUAGGUGCAUAAUUACAUUUACUACAUAAGUACGUAUACACCAAGAAAUACAUGUUUAAACCACUUAGGAGCCACUUUAGUUGACUACUUACUAUGUUUUGCUUUUCAGCAGGUCGGAUUUCUUCUGACGUCAGCAAAGAGGGAAAUAUUUCCCUAAGCGGGAGGAAGAAGGGGUUCCUAAACCACAAUGAUCUGAUAAGUAUAUCAAGUCCUUAGGCAUAAAGUUAUCUUUUGCUGUAAAUUAUUUGUUGGGGGCAGAUUUAAUAUGACAAAGUAAAAUAGAUUAUGAGACGAGUAUCUUGACUCUUGCAGAAGAUAACUCUCUUUAUUUUCAAGAUUACUAUCAUUAAAAAUUUCGAAGUGGCAUUUCAUGACAUAUCUAUCCCAAAAGAGUUUUUGUUUCCCACAAAAUCUCAACUAUUCAUUCGAUUAACUAAAAGAAAACUUUAGUCUAGUAAUUCUUAGAUCAUCAUUGGAAAAACAAGAUUGCUUCCAUCAGCUCAAUCCUGGCAAUAGUUUCGGUUUAGCAUACUAAUACUGUGACCAGUGACCUCUAAAAUGGCGCAUCACUAGGCCACUCUUCUGUCAAUUUUGUUUCAUGAAGCAUUCUUUUAGCCUUCAAAAGAUUAAAUCAUAUUUUCAACUUCCUCUAAUUCAAUCCGGCGGUUUAUGUGUAUGACUAGACGAUAUUCUUAUAAUCAAAAUUUGGCCGAAAAAAAGAGAGAGUCACAAUUUGGCUGGUUUGGCCAUGUUUCUCCUUUCUGAAAUUUGAGCUUGUAACUGACAAAUAAAUUUCUAUCUAAUGAUUGAUGUUUCAACCGGGGUCCCAUGCUUGCAUUUAGAUGUGAGCAUAAUUUUAGGAUUGAGUUGGGAGUUAGAGAACUGGACCAAUCACCAAUUCAGUUCUAGGUUCCAAUGCGCCCUAGUCCGGUUCCAUUUUUUUAGGAACCGAUGGUUCUCGAGGGAACUGGGAACUGAGAAUCAAACCGAUAAUUGGGGAAUCGAGAAAAUCCUGAAGAGAGGCUUUUUACUUUUUCUAAUAAGAACUUAGAUGUGCUUAUAGAGGGGUUUAUACUAAUUUUAUUUGCAAUCAAUAACGAUCAAUGUGCGUGAGGUCGUUAGCAGUUGAAAUAAGGGUUACUCCUAGGAAGAGUUAUAAUUCUCUACUAAUAGUCACUUAUAAAGUUCUAAUAAAGGAAUUAGACCGAGACUUAACAUAAAAGGUUUUCAAAUAUUAGUAGCUAGAUAAAGCGGCAAUAAUGUCAAAUAUCGCACUAAUUUUUCAAGACCAUUAGAUCUAUUCUAGUUUCAUUUCCUGAAAACAGAAUAUAACAUUUGUGUCUUGUUGUAAUUCAUAUCAUUCUAUGUUGUUCAUAGACUGAAUAAAUUACCCUACGUAGCAUUAUCUAGUGGGAAUAUGCAAUGGCGAGUAUCAUACUAUCACAAAAUUUCACAUGGCAUUCAAUAUAUUCAAGGUACUUUUGUUGUACCCAUUAAAACAAAAUUGGAAUCCAUGGACCUUUUGCUCUAUAAGACCGUAAAUAUGGUGAUUAGUUUGGUCAUGAUCUUCAUUGGAUAUUGGCCAAAUCUUAUGUUAUCACAUGUUAACAUGUAUGUCGAUAAUCUAGAUUUUAAUUUCUUGAUUGGUUUAAUUAUAACACCUUCUACUUAUAUUCUAUUAUUGAUGUGUCUGUGCGAAAUUGACGUAUAUAGCAUGUCAAUGGAGGUGGAAGAAUGAGAGGCAAUGACUUUCAUUAUGUGUGAGGGAUGUCGAUGAUUGAUGACUAAAAUUCAAUAACUUAAGUUUCAUGUAAUGUGUUAUGAACUUUUUAUUAUUUAUUUUAUUUUAUACAUUCAUCUUUUAUAGAUUAUUUCUAUUGACAAAUGAAAAACUUUCAUUUUUGUUUUUGCAUUCACUAUCAUUUUGCUUCACUAAAACUGCCCAAAAAAAAAAAAAAAAAGAACAUGUUAGACCACAAAACCGACCUUAGAAUCUAUGACAAGAUAGGUAUAGGUUCCAGGGUAUACAGGAUAAGUUUUAUGUUUUAGAAAAUGGGGAACAUAUUUUAAUGGAUAGGUUCCAGAUUUAAAGUGGAAUCGGAACUGCUCAUCCCUACUUAAAUCUUCUCAUUUUGGGCAUUUUUUCAGUCCUAUGUGACCCAAGAAAAUCUUUUCUUGGGUACUCUCACUGUCAAAGAGACCAUAGCCUACACAGCUCAUCUGAGGCUUUCUUCUGAAAUGACGAAAGCCGAGAUCGACGAGGUGGUAGAAGCAAACAUAAAGGAGAUGGGACUUGGAGACUGCGCAGAGAACAAGAUUGGUAACUGGCACUUGAGGGGCAUAAGCAGUGGAGAAAAGAAAAGACUCAGCAUCAGUCUUGAAAUGGUGACAGACCCACUGAUCUUGCUCCUUGAUGAGCCUACCACAGGCUUAGACAGUGCCUCGGCUUUUUUCGUGGCAAGAGCUUUAAGAAAUAUUGCAGAUGAAGAAAGAAUAGUUAUUUGCUCAAUCCACCAGCCCAGCAGUGAAGUUUUCGAUCUUUUUUAUGAUUUACUCCUUCUGUCGAGUGGAGAAACUGUGUUUCUAGGAGAAGCCAAAAUGGCCAUUGAGGUAAUAAAGAGUCAACACUUCAUUCUUAUUCAGACAUUUAGGCUGUGCAGAAGCAAGAUAAUGUAAUUUUAAGUCCUGGUGCAGUUCUUUGCAGAUGCUGGAUUUGCUUGUCCGAGGAGUAGAAAUCCCGCUAAUCACUUUCUGCGGUGCAUUAGCUUGGACUUCGAUUCUGUAACUGCUACUAUUGCUUUCUCGUAGAAACUAUGUUGAGUUUUAAAUCGAGCACUUCUAUACUCUGCAUCAGUUCUUGUGAUAUGUAAAGUGACUUCCGAAUAUAAUUAUCAGGGCUUGCUAUUUUAUCUUGCAGCAAACUCCAGCAUCAUCUGGUUUUUCAAUGAACAUGAAAACAGCAGAGAUUAAAGCCACACUCAUCCAAAGUUACAAAUCCUCAAAGUAUUCAUGCAAAGUUAGGAAAAAAAUGCAAGGAAUUUCAGCUACUGUAAGCACUCCAACUCAGAAGAAAUAAAAAUCAAGAUAAUGCUUAUGCAGUCAUUUUUCUUGUCUUUACCGCUUACCAUAGUUAAUGAACAAUGUCUCCAACUGUGAUUUUUGAAACUAAUGGAGUUAUAUCCAUAUUGAAGUAGCAUUUUCCAGGACUGAUGUUUUCAAAACUGAGUCUCUUCUGUUGAAUGCUGAAGGAUUAUCAGGUCUGCCGGUUGAAUAAGAAUACUAAUUCCAGCAAGUGGAAGCAGCUCAGCGUUUUGACUCGUCGGUCCUUCAUCAACAUGUAUAGGGACAUUGGAUACUCCUGGUUGAGGAUCAUGCUCUACAUUUUAUCAUCAAUAAGUGCUGGAUCUCUAUAUUUUGACAUCGGAUACGACAAUGGGGCAAUUAUCAACAGAGGAAAGUUUGUUUCAUUCCUCUUCGGCCUCAUGGUAUGUUUGUCUUGUGGUGGUGUCCCUUUCUUCAAUGAAGAACUGAAGGUAUAGCAAAGCGUCGAGGCUGAUCGAUUUUCAUCUAUUAUAUAUCAGCAGUAUCUUCAUACUUGAGGUGAUAUUAGAAUGAUUUGUCACUAGGACUAGAAUUAAGUUUCCUCUUCAGGACAGACAAGCUCCACCAUGAUAGGUGUGAAGUUACAAGUUGAAGCCUAAGACGCUGUAAAUAACACAAAUCUAACUAGAGGACUUUUAGUUGAUGGCCUACUCCGACUCAUAGUCACAGAGGAAUGUGAGUAUUGCACAAUCAGUUGGAGAGAUUAAAGCUAAAUCAACUAAGUUUUUUCAAGGGAUGCUUAAGAUUAUUCAUAUGGGAUCGAUCUCAUCAUCAAAGCAAGAAUAUACAUUAAUUACCUAAAAAAGGAGAAAUCUCGGCAGCAUAUGACAUCCUUUUCUUAUCUAUCUCAGGUAUUUUAUGCCGAGAGAUUCAAUGGGCAUUAUGGCGAGAUCCUAUUUGUGCUUGCAAAUUUCCUUUCUUCACUCCCUUUCUCGGUGGCGAAUUCUCUGCUUUCAGGAACGACGAUAUUCUACAUGGUGAAGCUUCAUCCAGGAUUCUCUCAUUAUGGUUAUUUCUGCAUUAACUUCUUCUGCUGCACCACCAUUAUUGACAGUUGCAUGAUGGUUGUGAACUCAUGUGUCCCCAACGCCUCGAUGGCUGUAGUAACGUAAGCAAAUUUUCUCUCUUAAACAUCCCUUCUUGUAAUCCUUAUAGAUUACGUUGUCGUUCAUAGCUAAUUUUUGUGGAUUCAGGUUCUAAUGAUGAUGGCAUCACAGAUCUUUAGACUUCUCGCUGAUCUUCCCAAGUUCUUUUGGCGGUACCCUAUGUCCUACAUCAGUUUUGCCAAGUGGGCAGUUGAGGUAGUUAGUAUACAGCUUUUUUGAAAUCAAGCUUGAAAAUUUAUCAACAUAUUUAUGCAUAGAGCCAUGACAUGGAAGAUAUUCAUCUUCAGUUUCAAUAAUAUCGUCUGAUUAGUAAAACUCCACCAGGAGCAUGCGCUACUACUUGCAUUGCAUAUUUAAACUCAUUGAAGUAAAAAUUCUCAUCUUCCGCCUGAGGUACAUUUAUGAGAAGGAAAUGUCAAAACAACAGAAAUUAAGUAAGAUGCCUUCUAUUUUGAUGUGAAGAAAUGGGUUGAAUGGUCGACAGUUCCGCCACUCCCUUCUUCCUUUUCGGAUUGUUGACCCGCUCUUCCAUAUGCUAGAGGUUAUGUUAACCAAUGUAAUAAUGUAAUACUAUGAAGAUUCUGUUAUCAGUCUCUUUCAUAGAUUGAUCAGAACACUACAAGGCUUCACCACAUGUUUCACUCCGUCUCUUUACUCAAACUAACGCUUCAAAUGAACAGGCUUCUCAAGAACAGUUCUGCGACUAGCUAUGGCAGUCAACAAUACAAGCAUAUGAUUUGGAUCAGUGACUUUGAGUUCUCCCAAAUAUCUCAUGAAUUACAAGUCACUCAUACAAAUCAUUCACACACCUUGCAGGGUCAAUACAAGAAUGUCAUGACCGGUCUUGAGUUUGAUUCAGCAGAGCCAGGAGAACCAAAACUGGAAGGCGAGAUGAUCCUCAAAACAACUUUCAGCAUAUCACUGGAUCAUCCCAAGUGGUGGGAUGUAGCUGUGCUUCUGUUUCAACUGUUUGUUUACAAAGUACUACUCUUGUUAGUGCUUAGGUACAAGAAGAGAAUAGCACCUCAAUUACAGUCGUCGUCACAAGUGUUACUCAAGAAGGUGUCUUGACAGAUGAUUUCGGUGCCAAAUAGCAGCAAGCAUCCAUUAUAUUUCCAGAACAUACUUACUUUAUCGGCAACUAAUGCACCAUGGUUAUGUAAAUGAUGCAUAUGUCUCUAGUUGUCGCAAGUUCUAAAUGCAAUUCACCUUUUCACUUCAAUGUUAUGACUAAUUUGAUAUUGGUAUACGCAACGUGACAAAAUUUACACCUAAUUCUCGGCCUGAGGUCCACCCCUUCAUCUUUGUAAUUAAUGUAGAUUAUAAACCUCUUACAAAGCACAAAAUUUGGAGAUACGGCAUUGGACAGACGGCCCGUUUAGUGCCUCUCUCUCUCUCUCUCUCUCUCUCUCUCUGUGCUACAAGCUACUGCAAGAUUCGAUGUAGUGGUUAAUAAAGUACAUUGAUUACAAGCAAAACAUAUGUCACGCAAUGAGUUACAACUUAUAUUGAAAAUAAAGAUUAAGCAAUUCAAGGGUUGUACAAGAGUCAGAUAUAGCUUGCACUCAUUUACAAAAAGAUUAAAAAAAAAGAAAAAAAGAAAAGAGAAAGUGGGAGGUAAAGUGUACACUGUCUUUGAACAGCCUCUGUGUCCCCUUAUGGCGCACCAAACAAAAUCAUACCCAUGACCUCCAAAUCUAAUCCAUGGCUGUGAAGCAGACCCAGGUGGAAUAUUCAGAUCUCUCUUUUCCCCCAAAACCGAAGGGCCAAAUAUGUAAAAGCCAAGAAAGUGUACUUGUCCUCGAAUGCCCAACUUUUGAGGCGCCCAGGAUAAACAAAAUCAUCAUAACUUUAAGAUGCUUUGCAAGAAAAACCGGUAUCCUCAUCCUUCCUACUUAUUUCUUCUGUUUUUUCCGCACAGCAUUAUGGCCAUUGCGCGCUCUGGAUGCUUUAUGAUUUCUCAUUGAGGCUUCCAUGCUCAUGCUACCUUUUAGUUCCAUCUUUCUCUUUUCCCCACUUUUAAGUUUGUGAAAGGUCCUCUUCCUUUUCUUUCCAGAUUCGUUGGAUUGAAUCUUAGAAAAUUUCCCUGCAGCCAAAUCACCAUCCUUUUCAGAACCUUCUAAUCUGCCAUCAGCAGUAAGAGUAAGUUUCAUAUUCUCCUGAGUGGGGGGAGCCAUCUUUGUUCUUCAAUCUCCUUUUGUAUCCUCAUCCCUGGACAUCUUUCUGAUUUGCGGAAGCUUCCUUGUUCUCUAUCCCGCCUUCAUUUGAGGUUUUGUUUCACAGAUUCUAAAAGGUCAAACAUGCGAUCAUUUUACAAAACAAUAUUACGACCUCCAGAAAUCAUGCACUGCUAAAUAAUAUUUCUGUAGGAUACACAUCCAAGCGUUGUUGAAUUCAUUACCUCCAUAAUUGUCUUAAGAAAACCCUUGUACUUUUCUGGGGUAACAAGCUGAACAGCAGCAAAACCACACUUCCUAGUCAUUAUCUCAAGAAUGACUGUGACCUGCAUAUACAGUGAUAAUGGACAUUCAUUACCAGAUAGCAAAAAAGAGGCCCUUGGAAGGAUGUGUGCAUGGAAUUAUCACAAAAAAACUCAGCAAACUCCCAGUAAAUUUCACAUGCCUUUGAUCUGAAGUGAUGCCUGGAGACAGAUGACCAUGAAAUAACACCAUCAACAAUGUCUGAAAGUAAACUCUGAAGGUCUUCAUUUCGUAAGCAAGACACUACUACUUUCACAAAACCUAGAACAGCCUGCAAAAUGUGCAUGAAGUAACUCUCAAGCCAUGCCAAUUGGGGCAAGAAUCUACUUUGGUAAUGGUAUACUCAUUUUUAUCACUUCCACCGCUUUGCUUUGUAGCAGAGAAAGAACAGAAGGAAUAAGAUCAGGAAUUGAUAGACAGAUAUCUGUAUCCUUGUAAACUAGUACGGACAAUGCAGAAACAGCUCCACUUGUAAUUUGAGGUGAUGAACCAGAAAGAUAGUCCACUAUCUGAAAGCACGUUAUUUAGAAUCAAAACACUAUUACUUGAAUAAAAUUACAAUCCCGAGAAUUGCAAUUGUCCAGUAAUACAUCCAGUAAUACAUCACUGUUAAGAACUACAAGCAGAAAGGAAAAUUGCAGAUUAGGUUAGACAAUUUCUACAUAAGUAUGCUCUCCCGAUCAUCCGACAGAAAGUCCUGUAAGCAAAUAAAAUUCCCCGAUGGUCACAAGACACUUAAAGUGUUCAUCUGUGCAGUGCAUAUAAAACUUCUUUGGGCAACCAUUUACACGAGGAACCCAAGCUUUAAUAAUAACACAUAAGAAAGGGACUCCACUACCCCUUGAUUAACCAAUUUGGCUUCUUAAAAUUUCUCAAUUUUUCAUCGGAUGAAACAAAUGCAAAAUUUCGACUGAAUAGGCUUAGGGGCCACAAGGCAUCCACAAGAUACAGACCACAUGAUUUUAAAUUUUGCCACUUGUAUUUUGGUUCUUCGUUUUUCUACUGGUUAGAGGGCAUUAAUCAUCUUCUCCUCUGGCUGCAACUGCAAAGCCUAAUCCCUUGGCAGAAGCAGCUAGACAUGAAUAAAUGAAGGAAUAUGCCGUGACUCAACCAUACUGCAGCCACGAAAUUAGCUUUAUUCUUUUAGAAGAGAAAUAUGUUUUAAGGCCUCUGAAUCAAUUCGUAGCCAUACCAGGCUUACAAUCUUCAAAUACAAUGCACAUACUUAUAAAGAUUUUAACCAAUACCAGGAAGCAGUAUACACAAGACCAUGAGGACUUCAGUCCACUGUUUCCCAAUUUUGCAGGAACAACAACAUGGCAAAAGAAGAGGAAUUUAAAUAAACUACAUUCUCCUUCAACUUUUCCCCCAUCUAUGGAUGUUACGUGAGGCAGAGCAGAAACCAAUUAUUUACAACUCAAAAGCCCCUCCAGAUGACAACUUACAUAGGAUCUACCAUUGUAAAAUACGUACAUCAGACAAGAUAGAAGGAUCUACUUCAACCUCUUCCAUUGUUGUUACUUUCAACUGCCUAUGCCUCAUGUACCCAUUCUUUUAAAGUUCUAUUUUUGUUUUCCUUGCAUGUUCCUGAUGUUCUAGGAUGUAUGUAGUAUCAAACAUGUCUUAAAAUAUAAGCAGUAAUUUCCACCAAAGCUACCCAAAUAUGUCCCAUAAUGAGGAAUACCGUACCAUGUUAAUCAGUUUCUGACAAGGUUCAACUGAACUAACAGGUGAAAUGCUUCUCAAGCUGGAACUUAUGUUGAUGAGAACAUCAUAAGCUUCCUUCCUAGAUUCCUCCAUAGCCUGCAAAUUUCAUAUCACAACAGUGAUUAGUGCUGAAAGUAGAUCAUCACCCCCACACUGUAAAGGAGGUUCUUACAUCCUUUAAGACAAGUAUAAUCUCAUUGAGGAUGAAAAAAGCUUUUGAAUCUUCUUUCUCCUCCUCCUCCUCCUGCUGCUGCUGCUCCUCCACAGAACAGCAUAUGACAUCAACAAUAGAGGUGCUUAUAUUACUUAAUUUUGAGCUACAAUUGCAAAUACACCAUAACCAAAAGCUUAAGAAUCCGUUCACAAGUACAUAUAUGAUUCCUUCCAUGUUGAGACACGACCCAAAAGAAAAAAGAAGUUUUUGGCCUUAAAAGCGGAAAAGCCAUUCAUGACAUUCAAUAUUAUUUUAACGAAUUAAGGGAAGAUGGGUGAAUGAUGAUAGUAGGAUCAGGUUAUUAGAAAUUUAAAAAAUUGUGAGAUUGGCGAAAACUGAUCUGUUAGGUUCUUUAAGCAAAAUACCACUUACAUAAUCAGUUUCAAUUUUUUUAAUUUCCACAAAGUUCAAUAAAAACAAAAGGGUGAUGAAAUACUCCAUGCUUAGCUCUGUACAAGAACCUGUUAGCCAUCCAUACAUUUAGGAGUUUGGAAAAGUAAAAAAAGUUUAAGAGUCUUCAUAUUCACAAAUACAGGCACAUUAUACAGACGUUACACCUGCUGUGAGGGUGCAAUUCGAAUCUCCUCUAGGAAGGGAAAGGCCUGCUCUUAGAUCAAGUCUUAAUGUCAAAUUUCCAAAGGCAAACUUUAACUGAAGGAGAUCCAUGAAACAUUUUAAGAAAUUCCUUCAAGAUGGAGGGAAUUGCCCAAGUAGGAGGCCAUGCGAAUAUAUUGUGGGGCCAGAACAAAAAAUGAAAUAGUAUUUAAUUUAAGGAUUGUGAUAUAGCUGCUCACCUGCAGCAUACAAUCUAGGCAACAGAAAUAGAACAAACGCCAAACUCAAAGAACUGCUAAAAUAACUGUUCUAGCACAUCAAGAAUAUAAAACCAUGAAACACGAGGAGAAAUUUAUUAUGAAGAACAAAUACAAUUUCUUCUUGAAUAAAUGUUGUAUACUUUGCUUUUCAGUGGGACUAAUGUUGAGCUGUUUUCACAACACAGGAUUAAGACAUUUCUUAAAGGCUCAUUGCACUCUUAUUCCAAGACAACCAGCCCAGGACAUAGCUCAUAUUCAGUUUACGAGAAGAACAAGAAAUGGCUUCUAUUUACGUCAAAACGUGAUAUAUACACUAAAAAUGAAGGACAUAAAAUUCUGCAUUUUUUUCACAAGAAUAGUAGACACCAAACAUACAAAAGAAAACAAGUACUGCAUUGCCACAAGAAACAUUCUGACCUUUAAUGCAUGAACUAUCAGAACAUGGAAAAAGGCAAAGCGGCUUCUCAGAGUUGCAAUAUCAGAUGGAGUCCUUAGGUCAAUUAGUAAAUCAAUCAACUGCAAAUAUUUAGAUGAACAAAACCAGGGAUGCACCUGCAUAAUAGAAAUGACAGAAAAACAAUCACUUCCAGUAAGAAUAUAUCUUGAAUGGAGAUAGCACACAAACAUACAUCCAAAAUUUUGCUCAAAGCAUUAUAGGCUUCAGCAUGGCCAUUGUCAUUGCUUUCCUUGUGGAAGAAAAUUCAUGAAUGAUUUAGGCUAUAGAAAUCACUAAACUCAUCCAUUAAAUCAAGAAAACAAAGCUACUAUUCUUAAAGUCAAUGCACACCUGAAAAGUGUCUUUAACAAAGCUAAACACCAAAUCAAUGAGAUCCUUCUGUGCUCCUUCAAUAAGAAAUAAGGAUAUCUCCAGUAACAAGCACCUGGGUGAAACUGCAUUCUCUUAGUACUAUAACAGGAGUGCAUUCAUCACUCUGUAUGAAGGGGUGUGAGGGUGUUCUUUCUUUUCUUCAUAUGAAGGGGUGUGAGGGUGUUCUUUCUUUUCUUCAUACUUUUUUUUUUUUCCGGGGGGGACCUUGCAUAGAACAUGACAGGAGUGGAUUUAUUAUUGGAUGCAUCCUCAUGAUGUUACUGUACUUGCAUAGAACAUGACAGAUGACAAAAUGUCAUCAAGAAGAGGAAACAGCAGUGCCCAAUUUCCAUAACAUGGUAGCUCAAAACUCUGGUAGCAGAAUAUAGAAUCUAUGCAUACAGACGCAACCUAGAAAUCUCUGCAAUUGCUAACAGUAGAAAAAAGUUCUGGAUGCUCACAAAUAGAGUUGGUCUGUCGAUAAUCAGACAUCUGUUACAAUGAAUUGUCAAAUGUGACCUAAAGGACUCCCCCUUUAUCAAGUGUAUCAUCAGCAGUCAAGUGUAUAUGCGUAUGUGAACAUAUAUGAAUCUUUCAUUUUAAUCAUUAAUAUAGCUUGCUAACAAUUCUAUUCACAAGCAUUCUCUCUCCAUUACCUUUUAGCAUUUACAUCAAUGGCAUGCUCAUUUCCUAGUUCUUUGUCCAUUGAUGCAUCCAUUUCUUUUUUUCCCUGUCGAACUCAUCUCUCUUAUUUAGAAUGCCAAAUCUUUUGAGAAAUGACACAAAAAUUUCUCUGGUUGCAGAAGAAUCUGUGAUAGAAGCUAAGCAACCAAUAGGAUCCUGAGAAAUCAAAACUGAGCGUGAUAAUAUAACUCAUAUUAUGUAUGUCAAUUACUAAGCAAUGGGAAAAGUAAAAGGUAAUCCGUGAGCAUUGACUGAAUAUAUAUAUCUCAGAGUUAAAGUUCUUUAAGACGGCUACUCAAUACAGCUUCCUUUUGCUAAUUCAGUGCUAUCCACAGGACUCAAUCCUCUCUUUCGAAAAAUUCAUUUGCAAAAUUAUUGAACGCUUUAUAGCGCCCAGAAGUUUGAUCCAAUUAACAAAGCAUCCACAAAGUUCUAUAACUCACAUGCAUGACGAUCCCUUCCACAAUGACCAACCUAAUCUAUCUGACCGACUCUAGUACUUUAAAGUAUUUUGGUGUUCCAUGGUGAGUUCAGGGAGGGUAGACACUUGGUACACAACAUUGAUGCCACUUCACUUCUCAUAACUUUAAUUCUUUUUAACUUUUCCUUUGAGGUUUUCUAAUAACAAGUACGUGAUCCAUUGUUUCAAUGCCAACCCAACCUCAACAUAACUUUGACUUUUUUUAUUCCUUUUAUUUUUUUUUGGUCCAUUUCUAAAGAAUAAUUUGUUGUCAAUAAGAAUAUAAUAAAAAACCAUAAAAAUUCUAGCUUAUGCAUGGCUAUCAUGCUUCUAACAUAUGUUUUUUGGUAGGAAUGCUUCUAACAUAUGUUUCUACCACACAAAAGCAAUACCAUUAUUUUCCUUCACCAUUUUACAUUAAAAUAUAAAAUUACGACCAACAAAUAUAGAAAAAUAACUAAUCAAGUAAAAUUAUAUUAUCUAAUCCAAAUUUUAAUGAUAUGAACUUGUUUUUGCACAUGUUAACACAAAUUUCAACUUGCUUAUAAUAUUUUACAAAUUUAAAAGGAAAGGACAUGAAAAAGUUCAAGUUGAAUUUUAAAUUGAUAGUCAAAAUUAUAUUUUCUCAAAUCAGUUCAACUAUAGCUUCCUGAAGUGACAGGACCACAUGUCCUAUAGAAUCACCCUAAUUUAUCAUGCCAAAAAAAGUUGCAUUAUUUCAAACCUACUGGGCCAAUUCUCCACCUAAUGCUUUUCUCCAUAUACAUAAUUUUUCAUCUGAAGAUUCGAUAUUGUCAAUGGCAUGAGAAAAGGAUAGACAAUCAUGCCGAGUAGAGGAUCCCAAGUAAGUUGUAUAAUUUUAGGAUCACUGCAUCUUGAAUUCACACUUCAUUCUAGGGAGUCAAAAGUAUAUAACUAUUCCGACAGUGAAGGUUUUUCUCUUAAUUUUUUAAAAGCUGCUGUUGUCUGGUGGGGCACACUUGGGAACUAUUCUCUCAUGCAAAGCAGGGAUGGAACAAUAUUUUUCCCAUAGGGCAGGGAAUGGGAACAAAAUUCCUGGCCUGCUCCUCCCAAUGGCAACCACUAGUGCGUGCAAUUCAAACAGUGCCUUAAAUGAUGCAAUCAGAAGUAUUAAUUGUACUUAAGGAAAAAUUACAAGUCAAAAGGGCAGGAGGGGGGGGGGGGGGGGAAAAACACAACAGAAACUUCCAGCUAGAAUCCCAAAAUGUUUUAAGCUUCCAUAGGAUAUCAAAUAGCACAUAAUGACCUAAUAUAUGUCAAUGUAGCCAACCCCAUCUACGUGAACUGUCUCCACAAUACUUUCUAAAGCACUUAUAAGAAUGAUGCGGCCUCACUAGGAAGGAGAUUAGGCAGGUCUGAAUCUGACCAACCCAACAAUCAAAUUUAGCAUGUCAACUGCCUCGUACUAAACAGAAACCUUUGAAUUCCUCUAUACUUCUUCCAGCAAUUAACAUUGACAGAAAGAGCUCCUACUAGUUAUACUAUUUUCAAUCUGGACAGGACUGAGGAGGGAGAUGGAGCUUGGAUUAUCAUAGAGUAUUAGUAUCCUAUUAUUAUCUUAUAGUGCACAUGAGUCCUAUUAGCAUCUUUGAGAUGAGGCAUAUGCCUAAAAAAUUGGAGAAAAAGUUCAGACAACCAAAGUAAGUGGAAAAUUAUGAAUAUGAAAGGGGAGAGGAGAAAACAAUUGUGCAAUAACUAUUACGAAAUUUAGUAUAGAGCCAAAAAAGACUUUAGUGAUUGAGGGAGAACCUUCAAGUAUGACCUUGUCACAGGAAUGGAAUCGACAAAUAAGUCCAAUAAAAGUUGAAGCAACUCAGUAGAGCAUGAACUUAAAGCCUUGAUAUUUCUGCUUGUAGUUUUCUUUGAGUAAAUCAGUAGAGUUUGCAAUUCUAAUCCGGAUGCUUGCACAUUGCAGGUGUCUAAAUAUUUAACUACUCUAAAGCUGAGUACACUUGUAUUCUGAUUCACAAGGAUCAGCAGAAUUAGAACAGUACUAUCAGGAGAUAUGAAAAUGGUAUAACAACCUCUUCCCAGCUAAAGAACAAGUGUGAGCCAAAUGUCACCAAUGUGGCAAGAAGAUCACCUUUAAAGCAAGAGCCACACUUUCAUGCAUAAAAGAAUAUUUUUUAAGAAAAUCAGUCAAUAAUACUGCCAAACGUCUAAACUGUUUUGUCUGUGUCACUUGAACCCCAGCAAAAGGCCGGUAACAGUUUCCAAAGGUCAUGAGCAUGACCCAGCAGCUCCUUACCAAGUACUGAUUUCUUAACUGGAGAAAAGAUAAACAGAAGCACAAUCAAAUCCCCGAUGUCACUAAAAUGUUAAUGAUGAACUGAACAAUUGAUAUCUACGUGAGCGCCAACUGUACCACGUAGGAUGGCCAGUGUGCACAAUUGAUAUUCAUAUCAACAAUUUUCUAUCAAAAUUAGCCAGUGAAUUUAAUUGGCAAAAUUUGAAAAUAUUUAGGACUCAAUUGAUAUAGUUGAAAAGUUUAUGAUUAAAUUGACACCGGUGCUAUAUAUAUAGACACACGCACAACUGUCUUUGUGUUUGGCUCCUAGAGAAGUCCAAUAAUUUUUAAACUCAAAUAUUUAAAAAAUUAUAAAAAUAUUAUAUGAGAACUAUUGUGGCAAAUGAAAUUUCAAGUGCUUGUAAUUUUUUUUGAAAGUCCAAUUAUGUGCGUAAAUAUUGAAAGAAACUUUUAACUAUUUAAAUAGUCAUCGUCGAAAGAGGCUGAAAUUUUCCAAUUACAGGAUGAGUCAUGGAAUCGUAGCGAGGAGGGGUUUUGUACUUUGACUUUGCUUUGGCCUAACAUGGCCUCUUUUAUCUCAGUUACAUGUUAUAAACGUGGACACCAACCGCAGAAAAAUCAAGGCACAUAAAACAAAAGUUGACUUAGACCAAACAAUAAUGGUUCCACGGACCACGUCAUGCACAAGACCUAAGCAAAACAUAAUCUUCUAUGCAUGUCUAAUCAGAUUAAUGUCGAGUCGUUGAGGGUUGUUUUAAUACCGUCAAUCAACGCAGUUAUAUUCAACACGCAAGUUUCAGAGCUUUGAAAAUUCCAGGUUAACUUUAAGUAAUGGAUUCUAAGCAUGGAAUCUCGUCACUUACCUUGAAAUCUUCCUUGACUACAAGAAACCAUGUAGAUUGGAACAAUUUUCCAUUGUAUGUUUCAAUACUCUUGAAAUUUCGAAAGCUAUUAUAUUUUUAACAAUUUUCGACCGUCAUCAAUUUGUAACCAUUUUUAUCUGCCAUUACUUUAUUACAAUUUUAUACUUCUAACGGGGUUGGAGUAAAUCUCUUAAUUAGACAAAUAAGAAAAUAGUCAAAUCUCAAUCACCUCUCCUUUCGAGCUUCUAAUUAAAGAUAAGAGAUUUCUCAAGCCCUAAUUAGUCAACUGGACUAUUAGAGAUAUAUUUAAAAUAUUAUAUGAUUCUAUAUAUUAUUAUAUGGUUCUAUAUAUUUCCUUUGAUUGGUCUUGAUUUGUUACUUUAGAUAGUUAUUAUAUAAAGCCUAUAAAUUAGCUCGUGUAUAUCUUUAUUUGAUGUUCUACAUAAUAUUACAUCUUUCAGUCAUUAUGAUUCUCAACUUGGAUGAAAAAAAAUCAACUCCUCAAAAGUAGAACCUCGUCAGUUUACUUGCCUAGCCGCCCAAAACGUUAUUAGUAGACUACACUAUGACAUCACUUCCCUAAAGGUGAUUCGAUUUUUGACCUUUUAAUUACUGUUUUUUUGGUCGAAAACCUAUUAAUUGCACCUUUUUAUUACUGUUGGCGCGGUGAUUUUUGAACUCGACAAGGAUUGCCCAGUCAACCAUGCAACGAGGGGACAAUUUCUACAAUGAGAAACACGCACGCAUGCACUGACUAUGGGAGUCUUCGGAGACAAUUAUUUGUUCCUGCCGACACUAAGGACCCGACCUCCAUGAUUUGGCAAUUUGCUUUUGCAUUCAUAAUCUGGAACGCGGAAUUUAUGCUAAAGAGCUUCUUUGAAUUUUCGAUGUCCCUCUUUUCUUUUUGUGAUAGAAAACUUUCCACGUGGAUGUUUUAUCGUGUUCAAAAGAAAUGUCAACCUUUCAGAUCUACAUCAUGUUUCCAUGAAAGUCUUUACACAUUGCAUUGCGAAGGUGUGUUGAAGAUCCCCAUUCAACCAGCGAAUGCGUCAAAUGCGGGAAAAUUAUCAUAUUAGGUAGAUAGAAUAUGAUUUUCGGCAUAUAAAUAAUAUGAGUCGAAACGUAUACUAUGACCCAUCUUAAAUUUUGAGACCCAUGUUCUCCCUUAAGUCUAAUCAUGGAAACCCAUGACCCACAUGUAUUUAAAUUCUCUAUUCCUUUGUUUUCCAAUUUGAUUUACAUGUUUCUGAUCUUGAUAUUUUCUAACUUUAUUUUGAUCUUAAGUGCACAUGCCAUCACCUUAUGAGAGGAGCACGGAUUAAAAGCAAUGUGAAUAGAUGAGAUCCGCCACUUAUUUAAAAAAGAAAAAUCAUUUUUUUGCUUUGUCAAUUUCUUGACAUUAACUCCUUUCCAAUCUCUAAACCUUCCAAUGUCCUAUUAAAAAGUCUAAAUCAUUCAAUGCUUUUCCACAGUGAUAUUGAAAGCCUAUCCCUUUCUCGAGUCAUGGAAAAAUUACCUCUAUAGCUUGCCACCUAUUUUAUCUUAAAUUAAAAUUUAAGUUCAUUUUUUCAUAGUGACACACAAUUAUUAAACCGAUGAUAGUUAUAAAAUUGACAAUAAAAACCUUUCCAAAUAUCACUAUUUAAAUAAAUUUUCACUAACGAUUACAUCUAUAGUCAUAAAUCAAACCUAAACCUAAGUGAUUUAAGAAAUAUAGCUAGAUGGAAAAAUAAAUAAUCUUACCUUAUAGUGAUGGCCCGCUCAUUGAACGCGGUCCAAUUUGCAUUCUCAGACCCAAUCAAGUUGCAAAAGCUAACCAACGAUCAACGUCAACUCGGUAUGGACUUCACUUAGUUCCCAAAAUUCAGUCCCUUGCAUUGCAUAAAACGAACCAUUUUUACUAAAUUUUUAUUGCAGAGUUGAGAGAGAGAGAGAAAAGGAAUGGCAUGACAUUGAACUGUUAGAUUCUAUUAAUUAAUUCGAUAAUAAAGUUAAAAAAGUAACUACUGGAAGUAAUGGUCCACCGAGAUACAGGUACUUGUCGGAUUCCACUUAAAGCAGCCCUUCUUUUUCGUUCUUUUUCGAUUAGUUACUUAGAGUGCGUUUGGUAACGCUUUUGUUUCCAGGAAUAAUUUUUUAUCAAAAAUAAAUUAUUUUUUUUGUUCUUCAGAACAAUUUCUAAAUAUAAGAACGCACUUGAUAACUGCACAAAAUUUAUAUUUCUGGGAAAGAAAUGUGUUUGGUAAAAUUGUAUAAUUUUGUUGUUUCUUUUAAUUUUUUAAUAUUUUUAUUAUAAUUUUUCUUCUUUUCUUCUCUCUUUUUUCUUUUUUUGUCUCUCUCCUUCUUCCUCUUUUGUGGCCGGUUGCCAGUGACUAGGUUGGCGAGGUCCGACGAGCUCACCGAAGCCUUCUCGGGCCAAGGCGGGAGUUGGCGAGCUCGCCGGAGGCUUGCCUAACCCCCGCAAGGCUCAGCCUCGCUAAAUUUAGGCGAGGCCGAGCCUCAUCGGUGGCCUCCGAGCAUCACAAGGCUCGACCUUGCCCAGGCAGUGCGAGGUUGGCCUUACCUAGCCUAGGCGAGGCCGAGCCUUGCCAUCCCUCGCCUAGCCAUGGCAAGGCUCGAGUUGACGAGCCUCGCUGUGGCUCGGCAUUUCCAGGGGCCAACAACAUUCCGGCAAGGUCGCCGGCCCUCAUCUAAUCGGUUGCCGAUGCCAGCCAUGGCCAAGGCCAACGACCAGCCAAAAGGAAGAAGAAGAAGAAGAAGGAAAAAAAAAAGCAAAGAGAGAAAUAUAUUCUAGAAAUUGUUCUUGGAAAUAAGAAAUUACUUUUAUCUACUUCUCAUUUCUGUUCCAAAUCUAUUCUCGAAAACAAAAAUUUUACCAAACAAGUUUCUAUUCUUUUUUCGUUCCCCCAAACAAAAGAACAAAAAUAGUUGUUCUAGGAAAUAGAAACAGAUUUUAACAAACAGCUCUUAGGAUGCAAGAUUUGGUUUUCAAUUUUAGUGGAAGUCUGUUGGUUUAGAAAUCAGGAUUUACGAAGUUGCAGCAGAUCCGCUGUUUUGCUUUGCUGGGUUGUAAUUGUAAUAGGUGCAACGAAUCACCCACCUUUGAAGUGGACACUUCAAUUUUCGUUGUGGGAUGUUAAGUGUCAACUUCAUCCAUAUUCACUCGGCCCCCACCUCUCAAAUCUCAGGCGGAGCAGACGAACCCAUUAAGCUUUCGGUUUCGGUUUCAACUUGUUUGAUUCUUUUGACAUUAACCAAAGGUUGUUUUGGGCUUUGACUCAUAAUAUAGAACCAUUGAUGGAAUGGAAGUAGUCCGCUGAUGAGGUACGAUGAGGUAGUAAUCCAACAUUUGCAAGAAACAGUGACUAGACAUGCAAGUUUCUCCAGAGAAAUGUUGCGGGUAGACAUACAAGUUUCUCUUUCAUCAUUUCUCAAAGAUGGGAAAGAUGAAAUUGGCCGACCAUCAUCCACACUAAAGACAAAAAAUUGGCAUCUGCUAAGAGAAAUUCUUGAGUAGCAACAUAUAACAGGCCGAGCUCAUGAACAAAACACAUCCAGAGCAAGAAGGUGCCACUUCGCACAUCUCGCCAUUGAAACAAAUGAAAUGCUUCCAUAAUAGAUUCCCUCCUUGCAGUGGCCAACACAUCGUUAUUGUGUGAAGAGGAAGAAGUUGCAACAUUGUUGCUCUUUGAAUAACAAAUGGAAAGAGAUAGCACGAAUACAAACACCAAACUACAAGCCCUUGUCUUUAGGCUUUCCCCACUAAUUAGUUCACAAUACCCAAUUACUGCACUGCAUAACACUCGUUUUGUUUAUAUUACCUAUACCUUCAGUUCCAAAUGUAAGCAAAAGAGAAACUUCGAAGCAACAUUUAAGAGUUCUGCUGCAAGGAUUACCCAAUGAAGCCCUAGUUCUUUCAAUAACUAAUUUACUUAGAACACAACAAACCAUUUCUUACUCUCUCUCUUGUGCCAGUAAUCAGUAUCCAGAAGUACCGGCAGAUGCAGACAAAGUGGUUCCAGUCCAUGGCCCUUCAAUAGACAUACUCUUGCUGAUAUUCUCACCAACUGCCUGAUGUUCGUCACCUCUAAAAUGCUUCUUCAUGGCCUCAAUUUUCUCCUGAGUCAUGAUAGUGCCCGCAGAGUCCAGCACUGGAACAGCAACCUUGCCUUCAAGCAUGCUAACCACAGAUGACAUUGGCGGCCUGAGUGCUGGAGUUACAUUAGUACACAUCAAAGCUACCUUUAUCAAUGCCAAUGCCUCCUCUUUGUUAAAGUGAGAACCAAGCCUCGGAUCAACUAGUUCUAUCAAAUUCUCUCCCUCCUUCAGAAAGUGUGCCUAGAUACAGAAAUGUAAAGUGAAGGCAUUUCCCUUUCAAGCUUCAGGUAUUGAUCAGUUGCAAAAUAUGCUCUAAAUACUGAAACAGGAAGAAGUAUAUUAUCUCCCUUGAUAAUUACACGGCAAAUGCAGUUGAUAAGCACCUGCUAGUUCUAGGGUAUAAAUGGAUAAAAAGAAUCGAAUGAGUCAAUACAGAUCCAACAUGAUUUUUUUUACCGAUUUUAAAUAAAAGAUACUAGACUACAACAUCACUUACUAAUAGUUGACCGGUUGCCAAGAAAUCACCUACACCGUUUAAAAAUCGCCAGCUAUUGUCGAGUUUUAUCAGCACAAAUUAUUUGCCAGUGUCAUUACAUGAAACGGCAGACUUGUCUUUCAAUGUUCUUGAUUAUGCAACUCAGGCGACAAUCAGAUUUAACAAGGACUAAUAAUGAUGGUUUGCUCUAAUGAUUGCUCACUCAAAGCAAAACAAAAUCUAACUUAAGGAGUCAAUCAUAUGAAUGUGAAAAAAGUUAUACCUCAAUCGAAAGUAUAUGGAUAUUCUGGUCAAGACAUGGUCUUGAAAACUUUUUAAUUUAACAGUAAUUGCCAAAAUUCAAUAGUAGUCGAAGGACUUGUUUGGCGCUAAUGAAACUACAGGGAGUAUGAAUGUCAAGCAUAAAAACAUAAAGACUAAAACUGAACUUUCAAGAUCCAUCCUAAAUUAUGGGGUCAACUUCCCCAAAUUUCAAGGGAUAGAAUUUUCUUCAUUCCAAAAAAAAGAAAAAAAAAAGAAUCUACAUGAAAAUUCAGAGUAGACCAACAUGAUAAGAAGAAUUGGAUUAAUUUGCAAUAACAAAUUGCACUUAACAGCAUGACAAUUUGUUAAGCAAGUUUCAAUAGCUGUUAACUGUGAAACUCCUUUGCAACCAUUGAAAGUGCAUGUGAGGAUUUAAAUACGGAUAUGAUCAUAAUUGAAAUGAUAGAGUUGAUUACCCAAUCGAGUAGAUUAAAGCAUUCCUCAGUUCUUUGGGAGCUAGUGUUGCUUCGGCCAUUAACAACUUCUAAGGCAACAACGCCAAAACUAUAGAUGUCGGCUUUGUCAGUGAGAUAACCAUGCAUUGCAUACUCCGGUGCCAUAUAUCCACUGCACAACAAGAAAAGAGCUUGUGUUUGCAACAAGGUAACUGCCUUAAAUAGCACAUACUUAAUAUUCCUAAAAUUCAAAAGAAAGAGUCGUUCCUAAAUGUGACGCUAUGGUCUAAAGAGUAGAGGAAAUAAACAAAUGCAUCCUAAUAUAUUCAAAUAUAUCAUUUACCGAGAAUAUUUCAGGAAAUAAAAAAGAUCAUUGUUGUUCUUUAUAAACUUUUUUUUUGGUUUGAAAUAUAAGUAUCAUUUAUAAGAUGACGUACAUGAGUUUAAGGGCAUUUCCCAGCAUUACAAAGAUAUCUAAGAACAUGCAAAAAUGGAGUGAGGGAAUCUCCAUAUAGUACCCAAUAUUACAUUUAUUUGGGAAGGCCUAAAGUUUUUGUAAUGUGAAGCUCGCCCUAUAACAAGUUUACGAAUUUUAGCCACGAUGAUGGGGACAUCAUUUGACUUGUUUUGGAAAUGUCGAUAGUUACAUUUAUAGUUCUUUUUGUAGAAUGAACGUUAGAGUUAGUAGAAUGAACUUACAAUUUUAUCUUUUCCCUAAUUAAUCACAUUCCUUUCAAAAACAAGUUGACUUUUCACACGCAUUAAUGCAAACAUCUAAAACAUGUGAACAUGCUUAUCUAUGUUUUUCCAUGUGCAUACAAUAGAAACAUGGGCGAAUUUGCUAUAAUACUAAGUUAUAUUCAAAUUAACAAUUACAUAAGUCAAUAUCAGAGUAUCAUUACUUAAUGGUAGAGUAUGACACAAUUUACAUUUUUUUCCUAAUUAAUGUAAAGAGUGGUGGGACAGUCAUAAAGCUUUGUGGUUAAGCUGAAUUUGUUGAGCACCAUGCUUUGGGAUGAUGUGAAUCCACCACAAAGCUCCAUUCAACUCACUUUUCUUAAAUCAGAAUAUAUGUUUCUAUUCCAUGCUUUUAUGUUGUCACUGGCUCCUACUUAGGUUAACAGGAACAAAAAGCAAGAAACUUACUAAGUUCCAGCAAUCUUGGUGCUAAUAUGUGUUUUUUCCUCCUCAUCAAGCUUUGCUAAACCAAAAUCCGAUAUUUUAGGGUUGAGAUCCUUAUCCAGUAAAACAUUAGUAGCCUUAAUGUCUCUAUGCACAAUCUUCAGCCUUGACUCUUCAUGAAGAUAUGCCAAUCCCCUGGCAAUACCCACGCAUAUCUUGUGUCUUGUCCACCAAUCCAACUUUAACUGAAAUUCUUCAGGACCUUCAAUUGUAUCAGAAGACAUCAAAGCUGCUUUACUGCCAUGUCAUUAACUGAAGUCAAUGAAGCACAAUGUGAUAUCAAAUUACCAAAUAAAGCGCGAGCAAGACUGUUAUUUUCCAUGUACUCGUAAACCAGCAAAAGUUGAUUUCCUUCAAUGCAGCAUCCAUAGAGUUUCACAAGAUGUGGAUGCUGAAGAGCAGAAAUCGUCCCAAUCUCAGUCAGGAACUCAUUAUUUCCUUGUUGUGAUUUGGAUGAAAGCUGCUUCACUGCUAUAGUGGUGCCAUCUGACAGAAAACCCUGCAAUUCAACUUUGGCAUCAGAUCUAUGUUGUGAAAAUUGAGUUACAUUGAAUGCUGCUUUCUACAUAUCUUCUCUCUUGGGAAUUGGGGGAAUUUGGUUAGUCAAUUUUCCAGCAUACCUUGUAUACAGAACCAAAACCACCUUCUCCUAUCUUAUUGGCAGCGUCAAAAUUGUUUGUGGCAGCUUUAAUCUGUCGCAAGGUAAAUAAACCAAUUUGCGACGCUAGACCCUUCAAAUCUGCAACACGUUUCAGAACUUCUAUGAAUUUGGAAAAGUCAACAGUUAAAGUAUGUAAUCCACUAUCUAACAAAGAUGUAUCAAUUCCUUCUCAAUAUUCCAGAAAACCUUUUUGUGACGUUUUGGUCUGAGCAAGUUCAGUACAGAAUAGCUUAGCAUCUUGAAAAUUAUUUUCUAGGAAAGUCUGGCAUCAGUUGGCAGUAUGUAUUUUUGAAAAGUAAAAUGAGAUUGUCCCUAGGGUAUUUAAUAGUGAAGGAAAAUAAAAAUCAUACAGAGAACCCCCUUGGAAACAUAGGGUAUGGUUUGCAUGUUUUUAACUUCUCAUGCACGUGAAGUUCUGGCAGCUAUUUUUGGUGUCUUAAAACGUAGACUUUGUGUAUACACACACACACACACAUCUGAGAAACAAUCUACUGUCUCUCCCUAUAACUAUCUAUUCCUUCAUUUUUCGGAUUUCUAAAUAAAAAUUUAGUUUGUUAAGCAAACCAACUGGUUCUAUGACACUUUAGCUGUAUAUCGCCUAAUAAUAAUCUUUGGCUUUUUGCAUCGAGCCAAAUUCCCUAUGGAAUGCACAAAUGUCAUGCAUCAACAGUUUUAUGGGAACUGUAAAUCUAGAUGGAGCAUUAAUGAUCCAUUGUCAUUACACUUUCCCCAACCAGGAAAGUAAGAAGAAGAAGAAAAAGAAGUAUCAUGUGCCAACAGUGUGACAGGACAACUGUGCGAUUUAGCUGAAAUAUAAAUGAAGCAAUGUGACUAUCCUCCCUCUCCACCAGAAUAUGGAAGGGGGAAAAUGUAUUCAGAGUGCAUAACAUUCUCAUAUUUCUUGACAAAUACACAUGGACUAAAUAGCGGAGAUUCCAGGUAAGCAACUACCUUGUGCCAUUUUAUCUUUACGUCCAAGGCAUCCUCUCCACCAAAGGAUAACCAGGAUAAGGAAAACUACAAAAACUAUAGCAGUCAGAAUCCCAGCCACUGUGCCAGCAGAUAUGCUGGCCGGGGGAUCAAAGCCUGUAAUGAAGAAAGAACAAACAAAUAUUUAACCAAAACUGUUAAAUGGGGUAGACGUAAAUGCAGAAAAAUAUCUGUAACUUCUUGUUGAACACAAAGAAAUUGAUGGAGAACACAAUAAUUGAGAAUUAAGAGGACAUAAAACCGCCCAGAGUACUCCACAGAAACUAUCAGAUAAAUGAGCACAGGAAGAUAUCAUCUAUGGAACAUGUAAUACAAAAUACAAAGGGAAAAAAAAAAACAAAAACAAAAAAAAAUUCUACUCUUCAUUCUCAAGGCUGUACUGUAUUAUACAGGCACAGUGGUUGUAAUCCAUAGCAGAAAAGUGAACAAGGCUAUCAAUUCGUAGUCAAAUGGAAGGAUUAAAGAUACAUAGAGAAAACAUGCUCAGAUAGAAAGAACACAAAGCAACCUAUAACCAAUUUUCAACUCUAAGAGAAUAAUAAUAGACCCUGGUCAGCUAUUGUGUGUAAUUGACUUGAUCUACAAAGACAUAUGCCAAUGGCCUGAAUCCAACAGUAGGCAUUUGCAACCAAACCAAGUAACUGAAUAGCCUAUUGAUGACUUCUGGUGCAAGAAAAAAUAUAGGUAUUCCUUUCAACAUGAAUAAGAGUAACUUUCUCAACAGAGAAGCACCAAGCGAAACAUGGAUGUAUCCAUCUGCGUACCAGGGUAGACGGAGAUAGCAGAUAUAAGAGGACCAUAGACUCCUACGUCAGGUAUAGCAGUGGUUCCUUUCCCAGCCCAAUAGAAGCGUAUCUCCAGAGUGCCCUUGGUCACGAUGGCAGCAAAAUUUCUCAUGACCUCCUUUCCAACUCCACCUGCUUCACUCUCAAUGUUGAAAUCUUUCCAAACCAAUUUCCCCUGAAAUAAUAUUUCAUCUGAUUCAAGUUGAGGUUCUCCACACUGAACAAGGUAAAACUUUCAGUCUCCAUAGAAUGUACAAAUUGUGAAAAAAUCAUGAUUUGCAAGUACAAGAUAUUUGGAUAAACUUCCCAACCAUAACAUAUUGAACGCUUUAUGUGCUUUAUAUAUUAGAACCAGCACUCCAUAAUGCUCUGAGUUUACCUGUAUAUAAAUAUUAAAAGCUCUCCUUCCAAGGCUUUUAUAACUUUUGUCGCCUGUGAACAUUAUCUCCGCAAAAUGAAGGGUUACAUUGUAGGGCCCAUCCAUCAGACAAAAACCGUAAUAAGUUAGAGAGAUGGCAGAACGUCGUGCUUCCAUGUAAAGUUGGGCAUUAUUCAUGGACAGUGUGGAUGUGUUUUUAACUUCAUAGCCAACUGCAGUGCCAUCGUCAUCGGUGAAGUCACCAGUGCUACUGUAGGCCCAGUAAUUACUCUUGAAGAAACUUGAAGGUGUAGCCCUCUGUGAGUCAUCUUCGUAUGUGAUGCCCCUUACUUUUGCUUUGCUC